rnacentral:lncRNA from 1 species
UUACACAUUAUCCUUGUUUUCAAAUAUACUUAUAUUUAUAUUUAUUAUUAAUUAAAUAAAUAAUUUAAAAAUAAAUAAAAAUAAAAAUAAAAAUAUAGGUUUUAGUGUGAAUAAAAAAAUAGUAAUAAAAUAUUUUUCUUAUACUUUCUAAUAAUAAAUAAAUAUAUUUUCUAUUCUAAAAUAAAAUAUCAAAUAGAUGACCUAUUUAUCCCCUUUUUUUCCUUUAAACUUUUUAUAUUAGAAAGUUAUUAGCUAUUAUAAAAAAAAAAGUAAGAGGGUGAGUGGUAUCUAUUUAUUAUAAUAGACAAAACUGGAAAUCUCCCUUACUAUUAUAUCAUUCUCCCCUUUCAUUUGUUCUAUAGUCCUCAUAAUUCCUUAAAUUUUUCUAUUUUGAAACUUUUGUCAAAUUAUAUAAAAGUGACGUUGAGAUAUUGAAGGAAAUUAAAUAUAAAAAAUUUACAUGAAUAUUGACUUGUUAAAUCACUGGAAUUAUCUGAAUGAAAAAGUAAAUAGAUGAGUAAAACUCCUCAAAAAAAUAGAUGAGUGAAAAAAACAAACGCUUGAAAAUGGCGCAAGUUAUAAUGCCAAUGCUCGUAGACAAAAACAAUACGAGCCCCGAAUCCUAGUUUGCAGGUGCACGAGCCAUCUACAUGCUCCUCCAGCGCGUCGAAUUAUUGGAACGUGCAACAGCAACUGGGAUCCAGUACAAUGACUCCACUUGAUUCAUCAUCUUCAAUAUAAAAUCUCAUCUUUGUAGACUUUUCAUCAUUAGUUUCUUUUGAGAUGAAUAAUAGAGUACUCAUAGUUGUGUUUGUUUUAUGUCAAUUUAAUUACGUAUUUAAAAACAUUUACAUAAUAUUUAAUUGACUCAUUACUUACACUCCUAACAUGUGGAAUACGAUGUGUAUCCAUUGAACAAAAGAUCGUUCUAAAGUAUUGGACAAGUGAGUUUUAAACAAUUUUAUUUAUAGGAGUUUAAAUCUUGAGGAGGUAGGGAGAUAAAAAAAAAAAAUUAAUUUAAUUUUUUUGUAUUUAUUGACCACCCAGCCUUGUUCUCUAUCUUGGGUGGUAGCCAGUUUAGUCAUUUUCUACUUGUAUUGCUUAUUUUGAAACAAAAAUUAAUUUCUCUCCCAAAAAAAUUAAGAAAUUGCUCUCGUUGAGAGUCGAACUCAAGACCUCCCGCUUACUAAACGGGUGCUCUAACCAACUGAGCUACGAGAGCAAUUAAUGAGUUCCGCAUACUAUUUAACAUCAAUUUACAAAUUUUCGAAGACCUAGAACAAUCCCACACGUGCUAUAAUUCGACUUAGGCCCAGUGUAAUUCCGCGGGUGACGAAACAAACACCCUUCCCCGUGAUGCAAACCUCAUGUAAGUAAUGGCAUUUAACGAAAAUAAAGAAAAGUCAAGGGGCAUUUCCGCAAAACAAAUUGUUCAUAUAGACUUCCCCCGAGUUGCUCACCGCAGCGGAAGUUCGGUGGAAGGAGAGUUUUUGUGUUGUGUUGUGUUGUGUUGCUUCCUUGGCCUUUCACAUCUCAUUUGUCUUGGGGGGUUUUGUUUAUUAAGAUCUUUACAAUUAAGUCGACAAUUUCAAACGAAUUUACACGAUUGCCACCACCACCGUAAAAAUCGUUAAUUUCUUAAACGAAAAAAAUGGAGUCGAAUUUGUGGAGCAAUCGCCUCUCAACGGCUUCUUCAAGACGCUACCACCACCAGUCUCGAUCUGGUCUGUUUGUUUUGUUUUAUAUUGAAUAAAAAUAUUGAAAGAAAUGUUACCGUACGACACCGUUUGACUCGUUUUGUUGUUGGAAUUUUGAUUUUUGUACAGAUCUGUUCAUCGGAGGAGGAUACGAUGAAACGGACGGCGACGAUGAUUUGAAUGCGAUGUUUCUUUGCCCGUUUUGUGCUGAAGAUUUCGACAUUGUUGGACUUUGUUGCCACAUCGAUGAGGAUCAUCCGAUUGAAGCUAAAAACGGGGUAAAGUUUUGAUAUAUAUAUAUAUAUAUAUAUAUUUUACCCAAAACUCUAGAAAAGGAAUUUCAAUUAUUAAAUCACUGGGUGAUAAAUUAAUUAGUUUUAUGCUUUGUGGGUUAAACUUUAAAUUGAUGCUUCCUUUGCUCUUUUUAUGAAUUCAUAAGAAAAAAGAAAGAAAUUUGCAUGUGAUACUUGUGAGUUAGUUUAUUAAGAAUCUGAUUUUAGCAAUUUGUGUAUAAUUUGUAUUUAUUGUGACAACUCGGAAAUGAAGUAAGGGUAGAAGAAAUGUGGAUCUUUGACAAUAAAUAAGGAGCUUCCAGGUUUUGUUUGGUGGAUUGGAAAUGAAUAUUUCUCAUGACAGCAUAAUUUUAGUUUUUUAGGUGGUUAGAUUUAAAGCACUAGAGUAGCUGAGAAAUUGGUUCAUUUCUGCGAACUUGAUUUUGCAAAAUAUCUUGUGGUAGUAUUUGUUUAGGUAGUGUGGGUUGAUGAACAUGCUUAAGGAGCAUUGAUUAAUUAGGCCUACGCAGCCUUGUGCGCUGGUUUUGAAAUAAGAUUUUUACCGAAUACUGUUAUUUUCAUCUUACGUUUCUAGUUGCUUUAAAACAUCAUAUAUAUGUGCUCAUAAUUUUCGUUUAAUUUGUGCUGUCAGGUAUGCCCUGUUUGUGCGAAGAGAGUUGGAACGGAUAUUGUUAGCCACAUAACCAUGCAGCAUGGGAAUUUUUUUAAAAUAUCCUUUUCCUGUUUGUUGGCUUAAUAUAUAUAUUUGUCUUGUGAAUUAACCUUUCUCUCCUGCUAUUGACUUCUGCUUAAUUUAUUAAUUGAAUCUUUGUUUGUACUUUUUUCCUAUCAAGGUCACUCAGUUUAUUUGUAUAGUUGUAGCAUUACGCUCUUUGUUGCUUGUUUUUGGUUUCCUCAUAUGUCCAUGAUGAAGAGUAUCUAGUCUUCCUUGACCGUAGGAUUACAUUCAGCGCAAACGGAGAUUGCGUAGGGGUGGACCAAAUUCGACAUUUUCUUUACUGAGAAAAGAAUUACGAGAUGGAAACCUACAAUCUCUUCUUGGGGGAUCUUCAUGCUUUGUUUCUUCCUCCAAUACAGAGGCUGAUCCAUUGUUGUCGUCAUUUAUAUUUAACUCGCCUAAGGUUGAUGAACCUCUUAGUGUGCAACCACUUUCGAUUACUGAGCCAACCUUGGUGAAGGAAAGCUCUAAUGAGAACCUUCACGAAAGGUAUGUCAAUAGGCAUUUUUAUUUGUUUUACUGCUUUUAAUUCUUUUCAAUGCAACAAGAUAUUAGAAUAUUUGGUGUUUGAUGGCUUUGUAAAUUUUGCUUGUAGAAGUGUAGGAUUAGAAGUUUUAUCUAAGCAAUAUCUGAAACUAAAUGAAAUAUCAUUCAAAAUUGUUUAGCUAUCUUGAUGCAUGAUUUUGUGGCAUGCCCUGUGUAUGCACUGGUGUCCUCAGAUUAUAUCUGGAAGGAACUUUGGAGUAUCAAUAAUACAAUUUGGUUUUAGAUAAAAUUGAUGAAGUCCUUGAGGGUGGGCAAUGCUAACUUUGGUGGGUGUUGAUUGGCAUCGAAUUUUAAGGAUGUAAUAAUUUUACAAAACAGAUUUGUGUUGGUUGCGAUAUAUUCUUACACUGAUUUAAUUUAUGGUGACAGGCAUGUGCAACAGCCACCGCUAUCAGACAAAGAUCAAGAAGAAAAGGCUCGCAAGAGUGAGUUUGUUCAGGGGUUGGUACUGUCGACUAUUCUUGGUGACUAUUUAUAAGCUAUCGGCGAUGGGGGUGAUGCAAUUGCUAUCGUAAUACUAGGACCAGAGCUGCGCCUAUGCAUAAAGAGGGAAGAGAUUCAGUUUUAUCUAAUAAGUUGUAAUAGAUAAAUUUAGGUAAAAGCAGAAGUCUGUAUUUGCAUAAUAUGUUAGGAGGUUAUGUGUGUAUAAUGAAAAGAUGGAAGAUCAUAUUUUCCUGUGUGCUUGCUUUUAUUUUUCAUAUAUAAUAUAUUUGCCGGUAUAAUAUGUAGAGAUGGGCGAUUACGGCACUUAUGCUAGAAGCAUCACUUUUCUGGGCAUCAAAUAUUCUCAGUUUAGAGUAGGAUUGCUUUCUUUUCACCUCUUUACUAAGGCAACUGACUUGAACAUUAGUCGUUUUGGGAUUGGAAAUGGCAGCCCCUGCGUUCUCGGACGAUAGCUUCACUCAAUAGACAAGUAUAUAGAAUUAAAUACUGGUUUGGAUCUUAUAUCCGAACGAGUAAUAUGAAAGCAUGCAGACACUUGGAUGUGGUGGUGUUGAGCUGCAUUUGGCAAAAUGAUACUAUCUGUUUGGUAGAGCAAUUUAAUCAGACCCAUGCAUGAUUCCCUUAUUCAUUGCACAAAUUGAGGCUCCCUCUACAAAGGCACAAACAAUAAGAGAAAUUUUAUCAAAAGCUCUCGCUUUUUUUUCUUUUGGGCAUUCAUUUGUGUGUACAACUAUAUUUAUCUUGCGGGUGCCGCCCGGCACAUGAAGUCAGGCACUCAAAGACAAUUAUCGGUUUUAGUUUUCUAAAAAAAUUCAGUUUUCUGCUAAUAUUGUAAUGAUUUGAGCCACAUGUAUAAUUUUUCAUUUACUGACCCUAACUCAUAUGUUGAUAGCAUUUGCUUGGUUAAGAAAAAUUUCGAAUGGAUCUAAAUGUUACAAAAAUCUAAAUCCAUAUGUUUGAAUGAUAUAUUUAUUUUUUAUUCUUUUAUUUAUGAGUAUAAGUGGUAAGUUAUUUGUUUUUAUAAAUUCAAAACAUUUUAAAUCUAGUUUUUUAACACUUAUGCCCUCAAAAGUGUUAUAUAUAUCUAGAAGUUUAAAUAGGUAGAUAUUCAUGAUGUUAUCUAGUAUAAUACUAUUUAUAUGUUAUAAAAAUAUAUAAGGUAAUCAUUUGAUAUAUAAUUUGUGGAAAAUAAUUUUGAUAACAUUAUUUUUAUUGUUAUAUGAUAAUAAAAGAAUAUGCCAAAAUUCAAAUUGAAUUUGUAUGUUUGGUACUUUAUACUAAGUAAAAAUUGAGAUCAAGAGAAAUUCUAAUACGACAUCUAACUUACAAUAUUACAAUGAAUUAGAAAAAUCUUUUUGAUUAGAGAAAAAAAAAGGAUUAUUAGAUUUUAGAUAAUAGGUAUGAAAUAAAUAUAUUUAAAUGACGAUGUUUGUAAAAAAAAUAAUUUUUCAUUCAGACAUUUUAUCAUUUAAAUAAACGUUAAAAAUUUUUAAUUUUUUUCAUUUAGAUGAAAAUAUCUUACAAUAAGAAUUCAGAUACAAAAACAAAUAAGGCAAACUUUAAAAGUAUCUUAAAUUAAUGUAAAUUAAAACUUCAGAUAUAAAAACAAAUAAGUGCGUAAUUUGGAUUUUGCUAUGUUUAUAAAAAAAAUUUCUUUUUCUAUUUGCAUUUUAUUAUUUUACUUGUUCACGCUCUUCAAGAUAAUUUAAGGCCUCAAGCAAAUUUUCAAAAUUAGGCUUUUUAAAUUUAAAUUAAGAUAUUGAUGAUAAACAUUUUAUUUUAGAUUAAUUCCUUUUAGAUAGAAAAUCAUUAAUAAAUUUGGUACAUCAAUUCGUGUGCCAAAUUUUUUUGAAGUGUAUAUAUAUAAAUGUUCCAAUUUACUUUAGAAUCAUGGAUUUUAUCAAAAUCUAGAAAAAGUUAUUAAAUAACGUGGUUUAAUAAUGUAAUGAUUGUAAUUUAAUAUCUUUCUUGGACUUUAAUAAAUUCAAGAUCCUAAACUCUCUCUCUCUCCCUAUAUAUAUAUAUAUAUCUAUAUAUAUAUAUAGAUAAUGUUGAACAUGAAUUUCAUUUGGUGGGAAAGAAUAAGAAAUUAUGUUAAACAACUUUAGUGAAAAAUAGAAGCCAUUUUCCAUGUCGUCCUAUAUUAAGUUUUAAAUUAAUACAAUUGAAAAGGAUGGUGAAGCAAAGAAUAUAUUAGAUGAAAUAGGUUAAAUGUAAUCUCUAUAACAAAAUUAUGUAGUUCAGAAUUAUGACACAAACCCUAUUAUGUUCAUAGUAGAAAGAAACGUAGGACUAGUGGCAUCCCUCUAAUUUCCUUUUAGCACCGCCAUUUAACGUCGAGUCUGAAUUUAAUUCCAAAAUCAUUCUUUUCCUCAAUAAACAUUUAAUUUAAAUUCAAAAUUUUCAGUUUCUUCCUCGUUUUGUACUCGUCUACUAGGCCCAGACGCCCAGUAGCCUUGCUGGCCGUCAUCAACAUGGACAAAAUUUUUCAUGAUAAAUUUCUGGAAUAUCAGUCAUUUACUUAUUUAUUAAACCACAUAUACUUGAAAUAACUAUAGUUAAAAGAGGACACAGCAAGCUUAAUUUCAGGAAAAUGGUAAGAAAAUUUUAAAUGUAGUUCAGACCUGACACCCUUAACCAGAACAUUUGAUUAAUUCCUAAACAAGUCUAAUUCUACUCAGAUAGCGAAGACAAGUAGGUCAAAAUGAUUACAACUGCUGUUAUCUAGAGAAUUUGGCCACCAAGCUUCCGUUUAAUUAGUCUCUAUCUUUUGGGUUCAAGUAUCUGUUUAAUCAAUCCAUAAAUUUUUUUAAAAAAGAUGACACUAUAUCUACUAAUUUCCUCUCUAUACCUUCUUUUUAGUUAAUAAUUUUAUUCUUUAAAUAAUUGUUUUAAAGAUUACUUAAUUAACCAUUUCUCUCUCGCUUCUCAGUUUCAUAUAUUCUCAGAAGUUCAUUCAACUAUAUUAUUUUAGCUGCAAAUAACUAGUAUUACUAACUAAGAGGAACCAAAGCCACUAUUGAAAGAUAGACAUCAAUAGGUUCUUAUCGGACAUUAAAUUAAGUUAAUGAAUAUCAAGAAAUUAAUUUUUACCAAAUUCAAAAGUUUAAAAAAAAUAUCAAAAAAAAUUCUCCUAUAUAAAAAGCAUGAAAUAGGAAUCAUGAUAUAAUAAGAAAGGCCAACAAAAUGAAUUCAAAUUAGAGUGAAAUUGAGUGUUUAAUUUACAAAAUGUGAGAGUAGUGAGAGCAUAUGCAAUUGAAAGAGAGAAGAAGAAGAUUAGGGAAAUGAGUUUGAGAUUUUUAAAUUUUUAAUUGCUUAAUAAUGAAUUUUUUUUAAUUAUGUAUAGAGAGAAAUUUGAUGGGUCCAAAUUGUCCCACGAGAAAUGCUUUAAAAUACUUAUGCUGUUAAUUAUGUACAUAAUUGUUAUUAAAUUUUUCUUUACUUUUACAAUAAUAAUAUCCUCAAUGAUUUGGAAAAGUAAAAAAAAAAAGUUAAUUUACUAUAUUCUAAGAUAAUCUUUAUUCUUAUCUUAUCAUUUCUUUUCGUUUUUCUUCGUUUAAAAGUAAAUUCCUUCAUAGCUAAAUUCUACUUAUCAUUUCUUUAUUCUUAUCUUAUCAUUUAUUUAUUCUUAGCUAAAAGAUACAGAUGCUCAUUCCAAACUUUUAAACGCACGAUAAAAAUUGAUACGCAAGACUUCGAGAAUCCAGUCCAAGUGUCCAACCACGUCUUUGAUGGAUAAAUUCUACUUGAUUUAGUCCUUAAUAGUGUGGGACAUGCCAAAUUUUAAACUUCAGCCGUAGAUUUGUUAUCUUUACCAAGCACUAAUAUUGGCUGCCUCACAUCCAUGCACCCACUGGAUCUAUAUAUAUCACAUGAAACCAGAAAUAAGGACUCACUCAAGCUCACCUACUCACUUUUGAUUACGGUUCUCCAGAAGCUAACAGAGAUCGUUUCUGCUUUGAAGAAAAUGGAAACUCCUUACACAGGUUAAUUUUUAGGCCAUGUUCAAUUGAAUGUCAUUUAUAAUUCUAAUUUUAAUAUAUGUGUUUGUGAAUAAGGUUUUUAUUAUCAAAUUUUCAGGUAACAAAGAAUGGUCAGAGGGUACACAUGUUAAUAUAGGAGUUAGUAUGUUUGAUGAUGAGAAAAUAAACAACGAUGAUCUUGAUCUUUUUACUGUCCCUCAAUACGGGAGGUACCCUGACUACACUGGUUAAGUGUUACAGCAUUAUACUUUUCUAUUAUGUUUAGUGAAAUAAAAGGAUGGAUAAUGUUAUUAUCCACCAAUGAUGUGAAUACAAGGUUGGUUUAGUCAACUACUAAGAUCUUGUGGGAUAGACAAAAAACUGCUUUCUUUAGCACAUGUAUUUUGUCGUCCUUAAUUAAUAAAUAAAAUUAUUGUGUGUAUGAGUUGACUGAAUUAUUUUGGCAAUAGAUAUAAAAUUGUAUUAUUUUAAAUAUCUCUAUUUGAUUAAUUGUGCUCUUUUUCUUCUUGAAGGGGCCAAAAUCUUUAUAAUUAAUUAAUAGUACUAAUACUAUUUAUGUUUGUUAUUUGUUAAUUAAAUGGCGUAUAUCAUCAGGAUUAUAAAAUCUUACCAUAACUAUAUUAAGGGUUCUCCUACUUUAAUAUGAUAAAGGACAAGUUAAAAAAUAAACAAAAUACAUAUUUCAAUAUACUGGAUUAAAGAUGGCUGCACCCCUAUGAUGUAUAAAAAUAAUCACAAAAACUCUCAAGCUAAUAAGAAACACUAAAACCCUCUUCUAUUACUUUCUACAAUUAAUUUAUGAUGGAAAAUGUAAAAUUUACUAUUAUGUAUUUAUGAUGCCCUUACUACCUUCCUACGUGGAAUUUUAAAAUAAAUAAAUAAAUAUAUGAAAAAUGUUGUGAAACAACCUGCCCUGAACCCCAGGAGGAGUCUAUCUAACCUCCUCCAAACUAGAUUGAUAAUAAUUCUAUUAGUAAGGAUUCUGUCGAAAAUUCGACAGAGUCUCCUUUAUAUACAUAACAUUCUCAAUAUGAAAAUAUGAAAAUAUGAAAAUAUGAAAAUAUGUAAAACAAUCACUCCCAAAAUAAUUCAAUAUACAACAAACUCCAAUGUUCAACAUCCUCAACCAAAAUGUUGUAUUUUACUCAAGAUAUCACCAAAGUCUCAAAAGAUAAUAUUACAACUAAGUGUGUUCAGACAGACCCCAAAGGCUUCUAUCUCAUCUCAUCUCUAUCACUGUUUCUGGAGUUGAAGGGUAUUGUCUAAUAAUUUAAAAAACAAUCAUUAUAGUCAUAUUCACAUACCUUUUAACCAUACUCAUAUUCACAUACCUUUUAACCAUACUUUGAAUCACUCUUUCCUUUUUCUUGUUUAACACCUACACGGCAUCAUCUUGAUAUAGCAAAUUCUUUUCUCUUUUUUCCCAUUUUUCUCCAUAACAGUCGCACCAACGAAAUGUAAGUAUGGUUUAUUAGCAAAAAUAAAAUUUGUGAAAAGAGGUAAUCAUUUUUUAAUCACCAAAAUGUGCACAAAUUAAAUGAAACUUCCAAAAAUACUUCAUGAAAUGAAAUUUCAAACAUACUAAUGUCAUGAACUAUCUUCGCAUUGCCUAAAAUUGGAUGAGUCUGAAACAAGCCAUUUCAUUGGGAUGCAAUGUAGAAACCAUAAAAUUGGAGAUGUGCUGUAACAUUAGCUCUUCAACAUCACAUAAGCACUAAAGAAAGCCAAAAGUCUAUAAAUUGCUUUUUAAAUUAAAAAGAUGUCAGUAUAAAGAGUAUACACAAUACUUAGGAGGACCUAACUAUUCACAUAUAACUGAGCUUUUCAUCAUCAUCUAACACACUCAUUAGCAAGCUGUUGCAACUCUGCAACUGGUCACAAAAUCAGCCAGCUAACAAUUCACAUGAACAAAAUCUAGCACCAAUUAUAUCAUCAGCGAGCCAUAUCUUGGACAAUCACUUCCAUGUGUAAGGCAUCCAUCUGAAACACAUUUCUCCCAUAAUAAUAGAUCAAUCCUCUGCUAAGCACUUCCACGAACACCAAGAUUGGAACUUUUUUCUUUUUUUUUUUUGGGAGGAAAUUCAUUAACAUAAAGAAGGAACCAAAGUGAAUAUAUGCAAGUCCUGAUACUCCACAACAUUUGAAACCAAAAGACAUGCACUAGGGAGCUGGUUACUCUUUCAAGAUUGAUGGUGCCAAUUCCCUCGAUGAAAUAAAAUCUCAAGUUGGAAAAUGAAAACUUCCUCACCUCAUAUAUGAGUUGUGAGAAACAAAGAACUUGUAAUCGGGAUGACUGACUUGCAAAAGCUUAAGCCAGUUGUCUGCAGCUCGCAGCAGAGAAUUAGCUUUCUGACACUCAUAAACUCCAUUACAGUUCCAAAAAGAAACUUUGAACUUGUAUGAAGCAAGCCCGAAAGUCGGUAACGGUAGCUUAUACAACAUGUCAGCACUGUGAACCUCCCUAACAGUCAAAUUAGGGAAGUGUAGCCCUUCAGAGCUUGUACCUGCCCCAGAUAAGAUUGCAAGUGUCACUACCUAUGGCAGGGAGGACAAUAGAAAGCGCGCAUGCGCACACACACACACAUCCCUAUAUGAUGCAAGAAAGCAACUUACUCUGAAAUGGCGUGGAAAGAGAAUGAAAGGUUAGAAAGCAGGCAUCAAGGUUCUGUAAUGUUGGACCCGUGGGUAUUCUAUAUAUAGGAUACCUACAUUAAGAAUAGCACACAAACUCUUUAAGAUUGCGGAUAUGAACUCAGACGAAAAAAAUUAACUUCAAAUAGAAAAAUAACAUGGAAAAAACAUACCAUGCUACAGAUAUCCAGCUUGAAGGUAGCAAAUCGCAGCUCUUGUAUGUUCUCAGUUCUGGAAAUCGUGAUGCGAGAAUUCCAAUCUGUAUGUUGGAUCCAAGGUUUUGAGUCUUUUUUCAUGAUUAAGGUAAAAAUACUGAAAACUAAAUAUAUUGUUCUACGUAAGAACAAUGCACUUGCCUUGUCAGCCAAAGGUUCACGACUAAAUGGAGGAUCAUGCUCCAGGUAUUCAAAUAUAAGCUGGCCGGGGGGAUUGCAAAUCUCACUUUCUUCACUUGAUGAACCCACAAAGGGUUUAUUCCUCAGCGAAAGCCCACUGAAAUUCUGAAUAUUUGCAUCUGCAAUGUUCUGCUGACUCCACGUCCCAUGAACAAAAGCAUUGAUUCGCCUCUCUGCCCCGGUGUCACUGCUGCCAUCACUACUUGUCUCCCUGGAUGACUCAGCGUCACUCUCCUCACCAGGCCUCCUGUCCAAAGAAAUGAAUGAAAUUCCUUUAGACAAAGCAUGACAGUUUCAGAUCCCACCAAGGCAAUGACAGUAAUGUCAAUAAAUAAUAGACCACACAAACAAUCUGACAGGACAUUAUGACAACAGCACCAUCUUAGUUGUUUCUAACAAGAUGAGUAAUCCAUGUAAUACUUCAGCACUUGCUGCAUUUAUGAGUUCGUUAUAAUCUGAUGCUAGAAAUUACCUCCACAUCAUCAAGAACCAUACAACUAUCUAACCUAAGCUUGAAUGCUCAUCCAGCAUUUCCAACAGAAAAGGAAUGGACUGCUUCAAUGGCUAAACGAAAUACACAAGAAAUUCCCUUUCUGCUCUUCGCAGACUAAUACAAAAUUACAAGAUGCCAGCAAUAGAGUUAAGGAUAUAGCCAAGUUUUAUGAAAAGCAUAUCAAAAUAAGAACAUUUGGCAGCAAAACCCAGUAACUAAAAAAGAAAACUGUUAUAAAUGAGAAUUCUGGGACAAUGUCUCACCUCAACCUUGAGGAAGGUCUCGAUGGGUCUAUGUACAGCUGAAUGCCAGACAAGUAUGGUACAUAAUACUGCUUGACAGACUCGUUCCCAUCCAACAAAAGGGGGACACCAGCUCCAUAAGCACUCCAUUCCUUAAAUGAUUCCCACAAAUCCCCAAGCACAAAGUACGGCUGAAAUUCUGUUUCCUGGCUUCUCCAUCUCCUCACACUUGUCUAUAACAAAUUCCACAAUGUAACAAAAAAGGAAGAAGUAAAGAAAAGGAGAACAGAGAAACCGAGACAUAUUGAACAAAUGCCACAUAAAUACAUUCCAACAAGAAAAGAUUGCAUUGUGGAGAAUUUUUUAUUUACUUUUUUUGGUCCUGAUUAAAGCACAAGAGAAAUGUGCAUAAUUAAUAUUGAUUCAUAAAUACUCUCAAACAAUCAAGAUAACUGUAUCAUCAGCAUGCUUGCUAGUAGAAAGGAAAAAGAAAAGUGAAGGAAAGGACAAAGACAAAGCUCCAUUCUUCUUGUCCUUUUGGUUGCUAUGAUAAACGUUCACGGAAAUACAGUUCUUUCACUAAUUGACAUCCCCUAACAACAAAAGCAAGAGACAUUUAUAUCUAAAUCAGACAAUAUGCGCUGAAUUUACCAUACACAUAUCCACAUUCAUUUACUUUUACAUAAAAGAAGGUAAAAUCAUAAAUUAUAUCUCCCCAUCAAUAAGCUUUAUUGUUUUUUUUUUGGGUCCCUAUACUCUAUUCCAUUCACCACCGUAAGCAUUUGGCUUGUGCAUCCCCCAUUACCUUUAGUGUCAUUGUUUCCAACCAACCAAACAGGCAAAACAGCCUCUCUUCUACCCUUUCUUUUUCAACCAUAUAUUGCUUCCCUAAUUUCUCUCUUACUGAACUAUGAGUUAUUCACUAAUUCCCUUCCAAGCAACCUAAUAAACCAAAAUUUAAAGACUAAAAUUUUCAUUCAGCUCCAAACAUAUCAACAUUUUCUAACGGAAUAACAAAGAACCACCACUACAACAAAUCCCUAAAAACCAAAAUUACAUGGAAGUCAACCCCAAUAGACAUAAAUAUACUAAAGACUGCAUUCCAACCCCCUCAAAAUUCAUAAAAAUUCUAAAUUUUCAUCAUCUAAACUAAUAAAACUAAUAGAAAUUGCAAUAAGAGACAAAAAUUAACAGCUUUCAAAACUCAUUAAUAAAGCAUAGUAAUAAUUUCGACAAUUUCAUCAAAAUUGAUUUUAAAAAAAAUGACAAAAAGUGAUUUUUUUUUUUUUUUUUGUGACAAUCACCUUAGGAAGAUACUGAGAGGGCACCACAGGAGUCGUGUGCUCCAAGAACCUAUCCAAAUUCGUCGAUUCACCAAACGAAUUCGAAACCGAUUCACAUUCAUCGCUCUCCGCUGUUCUCUUCUCCGAACAACUCAACUUCUCCAACCUCAGCCGCUCGCGCUCCUCCUGCACUCUUUGUUUCUCCUCCUCUUCCUCCUGUUGCCGCCGCAACAACUGCUGCUUCCGCACGUGCGGCGGAUUGUAAAACCGGUUCUCCCCGCGCCCUCCGCGGCCGAUCGGAACCGUUCUCGAACCGGACAUUAUCGCAAUCGGAAGGAGAAUUAAAACGAAACGACGCAGUUUUUUGAGUUCCCAAUCGAAAGAAACUGAAACGAAGGUUUUCAAUAAAAGUGAACAGUGAUGUGAAGAGUAAAGGUUUCGACUUUCAAGAUCUAGGGUUUUAGUUUUCGCUGUCGUUAAUUAUAAUAAUUAUUUUUAUAAUCGCGAUUAAAUUUUUUAAAUAGUGAUUUGUAUUAUGCAGAUGUGGCCAGCGAUGUGAUGAAGUGAAGCGUUUUGUGUAAUUGUGUUGGACGAGAAAAAUAAUGGAAGUUCAGAUUCUUCUGAAGCAGAUAUUUAUUAGUUUGAAACUCGAAAAGAGUAGGCAACUGUGGGAUAUACUCAACAGACGCAAGAAGAAUCCAGAAUGAUGAGAUCAUCAAUGUAUUUUAUUCGAGAAAUUUCUUGGCUUUUUUUUUUUUUUUUUUUUUUUUUUUAUUUUUUUGGUUUCAUUCAUUAUCUUGGACUAAUCAUUUUGCUAAUUUAGAUAAUGUUAUUAUUAUAAGUAAUGAUACAGUCAUAAACUAUUGUACAAAUUUAUUUUGUACAAACUGACGUGGCACUAAUUCACUGGUUGAAUAAAAAUAUAAAAUAAUGAAAACAAAUCAUGUGGGCCAAGUGAUAUUUAAUUCAACCAAUCUUAUCAUGCCACAUAAGUUUGUACAAAAUAAGUUUGUACAAGAGUUUGUGGCUAUAUCAUUACUCUAUUAUUAUUAUUGACUAUAGAGUUGUAAUUAUCGUAAAAUACUGAUGGGAUCUGAGUUUAAGAUCUUUAUAAUAUUGACCCAAAAUGGGAUAUUCUUAAAUUCAUUUUCAUAUUGGAAACUUCUUCUGUCACCAUGUCUUCAUAAUAAUUAAAGUUUUAAUAUUGAAUAAUUCAUUUUAUGGUGGCUAAGGGUGAAACAAAAUUGUAAUUGAUCCAAACAAAGCUUCCCUUAAGAUCUCAAAUCUUUAACCAUUAAAGAAGAAAAAAAAAUGUGUUUGGUGUGUGAAGUUAGAUUGGGUUGAAUUCCAUUAAACUAUUUUCACAAAUAUUGCUGCAUACUCAUACUGCAUGACCUUAAUUCUAUGUGUUUUUUUUUUCUCGCCUUAUGAAUCCAUUAUUUCAUUUGGUGCUUCACAUACCUGAAGUGACUAUAUAGCAUGCAUAGAAAAUUUUUGCAUUUUACUAGAAAAUAUAAGCAAUCGGAAAACCAUGAAUCUGCAGUCGAUAUAGAUUUACAGUUCUAAGCCCAAAGCCCAAAGCCCAAAGCCCAAGAAGAAGAAACCCCAGUUUGUGGCCCGAUUUUACAAAAAUUUCAGAGCCCAGCAUGCCCAAAGAUAAAAUCUGAGAAUUUUCUUCUAGAAGCACAUGAUAUGAUCUUAUGAGAUCAAUUCGUGUGCUGCAGGAUUUUUAAUCAUACACAUUAUAAUAGUUGAGUAAUUGUGGAGAUAUGUUUUAUAUUUAUUUAAAUGGAUAUUCAUUCUAAGGGACAACCAUUCAAUGUUGAUGUAAUUUUUAUGUCGUGGUUAUUUGUUCAGGAUAUAUAAAUAAUUAAAAUUUAAACGUACAUUAUUAUAAAUGUACGUGCAACCGAAGAUUAUUAAAAAUGAUUAGUACUAAAUCCAAAUUUAUUUUUAAAAAAUGAAGGCGGCCUAAAUGAUUGGCAUGUUGUUUUUUCACCAGCAUUUUAUAAAUUUAUCCGUUGAAAUCAAUGAAGUUAAUAAUUUGUAGUUUUUUUUAUUAUGAAAAAAAAUUCAAUUUUGUUUAUAUCCUUCUAGAGGAACAAUAUUCAUCCAACUCAUAUGUGCAUUAUAUCCAUUUUUUUUUCUUGGGUAAUAAAUAAGUAUUGCCUCAUAAACUUUUGAUUAUAUCCAUAAAUUGACAUAAGAAAACUCUUCUUUUGUUUUACAUGAUAACAUGAACCUUAUAUGUUAUUCUUGGGUGCUCAUGCUUUGAUAUGAUCUGACUUGAUCCACAAAUAAUUAUAACUUAAUCCAAUCCGAACUCAACCUAAAAUUUUGAUCCGAUCCGAUCCGAUCCGAGUUUAAAUCAGACCAAAUCGGAUUACAAGUUCAAAUAACUUUUUUCCCAACUCAAACAACUUAAAACCCAAUCAAAAUGACCCGAACUUGAAUUUGCCCACCCCUAAUACCAUUUGAUAGCUGACCUACAAGUAACCAUUGUGUUUUUUGUAUUUUUUUAAAAAUCAUGGAUUGUGUGACCCUAGUCAUCACUCUUCUUGGUCAAUUAUUGUGUUGCAUGGUCGAACAGACCAUUUACAUCCAUCAUCUUGAAGUUAACUUAAACAAAUUGAGAGAUGCAAACAAAGUCUCGAUGGCCUUAAUAACAAUGUUAUAGGGAGAGUUGAGCAUGCGAAAGAAGGUACUCGCCUAGAAAGCAUAUGGAAGAGUGGUUGGAGAGAGCACGUCGAGAGUUACAGGAAGUUGAAUCCAUUUUGCAGAAAGGUGAAGACAAGAAAGACUAGUUAUGUACGUAUAAUAAUUGUUCAAAGAAUUGUUAUUUCAACUACAAUUAUGGUAAGAAAAUUUUUGAGAUGACAAAUGCUGCCAUUGAGUUUCUAGCACAAGUAAAAUUUAAUGGAGCUACUGAUUGAAGUCCCUUUCUACUGUGGACGAGAUACUGUAAGAAGUCAGUGGGCAUUAGCUUUAGACUAAAUGAAGUUUGGAGCUAUAUUGAAGAUGAUGAUGUGAGAAUCUUUAGCUUGUAUGGAGUUAGAGUGAUUGGGAAGAGCACUUUGUUAAACCUACUUAAUAAAAAUUUCAGCCAACCAAACCUCAACCUCAACUUUGACAUGGUAAUUUUGGUUAAGACUUUUGGAGUCUGGAUUACGGAUUUCAAAUUCUUCGUGGAGCAACAAGGAUAAGAACGGCAGAGCAUUUGAAAUAUUCAGAAAAUUAUACAACAAGAUGUUUGCCUUCUUGUUGGAUGAUUUACGAACAACAAUAUCGUUAUUAGAAGUUGGUGUGCCUCUUCACAGUAGAUCGAAGAUAGUUUUGACCACCAUAUUUGAGACAGCGUGCAGAAGCAUGAGCUUUGACAAAUGUUAAAAAGUCAAUUAUUUUUUCAGAACAAGAAGCAUUUAAUCUGUCCUAGCUCAAGUUCACCUACGCUAAACUGAACUCUCAUUCUUAUGUACUUGCAAAACUUGUGUCUAGCGUCUCUGAAGGCCAUUCCCUUUCUCUUAUUACCAUAUUCUUAUUACUAUCGGAUGCGCCAUGCCUUGUAAUAUAGGCGACCCUGAUCUUGGCAUCAUACAAUUGAUGAAUUGACAAAAUAUCGGUAAACAAGAAGUUUGCCUUCUUGUUGGAUGAUUUACGGACAUCAAUAUCAUCAUUAGAAGUUGGUGUGCCUCUUCACAGUGGAUCAAAGAUAGUUUUGAUUACCAUAUUUGAGAGAGCGUGCAGAAGCAUAAGCAUUGACAAAUGUUAAAAGGUCAAUUAUUUUUUGGAACAAGAAGCUUUUAAUUUGUUCAAGCUCAAGGUCACCUAUGGUAAGUUGAUGAUACACCUGCAAAACUUUUGGCUGGUAUGUGUGAAGGCCAUCUGCUUUCUCUUAUUACUAACGGAUGCGUCAUGCCUUGCAUUAUUGGGGACCCUGCUCUGUCAUUUUGCAAUUGAUGAAUUGACUAAAUAUCGGUUCGAUUUUGAAGAUAUGGGGACUCAUUUCCUUGCUCACUACAAUCACUUUUCAGGUAAAUUUUUUUAACCUUCAUUUUUCUUUGUUUCCUCAAAUUGUUAUGCCCGCUGAUCUCUAGUAUAAGGCACAUUCAAAAAUAUCCCUUUCAAGCAAAAGCAUGAUGUUUAAAGGUAAUAAAAGACAAACAGUAACAACAAAGUGUUGGCUCCACUGGCAAUGGAGUCCCCUUAAGUGGCUUGACUGAGUUUGCUCCCCAAUUCGAGUCUCAGGGAAGUUGCCUUUGUUGGGAGAACCUGUGCCUCUCGGUUCGAGCGGGGAUUUCUAGUAUGGGUUGUGGUACAGACUUAAAAGUGCCUCCCACAGUUGAGGCCCUCCCCAAAAUACCUCGUGGUCAAAACCAAAAAAAAAAAAGACAAACAGUUCUUUAGAUAUAACAGUGACCUUUGCUUGGCAUUUUCAAACCAACUUUAACAACUACCCAUUAUCAUAAUUUUAAACAAAUGCUUCAGUUUCGAAGUGAAAUGAUAGAAUUCGAUCAUGAAUAGAGUGCGCGAAGUGAAAUAUUUUCAGUAAUGAUUUUUUACAAUGAGCUAAUACAUACACUCAAGUGUUAGGACAUGGUAUGUAAAAAAAAAAAAAAAAAGAAGUGUUGGGACAUGAUUUUCGAUUGAAUUAGCUACUUAGUUCCAGCAAUAAAUGGCACAAAUACUGGAUAUGGUUUUGUAGAUGGCCCAAAACGAAAUAGAAAUCCACAUUGUCCAGCCCAUUUUUUAGGAAAAAUACAGAGCCCUGUGUGCCCAAAACUCAUUGCCCAAUCUUCUAGAAACAGAAUAAAAUUACCAUAAAAAUCAAUGCAUAUGCAGCUCGCAGAUUGACAUGCAAGUUGUGAACAUGCGGAAUAGUAAUAGUAAUCAGUGGAUUUUCUGUCUGUUUUACCUAAAACUUUCAACUGUACAAGUAAACAAAUAUUAGAAAUUCAGUAUUAAAAGUUUGGGUGCAGCUGCUUGCUUAAUUUAUUGGCAUUUAUUAACCAUGUGGAUUAAUUUAUUGCACAAUAUAAAGCAUAUGGGUGUUUUAUUGAAAAUUUAUCGAGUAUUAUAUUUAAACAAUUACAACAAAGACUAGCAACUGUAUUGGAGCUUAGCUAUUUGCUAUUGGCUAUUUAAUCUGGUUUUCUAGAAAGCAAAUUAUUUAUAAAUAUUUUUGGUAAUGGGCGGUGCCACAGUAGACAGAACACCUUCAUGGAAUAUGCACGCACGCUUUGAAUUCAACCAAGUUAUCUCCCUCACUUCCAUGUCUAUAUAAACCCUUGAGUUGUUCGUCAGUCUCAACACAAACUCAAAAAUCAUCUGCAUUUGAAGCAAAUUCAUUCAUCAUUUUAACUUCUUGUAGUGUGUGCAUUUCUCUUUCUCUUUUUAAGCUACUUAACAUGGGUGUCAUUCGCUUUGAGAAAGAGGCUCCAGCUGCUGUUGCUCCUUCAAGAAUGUUCAAGGCUUUCGUUGACUCUCACAAUCUUUUACCAAAGAUAGCACCACAAGCAUUCAAGAGCAUCGAUAUUCUUCAAGGAGAUGGAGGCGUGGGUACUAUCAAACUAUGGAACUUUGCUGAUGGUAAGUCUUGUUUCUGCUUGUUAAUUUUCCAAGUCCAAGAUUCCCCUUUGUACCACGAUUCAAAUUAAUCGCACCUGACAUUAAUAAUAUUUCAUUAUCCGUCAACUUUUUAACUUCAUAAUUAGUGUUGAUUUUUUUUUUUGUUUUUUACAAUGGUCAGAUUUUACUAUUUCAAAAGUAUAUAUAUCAAAUUAUUUAACUUUGUAAUGUCAGAGUGGUUCAUGACAAAGAACUGAUUAAUUUCGAGGGGGGGAAAGAAAAGGCUUGGUCAUUUUUCUCAUUAAUCAUUACAUCGUGCAUGUUGUUCGUAAAGCGUAACAUAGAUAAGCUAACGAAGAUUCAAUGUAAUUCACAGGUGGUGAUUUCAAGCAUUCGAAGCAAAGAAUUGAUGCACUUGACAAGGACAAUCUUACAUGCAAGUAUACUGUCUAUGAAGGUGAGGGAGCAGCUGCAAUCUUUGAGAAAGCAGUGUACGAUGUUAAGUUCGAGGCUUCUGGAAAUGGUGGAAGCAUUUGCAAGGUUGCUGCUGAGUGCCAUAUAAAGGGUGAUCAAGAGCUCAAAGAAGAGCUGAUGAAGGACGCCGAAGAGAAAGCAACUGCAUUGUACAACAUUGUGGAAGCACAUCUCUUGGCUAAUCCUGAUCUCUAUGCCUAAAUCGCAUCAUGAUUGGCGUUUUCGAUUUCUGAAUGUGUUUGCUAAUUGAAUAAAGGGUUGUCUCACUGUCAGCUUCUAAUUUGUUGUUUUACUUGUUUCGGCUCAUCUUUGGUUCUUCUAAUAAUUAUGUUUAGUUGAAGCUUGAAUGUUACCUGUUUGUUCAAUAAAUGUGUAUGGUCAAUAUAUAAAUGACCGUUAAUUUUAUUGCUUUUAAUAAAAGUGAACAGUGAUAUGAAUGGUAAAGGUUUCAAUUUCAGGAUCUAGGGUUUUAGUUUUAGUUUUCGUUAAUAAUAACAAUAAUUUAUAUAUAAAUAUUGGGAAUGAAAGGGGAAUAGAGUCUUUACAUACUUUAUAGCUAGAACUUAUGCCCUCGAUAUUAAAUUAUAUCAUUCAAUGUUAAUUUACGGAGGAUAAAAAAUUGUAGAUACACAAAAACUAAAUUUCAUAUUAAAUAUAUAAAAAAAAAGAGUCGCACCAUACUUUUGAAACUUGAAUCAAUGUAAGUAGCUUAAAAAUGUAUCAUUCUAUGGUGGUUUAGUGGGAAAAAAAUAAAGAUACAUAAAUACAAAGCUUCAUAAUAAAUCUCAAUUUUUUUUCCAAAAUUAACUUGAAUUGGAUUAUACUAGACUAAACUAUUAGUAUAAUUAUUUUUAUAAAGAAUGGGACUAUUAGCACCCCUAUAAUUUUUUUUAGAGCUUUUUUUUUUUGGUAUAUUAACCAUUUGAUAUCCAAAAACCACAUUGAUCUCUAAUUGGGUAAGCCUACCAAGGCGGCAAAGCUCUUGCAGCGAAUAUUUAACGCACCUAAAUUCUCAAGCCUCAAACCAAGAACCUUGGUUAAGUUAGAACAACUUUAUACCAGCUGAUCUACGAGCUCGUUGGUUUUAAAAGCUAUUUUCGAUCAGGAGCUAUUUUAACUUCUAAAACAUCAUUUUCUAAUUUUUUUAGUUUCUUCCUCUCUACUCCAAAUCUCCAAAUAUGAUUUUCUUACACAAUAUAUAUAUAUAUAUAUAUAUAUAUAUAUAUAUAUAUAUAUAUAUAUAUAUUAUUUAACUUCUAAAACACCCUUUUUAAUAGAAUCACGUGGAUUAAAAAGCCAAGUGUUGUGAAAGAAAAAAAAAAGGAAAAAAAUUGUAAAAACUGUUAUUAUGACUAUAUAGGUGUAAAUGCCAGAGAAACAAACUUAUGGAGAAAGAAAAUAUAGGUUGAUUUAUUUUGUCCUUUAAUAUAAUUGUGAUAAGAGAGGGGAUUUACAAAAAUUAUGAAGGAGUGCUAAUAGUCCCACUCAUUCACAAAUUUUGCCGUGUAUUGUAUAUUGCAUGACCUCAAUUCUGUAAUUUUUCUCGACAAAUGAAUAGGUCUGGUGCUUCACAUACUUCAAGUGAGUAGUAAGCGUAGAAAAUUUUAGCUAGAAAAAAGAAGCAAAAAGAAAAUAAAGAACAAUAUGCCAAUAUUUGCACUGCUACGAAAGUAAAAUCAUGAAUGUUCAUCUGCAUGCAAAUGAUCGUAAAUAUUGGACAUUUUUUUUUGAAUUACAUGAGACUAAUGCUCAUAUUACAACUCAUAUUGUAUGAGAUUUACAACUGAUAUUUACAAUCAGACAAUUACUAAGACUAGUUUACAUUAAUUCUUAUAUAGUACUGUCCAGAUUUCACCCUCUCAAAUAUUCGAGAGAUGUCUACUCCACUCACAUUUCGAAAGGAAGAAGAUUGUCUUCACUUAAUUAUAUAAUAUAAGUAAGGAAUGAAAUAAGUCCCUACAGGCAUCGCGGGGGCUCGAAUUACUAACCCCACAGUUGUGAGUGUAGGAUCUUGGCCAUUGGACCAAAGGCCCAAUGAUUGUAAAUAUUGGACAUUAGGUUCAUAGUUUUAGCCCGAGAAUCCAAAAAGAAAAAGAACCCAACCUUCGUGGCCCCAAUUUAAAAUAAAUUCCGAGCCCAGCGUCUACAAAGAGAUGAAAUCUGAGAUUGAUAUCCCAGAAGCAGAACAUAUUCAUUGUGACAAUCAAUGCUUAUGCUGCGGGACUGUUAAUUAAAAAAAUAAAAAAAUUUCUUUCAUUCCGAUAAGAUGAGUAUCAAACCAAAACACAAUAAAAGUACACUCUAAAUAUAAUAAGUUUUGUCAUUUAUCCGUUGAAAGUCACUCAAAAAAUUUAUUCUGAAUGUUGGAUGUAUCCGGAUUGAAAAGGCACGUAACAAAGCUUGUGUCCUUGAAAAUUGGAUACCUACACCUGAAGAAAUAAAAGAAAUAAAAUACUAUAUAAAGGGUAAUAGUUGGAGCCCAACUAUUGGCCUUUUAAGAUUAAAGCUAGAAUCCUCAUGUUAGAUAAAUUUUUUUAGGUGAAUGUCAAAUUCGUUAUUGAUUGUCUUGAAUGCCACUCACUUCCAAGCCCUCUAUAUAAACCCUUGAGGAGUUCUUCAUCUUCACAACAAACACAAAAGCUAUCGCUACCGCAGCAAAACUCAUAUUUAACAUGGGUGUCCUUCGCGUUGAGAAAGAGGUGCCAUCCGCUGUUGCACCUUCAAGAUUGUUCAAGGCUUUAAAUGACUCCCACAAUUUGCUGCCGAAGAUAGCGCCUCAAACAAUUAAGAGCAUCGAUAUUCUUCAAGGAGAUGGAGGUGUUGGCACUAUCAAGCUGUUGAAGUUUGCUGGUGGUAAGUAGUAUACAUAGCUUUAUUAAUUGCUACAUGCAUCAUGCUCGUUCUGUUUAAUUUUCAAAUCCAAAAUCUCACAAACUUAAUUAAAAAUGUAAUUUAAGAAGAUUGAAUUAGUAUUGGGAUUGACAGGUGGCGAUUACCAGCAGACGAAGCAAAGAAUCGAUGCACUUGACGAGGCCAAUUUAACAGGCAAGUACACUACGUAUGAAGGAGAUGGGAUUUUGAAAUUGGCUGAGAAAAGUGUGUACGAUAUUAAGAUCGUGGAUUCUGGCAAUGGAGGAAGCAUCUUCAAGGUUGUUGUGGAGAUCCAUGUUAAUGAUGAUAAACUGGUCAAUGAAGGGUACAUAAAGGAAUCCGAGGAACAAGGAUUGGGAUUAUUCAAGCUUUUGGACGCCUAUCUCUUGGCUAACCCCAAUCUCUACGCCUAAAUUAAUCAUCAUAUGCAUUGGCUUUGCCAAUUGCGAAAUUUCUAGCUAGCUAAUCAAAUAAGGCUCGUGUCAUUGUUUGUAAAUAAGCUUUUGAGGCUGAAUGUAAAUAUACGUACGUACGUAGUGUGUUCGCUAAAUAAAUGUCCAAUCUGCUGGACAUAUAUAAGAUAAAUAUCGAUCGUGUAUGAUCAGUUUAUACGUACAUGUUUGCAGUUUCAAUUUCUAAACUUUACUGUUUUUACUUAUUUAUUGAAGCAUAUAAAUACGAUAUCUACUGGGGACCAAGUAUAAAUAAGCUUAAGGAAUCUAAAUCCAAACAAUUAAUAAUAUAUUAUAGCACAGCGUAGGGUUGGGGCUGGGCUGUACCACGUAUAAAUAACUUGGUGACAUGUUCCAAUAAAGAUUCGAUGAUUUGAACCAAUAAAGUGUUGGCUCCACUGGCAAUGGAGUCCCCUUAAGUGUCUUGACUGGGUUUGCUCCCCAGUUCGAGUCGCAGGGAAGUCGCCUUUGUUGGGAGAACCUGUGCCUCCCGGUUCGAGCGGGGACUUCUAGUCUGGGUUGUGGUAUGGGCUUAAAGGUGCCUCCCACAGUUGGGGCCCUCCCCAGGAUACGUCGUGAUUAAUAUAAAAAAAAAAAAAAAAGAUUCGAUGAUUUGAGAUGUUCAUGCAUGCAUGCAUUUUCCAUCUUUCUUCGCCAAGGCGACCCAAGCUCUUAUUUUUUUCUUUUCUUUUCUUUUCUUCUUCUUCUUCUUUUGAAAAGAAAGUAAACCUUUGAUUAUCAAAGGCCUAGGUAGUCACUAAUACACUGUCACAAGAACGGGCGAUAGAAUGAGAACCUAAAAUUUGAGUCCUACUCACUCUAAAUUUUUCCUUUAUGUUCUAAAUGAAAAGCAGUUUAAUACAUUAGGUCUCAUGAGGUAUUCGAGAAAAUUUUAUAGGUCUGGCUACCUAACUCAGAUUUGUAAAGUGAAACCACAAUCAAAACGGACCUUUAAAAAAAAAAAAUACUACAACAACACAACACUACAACACAAUAAAGUUUCUGGAUUUGAGCUGCGCCAAAUGACAGUAUUACAACAACGAAAAACUGUUACAACAACAAAAAACUAGAAACAAAAACAAAGAAUACAUGACCGACGUUUAUUAUGAAGACAAGGUGAAGUGCAUACAAUGAGCUAAGAUAGACUUGGAAGUAUUGAUAUGUACUCUAGGAUUAUCAAUUGAAUCAACUCAGCUGGCUUUGUUCACCAUAAUUUAAGCUCCAGUGUAAGGCUCGUUGUGUUCUACAAAGCGUACUUUUUCCAUUUCAUAAUAUUGAAAUUUCUCAUAUUGUUAAGUAACACUUAAAUAAACAAGGUUAUAAAUAUGGUUUGAUAAGAUUCCAACAAAAAAAAAAUUCACUUUUUCAACUCUCAGAAACCCUAGCUGUUUCAACCAACGAAGCCAAAGACCAGAAAUACAUCAUCACCAUCUUCAUCUUCUUACAGCUACACCGAACAACAUAUCCUAGUCAUUUUAGCUCUCAUUUCAAAAUAGGGAUUCUCAGCAUCUUCCGUCCGACAAAUUGAUCAUAUCAAAAAGAGAACAAAUAUUGAUUUGGGACAGCAACCAAGGGGAAUCAUUAUUGAUGGGAAUCUUAUAUCAUCUUCACUUAUGUAGGAUUAACAAGAAUCAACUCCUACCACGUCUUUGAUGGAUAAAUUCUACUCAAUUUAGUCGCUAAGAGUGUGGGACAUGCCAAAUUUUAAACUUCAGCCGUAGAUCUGCCAUCUGUUCCAAACACUAAUUUUGGCUGCCUCAAACUCAUGCACCCACUUGAUCUAUAUAUAUCAGAUGAAACCAGAAAUAGGAACUCAAUCAAGCUCACCUACUCACUUUUGAUCACGGUUGUCCAGAAGCUAGCAGAGAUUGUUUCUGAUCUGAAGAAUAUGGAAACUUCUUGCACAGGUUAGCUUUUAGCCCACGUUCAGUUGAAUAUCAUUUAUAAUCUUAUUUUACAAUACAUCCAUUUGUGAAUAAGUUUUCUAUUAUGAGAUUUUCAGGUAAGAACGAAUGGACGGAGUGUUUAAUACUUUUUGUAAUAUUUAGUAUUGUUGAUGACGAGAAAAUAAGUGACAAAGAUCUUGAUCUUCUCGUUGUUCCUCAAUACGGGAGAAACCCUGAUUAUGCUGGUUAAGUAUUAUAAUAUUACACUUUCGUGUUAUGUGUAAUUAAAUAAAAGGAUGGAGAAUGUUAUUAUCUGUCAAUAAUGUGAACAUCAGUUUGUGCUUAUGUACUUUGUUGUUAAUAAAUAAAACUAUUGUGCUUCUAUGAGUUCAUUAAGUUAUUCCGUCAAUGGAUAUAAAAUUGUGUGUGUGUGUGUACGUAUAUCUAUUUGAUUCAUUAUGCUUUCUUUCUUCGUGAAUAUUUUUGUUAAUCAAACUCUACACACUAAGGGAACCGAGUCCUUUAUAAUUAAUGAAGAAUAUUAUUUAUGUUGCUAAUUAAAUGGCAGAUAUCAUCAUGAUAAUAAAAUUUUACCAUAACUAUAUUAAAGGUUCCGUUACUUUAAUAUCUUAAGAGACAAGUUACAAGAUAAAGAAAACACUUAUUUCAAUAUAUUAUAGCCCUCCUUCAAUAAAUCCUUACUGAAAAUUAUAUAUAUAUUGGAAAAAGGACAGGUAUACCCAUAAAAUUUGGGAAAAUGAUUACCAGUAGAAUCACUUGAACUAUCACAUUCAUGAGGACUCGAUUUCUCAUAUGAGAUGACUUGGCCUAUUCACAUUGAAUUUCCUUAUGAAAUGGUUGGAAACACUUGUUCUACUAGAAGAAUUGACAGUGAAAAUUCUCAAGUUUUUGACAAGAGACACCAAAACCAUCUUUUAUUACUUUUUACAACUAACUUAGUUGUAAAAUGUAAAAUUUACUAACUUUACUUUCAUUGAUGCAUUUAUUAUCUUGCUACAUGGAAUUUUAAAUUGAAUAAAUAAAUAUCUGAAAAACGUGACUCAACUCAUUAACAUUAAUUUAAUUUUGCUGCCAUUGCCACCAAAUCUAACAUCAAACCCUAACCCAGUUUUCAAUACAUGCACAAAUCAGCCAAAGCAUGCAAAAUCAGUGGCUAAAACUGAUAUGAAAAUUAAAAAAAAAAAAAAAAAAAAGGAACAACAACAAACAUUUGCCAGAGCCGAAAACCCACGACCCACUGACUACGAAGAUGAAGAAUAGUAUAGAAUGUAUAUGGUGUAGAAAUAAUUAUGUAAAUAACCACGUCCAUAAGUUGCAUGUUGUUACAAAUUAUUUUUAAUUUUGUAAUAUUUUUUGUUAACUCAAAGUAAUAUGAAAUUGGUGAAAAUUAAAACAUACAUAGGUGUUUAUAAAUUUAUCCAUAAAUAAAUUAUGAGUAUAUCACUAAAUACAAUAUUUUUAAAUAAUAAAAAAAUCAAUUUUCAUUCGCCAGUUAAAGCGCGGCAAAAGAUUUUUUUAUAAAAAAAAUCACUUAGUUCAAACUCUCAGUUUACUUUUGUCACUUGUCAGACCUCAUUACUCUCUCCACCAUUCAAGCUAAUUAAUCAAGCCUCUUAAUCAUCGUCCUAAUAACUGCCACAAAAGGAAAUGAGUGAAUCAGGUACUUUUAUCUUUAAUUUCAUUGGUUUAAACGGAACCUAUCAAGCAAUCGACUAUGCCGUUGCCAUAUUUACAUUGAAUUGGGAGAGAUCAGGUGGAGGAUUGUGGUGUUAAUUUUCUGCAUCAUAUCUUCUCCUUAGAUGGGGGCGGGUUCGAAUAUUGAACUUUGACUUAAUUUUAUAGUAGGUUAUUUGAAAAUUGACACAAAAGUAUUAACUAUUUGAUUGAUGUUCAACAUAAGAAUUAAGACAAGCCUUACUAAAUUUGAAGGAAUUUCCAAGGAUAUAUUUGUGUAUUGAUUUAAUUAAUUUGUAGUUAUAUAAUAUUAGAAGAGGUGAAUGAUGGGUCAUGGGGCAAGUUCUUCAGAAAUUCAACUAAUAUAAUAGCUGCAUUCAUUUAUUCUUAUAGUACUAGAAGUUCAAAUUAUAUAAUUAAUUUGACAGUUGAAGUGGUGUUAAAACUGAGAUCGAUGAAUCUGUUAAGUUGGCGUUAAUGAAUAUGAGACUCUGUGAUGUAUAUAGUUGGCUCCAAAGACUUUCUCCAUUAUGAGAAUGUAAACAUAAAUGAAGAGAUUUAUGGGGUCUAUAGAGCAAUGGCCAUGAGGCGUAAAAGAUAACGUGCGUGUCCACAUGUCAUAUUAUGAUUAUUAAGAAUUUGUGGGUUGAUGGCACCCAACUAAUUAGGUGAUAAUUUUUAAUUUAAGAUGUGUUGGUUGGUUUCAUGAGCUAAUGUUUGGUAACGUGAUUGGAUAAUUAUAGUUUUAAAACUAUAGUACUAUUAAAAUAUAAAUAUUUAUUGUCGUGGUUUAAAAAUCAAGUUAAUUUAAUCUUAUACUUAUUCUAUCAAAAAUUUGUAAUGUGUCUAUUAUUUUUGUCAAUAUUAUUAUUUAAAAGUCAUAUUUACCAUAUAUUAUUAAUUUUUAUAUCAUAGUUAAGUGUGUAUUUUUUGCAGCAGUUGCGACUUAGGAUGACUAUCUAGUUAUUCAACAUUUGUUGGGGUACAUCGCUACAGUCAUUAGUUUGUUAUCCGUUCGCAUUGGAAAGUUCACCCAAUUCCCGGGUUAAUUUGUGAAUAAUAUUGUCAAAGAUAAAGUAUUGGGACUUUAUUAUUAUUAAGAAUCAUAAUCAGACAAGUACUGCAUACACCGAUCAAAAUCUAACAGUUGGGAGUUAACAACUGUCUUUGAAGCAUCUAAUUUUGCAGCAAUCAAAUCUGGUGUUAAUUUCCGCCCAAGUUUGAAAAAACAUAAUUCAAAUUAAUUUCCAGGCCGGUAGCCAGCCCUUAUUUAUGGAUCGUUCGAUCUCUAAAUGUCAAAUCUAAUGCUUCCAAGGUCUAUUUAUGCCCUUAAGUUGUUCUCCAUUUACGAAAACUCGAUCAAAAUCAUUUUUUUUUUCUAAUAAAGCAAGUUCAUUAUCACAAUUAUUUUCAAUUGUAUUGACAACAUGGGUGUCAUGCGCUUUGAGAAAGAGGUCUCAGCUGCUGUUGCGCCAUCUAGGAUGUUCAAAGCUUUCUUCCUUGAGGCUCACAAUUUUCUGCCAAAAUUGGUGCCUCAAGCAAUCAAGAGCGUUGAGAUUCUCCAAGGAGAUGGAGGUGCUGGUAGCAUUAAAAUAACCAACUUUGCUGAUGGUAUGUCUUAUUCGAUCGAGUUGUCACAUAUGUGUAAACAUAUUUAACAUUUUAUUGUACUUAACUAUAGUAUAAUGCUUUUACAUUUUUAAAAUCAUGAAUCAAUUUAGUACUCAAGAAAUUAGGAUUCUCGCCUUAUUUGAUUUUUGAUACAACAUUAAAUUCAUACUUAUUACAUACCCAUAUAUAUGGGAAAAAAAUAUCAAAACCCUUCUUUGGUAAAAUUAUUUAUUUUUCCUAUUAUUUCAAGAUCCACCAAAAUUUCCUUUAAAGGGUAAUUGAGUCAUUUUGUAAUAGAAAAUCUGAUAGUUGAAAAACGAAUGGAUUUUAAAACUUAAUUUUGAAGUAAAAGUAUGUGAUGUGGUGAACAAAAAACAAUACCUUCGUUUUUUUUAGUAACAAACCGAGUUCUGCUAAUGAAAGUUUGGUGUGAUUGACAGGUGGUAAUUUCAAGUACGCGAAGCAUAGAAUUGAUGAACUUGACAAAGACAACUUUGGGUGCAAGUACGCUGUGAUUGAAGGAGAUAUGUUGGGGACAAUCCUGGAAUCAAUUGUAUACGAUGUUAAAUUCGAGGCUUCUGGCAAUGGUGGAUCCAUCUGCAAGGUUGCUUCUGAGUUCCAUACAAAAGGUGAUCAAGAGAUCAAAGAGGAGGCACUCAAGGAAGCUGAAGAGAAAGCAAUGGGAUUGCACAAGAUUGUGGAGGCACAUCUCUUGGCAAAUCCUGAUCUCUAUGCUUGAGUUAAAUUAUUUAUCUUUGGUUUCAUUUUACUAUUUAAAUAUAUGCAUGGCUACUGGUACUGAAUAAGGGUUGUGUCACUAUAUAUGAUUUGUGAGCUUUAAUUAUAUAUGUUUUUUAAUUUCUUUGCGCGCAGUGGAAAUGUUUACUUGAGCCUUCAAUGUCGUGCCUGUGAUUGUUCAAUAAAAUGGCCGAAACUGUUGGAUCUUUCGAUUAUAUUUCCAGUUUGAUUUCCUUCAAGGGAAAGGAUGUCAUAAUUUAAAUGUUGUAUUAGACUUUGUGGGUUAACUGUUACAUAUGAAACUGAUUCUGGUGGCAAAAUCGGUUGUUAAAGAUGCUGACGUGGACCUUCCCCACUUCAGAGAGAGUUGGGAUAGCUUUGUUGACCAGAGCUGGUUUCUGAAGCUGAUUAAUGUACCAACUUAGCAGCUUGGAACUAGUGUAAUUCUAGGAAUUAUAGAGCUUAUGAGCUUGAUUUGAAGCUCGUAGAAAUAUCUUGUAAUCUGGGAUCCUUCUAGUUGAUAAAGAAGAGCCUGAAGCUCACGCUGGUGCGAUGAGAAUGGCUACCUUGUGGUGCGUUAGUUCUCUGUUUUAUCUCUGAUUCUUGCUGGCGUUUUGUGAUUCAUUUUACUUAGGUGCUAUCUUGAUUAAGAUUCGCCCAAUUGUCUUAUGGUUCAUUCCAUUGAGUCUAAGAUUAGCCCAAUUGUCUCCUGUUGGAUUUAACUAUUUUCAAAUACAAAAUGUCGGUAUUUUCAUAUUCAUUGGUUUAUUUUGUUAGUAAUUUAGAUUGCAAAUUGAUAGCUAGGCAGCAGCACUAACCACCAAAAGUGGGUGAACCAAAGAUUGACAGAGACAGCUUUAGAUGAAUGGGAGCUCAUCCGUAAUUAAGGUCUAUAUGGAAAUAAAUGCAAGAUGUUUUGAGAAUUAACCAAAAGAAAAAAGAAAAAUGGAAAGCUGAGAUCUUGAGGUAUGAAAGUCAACAAACGCACACAUUACUUAAUGAUGUAAGACAAACAGAGUGGAGUAUAAAAUUUUCUAAUUUAAUUAGGAAUUGUUUUGUAUUUUCUUAUUUAAGUCAUAUUUCUUUUCUUAUAAAGAAUCAUAAGUUUAUUAGAAAUAGCAUAAUCCUAACUAAUAUAAAUAGACUUAUUAUACUUAUUUCUUUACAUGAACUUUCCAUUAAUAAUAUUCAAUAAUUUUUCAAUUGAGAUAUUUUCCUCUCUUGUAAGAGUCCUACUUCUUAAGUUUUAAAAAUAUACGCUAUAAUAACAUCUAGUAUUAUUUCUGCACUGUGUCACUUAACGACGAAUUAACGACCUGGGUUCUGUGCAAGAUGCAGAGACAGAGGAAGAAAAUAUUAUUAAUUAUAACGGUAAUGGGGUUUAUUAAUAAGUGGUCUUAUAAAAUAAUCGGAGAUGUUUGUAUCAUAAUACAUUUCAGUUUUCAAGCAUGCUCCUCCUAUUCAUAAAAUCCUUACUUAUAAUGUGCGAGAAGUAAGAGAAUUUUCAUUCUCCAUGAAAGAGUAUAACAUUCCUAUUCACAUUGAAACGUUUGGUGUCUAUUUAAUUUAAUCAAUAGUAAUUUAAUCUUCAAAUUUAGUGAAUGAAUUGAAAAGCUAGGUAGCUGGUCCAUAUUGCUCUGUUGCUUGAGCAAAUCAUUUAGCAUCCUUUUUGAUUUUGUGUUGCUAAUGACAGUAAACAUUUUUGGUCACUGGAUGAUAUGGAACUCAUUCACCUAAUUGUAACUUUCACGAAUCCAAAUGUACAUGUACUGCAAAACACCAGUCCGUAUUUUUUCCGAGGCUGUAGCUUCUUUUUCCUUAUUUCAGAAUAAAAGUGAAAUUUACAAGAUGCAACAAAUUUGUUAUCUCAUUUCUAAAACCUAGCAAUGCUGGCUGAAUUUUUGUAAUAUGCCGUAGUUGAAGAGUCAAGUUUAGAAGGGAGAGUUCAUUACCAUCUCAAGUUUGAUGUGUAGUGAUCAGGUUGAAUAAAUACAACUUACCUAAUCCAAUUGGUGAACUUAUUCAAUCUAUGAGAUUCUGUGUUUAUGCAAGUCUGUCGGCCAAAAAAUUCUCCAAGUGGCAAAAACAUAGAGUUAAUAUUGAGCUUGCUUGAGAACAGAUAGGGAGCCAAAAUGUACACUUGCAUCUGGCGCUCAACUGCUUUUACACUUGAAUCAGCUACAAACAAAUCAACAACAUCCAUGCACUACCUAUCACUGAGAUGAUCAUAGCAAGUACUAAUGAUAACUGAAAUAAGAUGCAGAAGAAACCAUAUGCAAUAUGAGUCGGCACAAGCACUUUUUUCUAGCUUCUUAUCUAUCUGUACAUAUAUACUUCAUACUCAGUUGUAUGGAUAUAUUAUUCAGCAUAAGUACUUGUGUUCUGGGAAUUAUUGCUUCUCAAUCUUUAACCUCAGUGGAAUGAUUAAAAAGAGAAAGUUACAGGUAUUCAGGGACAUUAUGAGCCUCACUCGAUCCUCAUAAAAUGUAUAGUGCUAACUAAAACCCAAAAAGAGCCUGAAGCUUGACAAAACCAAAAUAAAAUGCAAGUUGUAAUCCAUAUGCAAAAAAGAGAAGACUUGUAAAUUGGCGUCUUGUGUUCUGGGAAUGGCUUGUCUACCUUGGAAGUCUUUGGUGGAUUCCCGGGAGUCGGAAAGAUUGAUCCUUUUCCGAUAGCUGGUUUCAGAAAAAUAAUGGGCUUUUUGUCCUUAUAAUUCCGAGGUCUGGAUUCUGGGUGAGGCUUGUAACUACGAAAGGAUUGCCCGCGGAAAGGCAUAGCAGAGAGAGAAGAAGAGGAGCAGAGAACCACUAGCCCAAGGAGAAACAGUAGCAAGUGUUUGAGUGUGAGAACCAUCUUAGUAUUUUGUUUAUGGUAUGAUUUCAGAAUUUGGUGCCUAUAUAUAGUUGUUAUGCUUUAAGCUUGGCCAUCAUAAUGUGAUAGGUGAACUUGGGUGCCAUAUUUGAGUUGGCAAGGUAGGGAAAGUUGGGGCAGUGCCUUUAGAUGAAUGGAAUUUUAUCUUUUUCACCUAAAAAGAAUACUAUUGAAACUUAUAACCCCAAAAUAUAACAUUUUUCAGAAAAAAAAUCAGGCUGAUUGGAAUGGUGUUGUCUUCACCUAUAAUAAGGAAGAUGACUUGAUUAGACCAUACUCAAAAGAAAUUCCUCUAGUUCUUUACUAGUUCGUAGUUUAAGGAAUCAAUAAUUUUCCCUUUCGAUUUUAAGAAACUCAGUAGUGAAUAAAAUUUGUGUUUACAUUUUUAGGUGUUAUCCUAAUUAACUAAAACUUAAUGUUAGGCGUUGUCUUAACUAAAACUUAGUGUUAGGCGUUGUUCUAAGUGUAUUUGAGUGUAUUAUAGCCUUUGAUGUAAUUUGAUCAAUUUGACCCUUUUAAUAAAAUUUACUAAUUUUUUCCCAAAAAAAAAUUUUGACGUGUGAAAGUCAACAAACGCACACAUUACUUUUAUAAAAAAUAAAGAUGUGGGUUGUGUAAUGCCAUCAGGUAUUACAUCAACUAUAUAUAAAUUAUAAACACUAACUUUAUAUCCCUUGCAUGUUCAACAAAUUAAAAAGAAAAAUAUAAUUGUACGAAAUUAUAUGUCAAAUUUGUUUUUUUUUUUACGUAUUAAACUAUCAAGUAUCUGAAGACUAUAUUGGGCCCCGACUAAUUUAGAUUCGAGCCGGAUAUGACUAUUAAGGCGGUAAAUCGCUCCCAACAAAUAUUUAACGCAGCUGCAUUCUCAAACUUCGAACUGAUAAUAUUUGUUAAGAUAGAACAACCACAUGCCAACUGAUUUUCUUCACUUGUUGGUAUAUGUCAAAUUUGUUAUCACACAAAAUGAGUCAUAUAUCCUAGAUGCCAUUCCUCGAGUUAACCACAGCCCAUAGGCGUUUGCAAAACAUACAAGCACUAAAUAGCCCUUGGCGGCCGUGGACCACCUUAAUUUUAUUGAAGUGUUAUUUAUUUAUUUUUUAAUUUGUAUCUUGCUUUUUUGAUGAGGAGGCCAUAUUAUUACCAUUGUCAAUAAUAGACCAUAUUAUUUAUUUUCACAGACAUGAAGGAAAUAAGUAAUGUAUUAACAAAACUUGUUUCCUCAAGUAAUAUUUUGUCAAACGUCGGGGACAUCGCCAAAAUUUUCCCUUAGUGAUUUCCAAGUCUAUACUAAAAUCUAUAUAUAUGCAUGUAUAAAUAUAUACUCCCUCAAGUUGUUCUCUUCUCCAUCACCUCCACAUACACAAAACUAUCUUUAUAUUAUUAAUUCAAGUAAAUUCAUAUAUUACUCCUUUCAAAAUUUCUUUAUCUCCAAGCUAGACAUUAUGGGUGUCCUUCGGUUUGAUAAAGAUACGUCAGCUGCAGUAGCUCCAUCAAGGAUGUUCAAGGCUUUCAUUCUUGACUCUCACAAUCUCUUCCCAAAGUUGUUUCCACAAGCAUUCAAGAGCGUCGUUUACGAACAAGGCGAUGGAGAGGCUGGCAGCGUUAAAAUUAUGUACUUCGCUGAAGGUAAUUAAGUAUUCAGUUAAUCACAUCAUCAUCACAUUAUUCACGUCCAAGCUCUUAAUCAAUAAUUAGGUCGUGCUUUUUUCGUUCACAACUGUAUAUGUUAAUUGAUUAACUCUAAUGACAAACUUAAUGCAUGUGAUCGAUUGAAAGGUAACAAGCACACGUACGCAAAGCAAAGAAUCGAUGUACUUGACAAACAGAAGUUUUAUUGUAAGUACACUGUAUUUGAAGAGGACAAUAUGUUGGACAUACUUGAAUCCAUUGUGUAUGAAAUUAAGUUUGAGGCUUCUGGCGAUGGCGGAUCGAAUUGCAAAACUGCUACUGAAUUCCAUAUAAAGGGUGAUGGAGAGAGUAAAUUGGAAGAGGAACUCAAGGGCUCCGUAGAGCUAGGAAUGGCAUUGUUCAAGGCUGUGGAAGCACAUCUCUUGGCAAAUCCUGAUCUCUAUGCUUGAAUCAUUUUCCAAUUCCAAGUGGGCUUCUAAUAAAUAAGAAUUAAAUAAGCUGAACUUUGUUUGCUUAUUUAUGGUUUUAAACCUUGAUUAAUGUACUAGAUAUAAUAACAUCAAUAAAUUAUGAAGCGUGUGUGAAAGUCCACAAACUCGCCCAUUGAAUAUUACAGUUUAAUUACUUUAAUGCACAUCAAAUUCAGGAAUGUCUGUCAUUAGUCUAAUUUCAAAUUAAUUAUAUACAUCACAUGAUCACAAUUUUCUUUUUUUUUUCCCCAAUCUUAGAAAACAAUGUCGAAAGAAUCUGUUUAAAACAAGGGAGUGUGAUCUUUGAUUUGCACUUGGUGAAAAAAGAGCAAAAUUAUUAAGCCUCAAUUUCCUAGUGUGACUUCUCUUAUGAAAUAGAAAUUUUAAUGGUGAAAUUUAGUAAAAAUGACUUCUAAAAUAAUAAAGUUAAUUAAUAUAGUUUAAUCAUCACAUAACUCUCAAAGACCUAGAGGUGAGCCACUUGUGCCAGACUAUAAUACUAAAUAAAGUCUCACAGGCAUCUAGGAGACAAACAAUAAUUAAUACAACAAAAUGGAUCAUCAAAGUUAGGAGCUGUUUGGAAGUGCUACAUUGUGUGACACCCAAGCAACUGCGCAGCUGCAGAAUAAGAAAUUCUACCAUAUUUCUUUUUGCGGCAGUUGCUACAGUGCAGCACUCCUAAACGAAGGCCGAGAUCCGGCUCCAAAAAUAUAUGUUGUAGGAUCACGUGGACGAAUCAGAUUUUCUCAUGAAUUAUACGACUUUGUUCUCAAAUUUUAUCCUCUAUAGCUUCUUUCGCUAAGAAAAAUUAAAGGAAAAUUUGGAAAGUGGUAUAGUCAACAAGGGAAGGCUUUAAUUUAAAUGUAACGAUGAGAAAAUAUUUUAAAUGACAAGAUAGACACUUACCACAAGAUAACCUCCAUAAAAUCUUUAAUGAUCAGUUACCCUUUAUUAUAAUUUAACCCCAAUUGGUUGUUAUUAUUUAAAACAUAAUGCCCCAAAAUUAAAAUAAUGGUCCGACGAUAGCUUCACGCAAUAGACAAGUAUUUAGAAUUAAAUACUGGUUUGGAUCUUAUAUCCGAACGAGUAAUAUGAAAGCAUGCAGACACUUGGAUGUGGUGGUGUUGAGCUGCAUUUGGCAAAAUGAUACUCUGUUUGGUAGAGCAAUUUAAUCAGACCCAUGCAUCAUUGCACAAAUUGAGGCUCCCUCUACAAAGGCACAAACAAUAAGAGAAAUUUUAUCAAAAGCUCUCGCUUUUUUUCUUUUGGGCAUUCAUUUGUGUGUACAACUAUAUUUAUCUUGCGGGUGCCGCCCGGCACAUGAAGUCAUGCACUCAAUGACAAUUAUCGGUUUUAGUUUUCUAAAAAAUUUAAGUUUUCUGCUAAUAUUGUAAUGAUUUGAGCCACAUGUAUAAUUUUCCAUUUACUGACCCUAACUCAUAUGCUGAUAGCAUUUGCUUGGUUAACAAAAAAUCUGAAUGGAUCUGAAUGUUACAGGAAUCUAAAUUCAUAUGUUUGAAUGAUAUAUUUGUCUUUUAUUCUUUUAUUUAUGAGUAUGAGUGGUAAGUUAUUUGUUUUUAUAAAUUCAAAACAUUUUAAAUCUAAUUUUUUAACACUUAUGUCCUCAAAAGUGUUAUAUAUAUCUAGAAGUUUAAAUAGGUAUAUAUUCAUGAUGUUAUCUAGUAUAAUGCUAUUUAUAUGUUAUAAAAAUAUAUAAGGUGAUCAUUUGAUAUAUAAUUUGUGGAAAAUAAUUUUGAUAACAUUAUUUUUUAUUUUUAUCUGAUAAUAAAAUAAUAUGCCUAAAUUCAAAUUGAAUUUGUAUGUUUGGUACUUUAUACUAAGUAAAAAUUGAGAUCAAGAGAAAUUCUAAUACGACAUCUAACUUACAAUAUUACAAUUAAUUAAAAAAAAAUCUUUUUGAUUAGAGAAAAAAUAAAGGAUUAUUAGAUUUUACAUAAUAGGUAUGAAAUAAAUAUAUUUAAAUGACGAUGUUUGUAAAAAAAUUAAUUAUUCAUUCAGACAUUUUAUCAUUUAAAUAAACAUUAAAAAAUUUAAUUUUUUCAUUUAGAUGAAAAUAUCUUACAAUAAGAAUUCAGAUACAAAAAAAAACAAGGCAAAAUUUAAAAGUAUCUUAAAUUAAUGUAAAUUAAAACUUCAGACAUAAAAACAAAUAAGUGCGUAAUUUGGAUUUCGCUAAGUUUAUAAAAAAAAAUUUCUUUUUCUAUUUGCAUUUUCUUAUUUCACAUGUUCACGCUCUUCAAGAUAAUUUAAGGCCUCAAGCAAAUUUUCAAAAUUAGGCUUUUUUAAUUUAAAUUAAGAUAUUAAUGAUAAACAUUUUAUUUUAGAUUAAUUCCUUUUAGAUAGAAAAUCAUUAAUAAAUUUGGUACAUCAAUUCGUGUGCCAAAAUUUUUUGAAGUGUAUAUAUAUAAAUGUUCCAAUUUACUUUAGAAUAAUGGAUUUUACCAAAAUCUAGAAAAGUUAUUAAACAACGUGGUUUAAUAAUGUAAUGAUUGUAGUUUAACAUCUUUCUCAGACUUUAAUAAAUUCAAGAUCCUAAAUCAUUUCUCUCUCUCUCUCUCUCUCUCUCUCUCUCUAUACAUAUAUAACGUGGAACAUGAAUUUCAUUUGGUGGGAAAGAAUAUGAAAUUAUUUUAAACAACUUUAGUGAAAAAUAGAAGCCAUUACCGAAAUGAAUAUAGAGAUUCAAAAUAUAAAUAUAGAGAGAUUAAUAUUAAUUAAUUUGCUAAUAACAUUUUCCAUGUCGUCCUAUAUUAAUUUUUAAAUUAAUACAAUUGAAAUAGGUUAAAUGUAAUCUCUAUAACAAAAUUAUGUAGUUCAGACUUAUCACACAAACACUAUUAUGUUCAUAGUAGAAAGAAAAGCAGGACUAGUGGCAUCCCUCUAAUUUCCUUUUAGCACCGCCAUUUAACGUCAAGUCUGAAUUUUAUUCCAAAAUCAUUCUUUUCCUCAAUAAACAUUUAAUUUAAAUUCAAAAUUUUCAGUUUCUUCCUCGUUUUGUACUCGUCUACUAGGCCCAGUAGCCUUGCUGCCCGUCAUCAACAUGGACAAAAUUUUUCAUGAUAAAUUUCUGGAAUAUCAGUCAUUUACUUAUUUAUUAAACCACAUAUACUUGAAAUAACUAUAGUUAAAAGAGGACACAGCAAGCUUAAUUUCAGGAAAAUGGUAAGAAAAUUUUAAAUGUAGUUCAGACCUGACACCCUUAACCAGAACAUUUGAUUAAUUCCUAAACAAGUCUAAUUCUACUCAGAUAGCGAAGACAAGUAGGCCAAAAUGAUUACAACUGCUGGUAUCUAGAGACUUUGGCCACCAAGCUUCCGUUUAAUUAGUCUCUAUAUUUUGGGUUUAAUUAUCUGUUUAAUCAAUUCAUAAAUUUUGAAAAAAAGAUGAGACUAUAUCUACUAAUUUCCUCUCUAUACCUUCUUUUUAGUCAAGAAUUUUAUUAUUUAAAUAAUUAUUUUAAAGAUUACUUAAUUAACCAUUUCUCUCUUACUUCUCAAUUUCAUAUAUUCUCAUAAGUUCAUUCAACUAUAUCAUUUUAGCUGCAAAUAACUAGUAUUACUAACUAAGAGGAACGAAACUCACUAUUGAAAGAUAGAUAUCAACAAGUUCUUAUCGGACAUUAAAUUAAGUUAAUGAAUAUCAAGAAAUUAAUUUUUAUCAAAUACAAAAGUUAAAAAAAAUAAAAAAAAUUCUCCUAUAUAGAAAGCAUGAAAUAGGAAUCAUGAUAUAAUAAGAAAGGCCAAAAAAAUGAACUUAAAUUAGAGUGAAAUUGAGUGUCUAAUUUGCAAAAUGUGAGAGCAGUGAGAUCAUAUGCAAUUGUAAGAGAGAAGAAGAUUAGUGAAAAAUGAUUUUGAGAUUUUUAAAUUUUUAAUUACUUAAUAAUGAAGUUAUUUUUUAAAAUAGGUAUAGAGAGAAAUUUGAUGGGUCCAAAUAGUCCAACAAGAAAUGCUUUAAAAUACUUAUGUUGUUAAUUAUGUACACAACUGUUAUUAAUUUUUUCUUUACUUUUACAAUAAUAAUAUCCUGACAAUGAUUUGGAAAAGUAAAAAAAAAAUUAAUUUACUAUAAUCUAAGAUAAUCUUUAUUCUUAUCUUAUCAUUUCUUUUCGUUUUUCUUCUUUUAAAAGUAAAUUCCUUCAGAUUAAACCAAGUUAAAAAAAUAUUUUAGCUAAAAGAUACAGAUGCUCAUUCCAAACUUUUAAACGCACGAUAAAAAUUGAUAAGCGAGAGUCUAGUCCAAGUGUCCAACCACGUCUUUGAUGGAUAAAUUCUACUUGAUUUAGUCCUUAAUAGUGUGGGACAUGCCAAAUUUUAAACUUCAGCCGUAGAUUUGUUAUCUUUACCAAGCACUAAAAGAUACAGAUGCUCAUUCCAAACUUUUAAACGCACGAUAAAAAUUGAUAAGCGAGAGUCGAGUCCAAGUGUCCAACCACGUCUCUGAUGGAUAAAUUCUACUUGAUUUAGUCCUUAAUAGUGUGGGACAUGCCAAAUUUUAAACUUCAGCCGUAGAUUUGUUAUCUUUACCAAGCACUAAUAUUGGCAGCCUCACAUCCAUGCAUCCACUGGAUCUAUAUAUAUCACAUGAAACCAGAAAUAAGGACUCACUCAAGCUCACCUACUCACUUUUGAUUACGGUUCUCCAGAAGCUAACAGAGAUCGUUUCUGCUUUGAAGAAUAUGGAAACUCCUUACACAGGUUAAUUUUUAGACCAUGUUCAAUUGAAUGUCAUUUAUAAUUCUAAUUUUAAUAUAUGUGUUUGUGAAUAAGGUUUUUAUUAUCAAAUUUUCAGGUAACAAAGAAUGGUCAGAGGGUACACAUGUUAAUAUAGGAGUUAGUAUGUUUGAUGAUGAGAAAAUAAAUAACAAUGAUCUUGAUCUUCUUACUGCCCCUCAAUACGGGAGGUAUCCUGACUACACUGGUUAAGUGUUACAACAUUAUACUUUUAUAUUAUGUUUAGUUAAAUAAAAGGAUGGAUAAUGUUAUUAUCCAUCAACGAUGUGAAUACAAGGUUGGUUUAGUCAACUACUAAGAUCUUGUGGGAUAUACAAAAAAACUUCUUUCUUUAGCACAUGUAUUUUGUCGUCCUUAAUUAAUAAAUAAAAUUAUUGUGUGUAUGAGUUGACUGAAUUAUUUUGGCAAUAGAUAUAAAAUUGUAUUAUUUUAAAUAUCUCUAUUUGAUUAAUUGUGCUCUUUUUCUUCUUGAAGGGGCCAAAAUCUUUAUAAUUAAUUAAUAGUACUAAUACUAUUUAUGUUUGUUAUUUGUUAAUUAAAUGGCGUAUAUCAUCAGGAUUAUAAAAUCUUACCAUAACUAUAUUAAGGGUUCUCCUACUUUAAUAUGAUAAAGGACAAGUUAAAAAAUAAACAAAAUACAUAUUUCAAUAUAUUGGAUUAAAGAUGGCUGCACCCCUAUGAUGUAUAAAAAUAAUCACAAAAACUCUCAAGUUAAUAAGAAACACUAAAACCCUCUUCUAUUACUUUCUACAAUUAAUUUCGAUGGAAAAUGUAAAAUUUACUAUUAUGUAUUUAUGAUGCACUUACUACCUUCCUAUGUGGAAUUUUAAAAUAAAUAAAUAAAUAUAUGAAAAAUGUGGUGAAACAACCUGCCCCCAGGGGGAGUCUAUCUAACCUCCUCCAAAUUGGAAUAUUGAUAAUAAUUCUAUUAGUAAGGAUUCUGGCGAAAAUUCGACAGAGUCUUCUUUAUAUACAUAACACUCUCAAUAUGAAAAUAUGUAAAACAAACACUCCCAAAAUAAUUCAAUAAACAACAAACUCUAAUGUUCAACAUCCUCAACCAAAAUACUGUAUUUUACUCAAGUUAUCACCAGAGUCUCAAAAGAUAAUAUUACAACUAAAUGUGUUCAGACGGGCCCCAAAGGUCUCUAUCUCAUCUCAUCUCAUCUAUAUCAUUGUAUCUAGAGGGGAGAGUACUGUCUAAUGAUUUCAAAAACAAUCAUUAUACUCAUAUUCACAUACCUUUUAACCAUACUUUGAAUCAUACCACACUUGAAUCCACUUUUCUUAUCUUUAAAAUACUAUCAUGCUUUAUUCAAAGUCAAUAUGCAAAAUCAUUAACCAAACAUUUUAAUAAAAUACCAAUAUGUGAAUAAAAUUUAUUUCGAGGAAAUCAUUAAAUCAGAACAUUUAAAAUACUUAUUUUGCAAACAUGCUUUAUUAUCAUAAUUAACUAUGAAAAUAGGUUUUGUAUAUUCCACUCACAGUGACGGGGUUCACGCUUGGUUAUCGUCCACGUCCGCGGACCGGUUCUCGCUCGCGAAUCCUCCUAAAUCAAGGAAACGACAUAAUUAUUUUCCGUAAAUCGGAAUUACGACUACAUUUUAUGCAAUAAACUCAAAACGAACAUCUAUUCAUAAUUUACAACCCAUGUGUCAAUAAAAUUACUAAAAUACCCUUGAGUCCGUAAAUCAUUAAAAUACUCCAAAAUCGUAAAUCACCGAAUUACCCUCGGAAUCAUAAUUACACACAAUCUUCAAUUCCUGGAAUUACUAAAAUAGCCACACACUAAGAAAUUACAAAAUUGCCCUCAUAGUGUGAAAUUAGCGAAAUGACCUUGCUGGUCAACGAUCACUGGAAUUUAGUCAACGCUGGCCGAGAAGCACGGGUUAGACACUUUUAGCCAAGCUGAGUUUAAUGGUACCAGCGGUGAGCUCCAAAGCGCGGCACGACGUAGGAAUCUAGCUUGAAAGCCGUGAAUUUCCAACAAUAGGUCGGCAGCGAAAUAGUGACUCCCGAUGGCUAUGGAUGGUCAGAAAUGGAAGAGGGAGUCAUGGGGAACAAAAUUGAGGUGGUGAUGGGUUUUGGCCGCGGCUUCUCAGGCCUAAAACGGUGGUGUUCCGGUUAAUUUUCGACGAAUAUGACAGUUGAAGUAUGACCAGCGUCUCACGGGCUUUCGAUUGAUACCUUGCUCAACCGGAGGGGUGGCCAGAAUCGCAAGAUAUGGUCGGGUAGAUUUCGGGUCAAACAGGUCGAGUUUUGGGUCUGUAGUUGGGUCGGUUUUGGCAGCUUCCCUUCUCUCUCUCUCACGUGUGAGUAUAUUCCCCUGUUUCCAGCUCUUUUCUUUUACUUAUAAAAUCCUUAACCGCCUCAUUUUCAUUUUUAAUUUCCACAUAUGUUACAUGUGGCUAACUCAUUAGUAUUAAUUAACAAUUUUGCCGCCACUGCCACCAGUUAACAUCAAAACCUAACCCACUUUUCAAUAUUUUCACAAAUCAGUUAAAGCAUGCAAAAUAGUGGUUAAAAAUGAUUACGAAAAUUAAAAAGAAAAAAGAAAAAAACCCACAAAUAUUGCCAGAGCCCUUGAAAACCUAAGACCCACCACUACAAGAAAAAAAGAAUACAACAACGAUUUAAAUACGUUGUUAAUUACAUACAACAACGAGGACCUGCACGUUGUUGAUGUUGAUGUUGUUGAAUGUCCAUGACCUUUGACAACGGACAAUUCACGUUGCAAAAUGCGAUCUUGCCUGUGGUCAUUUGUCAUGUAACCGCGCUCUAUUUUCGUAGCUGAUGUCUCACGUUUCUACACUUUUCACUACAGACUUUUUGAUGUUGUCAUUUUCUAUACAAUAACAAUACAUGCUCGUUGUUAUUUGUAACAUUUAACAACAGUAGCGUACUCGUUGCUGUUUUUAACAUUCAACAACAAUACAUGCUCGUUGUUGUUUCUAACAUUUGACAACAGUGAAUGCUUGUUGCUAGUUGUAAUAUUUUAGACAAUUAAACAUUGCCUAUUGUUAAUUUGCAAGUUGUUAAAUGCACCUUUUUUUCCUAUUUCAUACAUUAGUUUUAUCACUGUAUACUUUUGUCCUACACAAACAUAUGCACAGUAAUAACACAUUUCCAAAAUAUAAUUUCAUUAAAAAUGUAUUCAAGCAUAAAAUUAAUACAUUUGAAGUAUCAUUAUCACAAUAGUUUCUAAAAUCUUAAAUACAUAUAAAACAACAAAAUGAGAUAUGAGCAACCAAAACAUAAGUUAACACAUCUUUGAGUGAUCUUUAAAAAAAAAAGUUUCUUUAAAGCUCAAUAUCGCCAAGGAGACCUCCAGCAAAACAAAUUAAUUCCUGCACAACAAAGUUCAAGGAAAAGAAAAUAAGUAGCAUUUUAUAAAAACAUAAAUUAACUCUAUAUGUGUGUGUAUGUGUGUGCAUGUGUACAUAUAUAUUUGUUGAUCAAUAAAAUAUCAUAGCAAGAUGAUGAUGUGUGUGCAUGUGUACAUAUAUAUUUGUUGAUCAAUAAAAUAUCAUAGCAAGAUGAAUCACAACUAUUACUUUGUCUAAAUCAAUUUGAUGCAACUCUUAGGCCAAGCAACAGUACUCCCCAAAGCUUCAUUGAUUAUUCGAGCUUCAUUUGUCAUCUUGUACAAUUCAACAUCUUCCUUACCAAGAGUAAUUGACUCCACCCAAACUUUCCAACAAUCCCUACCAAGAGGCACGUGAUGGACUCUUGCCUUAGGAUCAGUUGAUGCAACCUUCCCCUCAGCCACAACCUCAACUGGAUCAUCUGAGUACCAAUGCAAUAGUUGACAACUUGCAUUUUCUAGCUCAAGAUUUUCAUGCAUUGUACCACUUCCUUGUUGUGACUACAAGUAUCAAAAAUAAAAUAAAAUAAAAUAGCAAAACUUAUCACAAACUACAGAAGUGAGAUAUGGUAGGAACAAAAGAAACUUACUCGAGGAGUGCAUUCAUGAGCGAUCAUCACAUCAUCAGGUCUACCAAGAUUAUGUAAAAUUAAAAGUAACUAUAUUUAAGUGAAAGUAAAAUAAAAAUGAUUUUAUAUUACCUAAUAUGGUCUCUCAUGCAAGAGAAUCAACUAGAUGUCUCAUCUUACCAUCUUGGCUUUUAUAACUUUGGUGCCAUCUUAGUUGUUUUGCCAAUUCUGUGAUCCCAAACAUCCUCUUAAGUCUUGGUAUUAUUGGAUAAUAGCGCAAGACUUUUGCAGGUAUGCCUUGAUGAAUCUUAUUAGUUCGUUCAUCAACUUUCCAGCGAGAAGAACCACAUUUAAGACAUGUAUUUGCAUGUUCCAAGUCUUUUUUGAAUAGACAACAAUCAUUUAUACAAGCAUGUAUCUUCUUGUACCCAAGUUCAAAUGCCUUCAACAAUUUUUUUGUUGAAUAAAAAGAAUCUGGAAGUGUAUUUUUUGGUGGUAACAUAUCACAAAAAAUUUAAAGCAUCUCAUUAAAACUACUGUCAGAUAACCCGUGGGUAACUUUAUGCUUGAAUAACACUACAGUUGCUGACAUUUUAGAGUAGUUUGUACAACCUGGGUACAAUGGAGUCUCAACAUCUCUAACUAAAUUUUGAAGUUCCUCUCUUUCUACAUAUGUAUUCUCUGUAGCAUUUGCUUCUUGAAAACAUGCUUGAUCUUUAUACAUCCUAUAAGUUUCUGUCAUUUCAAAAUCUAUGUAUUGAUUUGAUGUGUAUGUAUUCCCCUCACCCUUGUAUUGCAUUGUUGCAGUAGAACUCUCCCCAUGAAGGACCCAAUUUGUAUAAGUCGGAUCCAUGCCCUUAAUAACCAAGUGCUCGUAGACUAUAUCAAAAUGGUGGCGUUGUAAAUUCUUACCAUAUCUACAGGGACAUACUAUAACAUCUAAGUUUCCCAAACAAGCUCGUGCAUUAUUGACAAAGUUACGCACUCCCAACCUAUAAUUCUCUGUGUGUCUACAAUAAAGAUUUUACCGAACUGGAAAGUUAAUUGAAUUUCACUAAUUUCGUACAGACAAACUGUUUUUUUUUUUAAGAGGAAAAAUGAAAAAUAAUAUUUAGAAAUAAGGCAAAAUAAUACCUUGAUAGGUGAACCCACCCUUUAUCCAUUUUCGAGCAACUAUUAAAACUUGUUUACAUGAGCAAAUAGUAAGUUGAAAAUAUAAAAAGUUACAUAACAAUAUAUUCAAGACAAGAACAAAGUUACACAUGACUCUUUCUAUUUUUAUUUUCGUAAGACUUUGUAUAAUUGUUAUUUUUUAAAUUCAUUAUCUUCUAUAUUAUUUACUAGUUUAAAUGUCAACACAAAAGUAAAUAAGAAAAAAAUUUAUUUAUUUUGUAAUAAGAAAACAGACGAAUAGCGUAUUAUUACCAUUAUUAUUUUUUAUAAACAAACAAUUAUCUAAGAGUAAAAGAGACAUCUUUGACUAAGAGUAAAACUGACGAUACCCAUUAUUGACAAAGAGUAAAAGAGACACCCUUUCAUGUUAUUUUACUUGCAAAAAAACAAUAAAGAAUGAAAUAUAUAUACACCUUUUCAAUUUCAAGGAUGUUGUCUUCUUUGUUCUGGACCACAAUCAAAAGCUUCUUCUCCUUGGGACCACAACGUAUACACCUGGAAUUUUAGAUAAAAAAUCAAAGAGUAACUCAAUUUAAGUUUCAAUAGAGAGAAUGUGUGUUGAACAAAAGAAGACCCAAACCUUUUUUCUUCUUGACAGUCACGAAGAGGAAGGAAUAGUUGAGGGAUUUUCACCAAGAGGAAGAAAACAAGUAGAGAGAAAGACAGUUGGAAAGUGAGAAAGUGAAAAAGUGAGAUUAGGUAACUUUACCAAGUGCCAACGUUUUGUCUUAUUAGUAAUUAAGAUAUUACUUUUUAUUAAUUGAUAAUGUAGAGUUUUUUUAUUUGUGUCUUUUUUUUUGGGCUGACAAAAGAGAUUUUCAUUAGUUGAAAAUAAUAAAUAGAUUUGAAUGUAUUUAUAUCAUUUUUUUUUAAAAAAAAUUAUUUGUGGUAAAAAAAAUUAUUUACAUUUUAUACAAAAAUAAAUUAAUGAUUUAAUAGGAUAGAUUCAAUAAUUAUAUGAAUAACCACCUAUUAUUUAAAAUUGGUUGGUUACUUUUUUAUUACUAGUUUUUUAAUUUGAAAAGGCUUGAUUAUUACUAUAGAGAAAUUAUAAAUAUAAACAUUUUUCACCUAUGGCAAAUUAUUUCAUGGUUGAAAACAAAUGACAACAAACUAAAAAAUGUUGUGCUAUAUUCUCGAUAGCAACAUGCCUUUUAGAACGUUGUCGAAAAUGAAUUUUUUAACAACAUACUUAUAUUGUACGUUGUUAUUUGUCUUACCAAAACCGCCACAAUCAGAAAACUGUUGUAAUAAUAUUUUUCACAACGCGCCUUAAAGCAUGUUGUUAAAAGUAAACUUUAAGCAAUUUUUAACAACGCACGAUCUUAAAAUGUUGUUAAACAUCAGAUUUUACAACACGCGUAGCAUGCAUGUUGCUGAAUUCCUGUUGCUAUAUCUCUUUUUUCUUGUAGUGCACUGACUAUGAAGAUGAAGAGUAGUAGAAUGUAAAAUAUUCUGGAUUAGUAUUUUUUAAACUUCAACAAUGCACUGGUUAUUGUAAAUCAUCCUCCAUAACCACGGAGUAUUAACAUUUUAGAUUGAUUGUAGUUCAGCAACAGGAGAAAAAUAUUUAAUAAGACAAGUUUUUUUUUUUUUUUAAUUCGUAGUGCGGAGGAUAGAAGAUGAAGACAAUAGUAGAGCGCGAAAGGUGUGUUUAAUUGGUGUAGGCACGAAUAAAAUUUUUGGCUGGUUAAAUUAUGGCCCUUAAGCCCGAAUCUUUAAAUUCUAAGUUAACACGAGGCAGAAGUAUUAAAAUGUCUUUUUUCUCAUUCAAAUUAACUGUAAAACGUAAUGAAGAAGGCUUAAUGUCCCUUAUUGAAAAUUUAGAAGUUGUCAUGACUAUUUUCCUAAAUCAUAGAGGUGUAAUUAUCCUUUUUAUAAGUCACAUGCAAAUCAACUCAUCACAUGAAUAAAAUCCAGCCACCUAUAGUACUACCUUUGGGAGCCUCUGGGACUAUUUUUCUAAACUGUAGCUAUCUUUUGACCACAUGCAAAAUCAAUUCAUCACAUGGAGAAAAUCCCUAGCCACCAGUAUUAUAGAUUAGCAACAUUACUACUUUCCUAUAAAUGAGUACAAAUCAUGAUUCCUCAAGUUAACAGUAUCUCCUCCAACAAUCAUUCCUCUCAAAUCUCUGCCAUAGUUACUAUCCGUAAUAAUAUAAUUUAGUUAGGGAACAUGUAAUUAUACAGAAGUAUUCUCAAGUUUCAGUCAAUUAUUUUAAUUUUUAUGGUAUGAGAGAGCUAUGGCUUCAAGUUCAAGAUCUGAGCUAUCUCUUUCAUUACAAUACUUUCAUCAGUGUGCGAGUUUAAUUUCCUUGAAACUUACCUCUGAAAACUAUUUCAUAUGGAGUUCUCAAGUUCAACCGCUUGUUUACAGUCUUUGCCUUGAACACCAGUUGGCUGAUGUUGAGCCUCCAUCUAAAACCAUUAAAGAAGACGGAAAGGAAAAUAUUAAUCCAGACUUAAUCGUUUAGAAGCACAAUGAUGGCUUGCUCGCAACUUGGUUGAGAAGCAUGAUGAAUGAAGAUAUUUUGGGUACAAAAGUCGGGUUGCAAACAGCCUGUGAUAUCUGGCUCACAAUUCCGAAGUGCAAGAAGCAUGGCUAAAAGAUAGCCCAUAUUCUCUGAAGAAAAGUUCAUCUAAACUAGGUGACUUUCUCAAGAAAUUCAGAAUCACGUGUGACAAGCUUGCCGCUAUUGGAAAACCACUCAGUGACGAUGACAAAGUUUUCCAACUCGCUCGUGCGCUUGGGUCAAGAUAUUCCGAUUUCAAAACAACCAUGUUAACGAAGCCACCAUAUCUGAGCUACAAAUAGUUUGUCAACGCUCUCUUGAAUCAUCAACAAACCGUGAUUGUACAGCAAGAUGAAAAGUCAAGUCAAUCACAGUCAAGGGGGCAUGGCAGGCAGAAUACACGAGGCAGACGAGCUUCACAAAAUUGUGGACACAGAGGCAAUGCAAACUUUCAUAACCAAAAACCACACAAUAAUGGCCAUUACGGUGACUGAAGCAAUGGAAACUACCAGAACCACCAGCCGUACAAUAAUGGCCAAAAUUCACGAGACCCACCGAAAAAGAAUAAUCAAGAAUAUGCAGUUUUUUGUCAAAUAUGUGCAAAGAGAGGCCAGAAUGCAGCAGUCUGUCGAAACAGGUAUGACCAAGAUUAUGCUGAGAAGGAAGCACCACAUGCAUGCCUUAGCUGCAAUGAACAUCAACGUAAAUGAAGAUCCUCAGUUCUAAGCAGAUUCUGGUGCUACCACUCACAUGACAAAUGAUCCAGGUAAUCCUGAUUGUAUUAGAACUUAUAAAAGUUAUAAAGGACGUGAUCAAAUAUUUGUGGGGAAUGGUAACAGUUUGCAUAUCACUCAUAUUGGUAAUAUGUUGUCUUAAAACAAGUCACAGUAACUUGAGUCUAAAUAAAGUCCUAUUUGUUCCUUGCUUAAAAAAGAAUCUCAUAUUAUUAGCCAGCUUAUCGAUGAUUUUAAUUUUUUUAAAAUGAAAGUGGGUUUUUUGUUAAGAGCAAGGAGGACAGGAUCUUGGCAAAAGGACACCGAUGCGGCAAGAUGUAUGCCUUCGACGAAAAUCAACGAAUGGCACUUAAUGCAAUGAAAGGAAACGCCCAAGACUUCAUUCUCUGGCAUAAGAGACUUGGACACGCAAGCUCUAGGGCACUGGAAACUUUGAAGGAAAAUAAGGCCAUUAGUCUUUCUACUUGGAUUCAGAAGCCAAGUUUAUGUGUUUCUUGCCAAUUAGGAAAAAACUGUAAAUUGCCCUUUAAUUAUCGGCUAAAUUUUCUGAGUUUCCCAAAAAAUACAUUGCGAUUAUCUACGAGGACUAUUAUUUCUAAUUAAAAAUAUCGAUUUUAUGCUUCAUUUAUGGAUGAUUCCUCUCGUUUUUCUUGGUUAAUCCCACGAAAAAAUAAAUUUGACUUUUUUGAUUAUUUUGUGAAAUUUCAGAAAUAGGUUGAAAAUCUAUUGGACAGAAAAAUCAAUUUGUUUCAAUGCAAUGGAGGAGGCUAAUUCAACUCUCUACUCUUGAAUAAUAAGGGAUUACUAGUUAAAUUUCUUGUCUAUACACCCUUGAACAAAAUGGGGUUGCCGAGAGAAAGCGUAGACACAUAGUAGAGACAGCUUUAGUACGAUCUUAAUUUCGCGCUUAUCUGCCCCUUAAGUUUUGGGUAGAUGGAUUUUUAGCAUCCGCGCGUUUAUGUGAUAAAUAGAAUGCCUUUAUCCGCUAUUAGUAGUAUGCGAAGCCCAUAUAAAAAAUUAUUUCAAAAAAUUCCGGACUAUCGUGGAUUAAGGACUUUGGGAUGCCGUUGUUUCCCUUAUAAGAGAUUACUGCAAACAUAAAUUUGAUAAAAAAUCUUAUCCUUGUAUUUAUUAUAGGCUAUAUUCCCUUGCAUAAAGGAUACGGAUGCCUACAACCCGAUACCAACCGUGUCUACAUAUCUAGACAUUUAAAAAAAAAAAAAGAAAAUAUCUUCCCUUGUUCUGACGAAUAAUUUCUCUUGCACAGGAUUCAAAUGAAUUCACAACUUUUCCAUCUCUAAAUGAAUAGAUGCCUAAGUCAACCACAUGCAGUAGCUAUUGACUCUUCAACUUCUAGUGACCAUGCAAAUCAAUUGCUUCACCCUGCGCAAAAUUGUUGCAGGCCCGAGCACCUCUUGUACAUCGUCCUGCCAUUCAAGAUGUGCAAAGUGACACAAAUAUUACCGCUCCCACAAAUAAUUUUUUGAAGUCAAAUAUAUUAACAGAAGACAAUUUUAGGUUUUAGGUUUUUAUAUCUAAUACAUAGAAGUAUAUGUGAAAAUAUUUUCUAAAUUUAAAAUUUUAACUUUCCAUCUAGAAGUUCAGGGUUAAGACAAAAAUAAGAAUAUUUCAUUGUUUUUUCCGCCCUAUCCAAACAGAAGCAUCUUACAAGUGAUUACAAACCACUGGAAAACAUUUUAUAAGGCAAGAAGUCACGUUCACACAAACAAACACCCCUUUAUAUUCUAUUUAUCUAGUCUAUGAAAAGUUUAAAUACACUUUACUUGUUAAAAAAAAAAUCAUUUAUUUUAUCUAUAUAAGCAAUUCAGAGAGCUCCGGCCAAUCUAUAAAUACACCCUUGCUUACAUCUCCUCAUCACCUCAAAAGCUUCUUGCUUAUUGAAACUCAAUCUAUCAGUCUCUAUAUUCUUGUCCUCUUCAUUUAUAUAUAUUUACUUCCUUUUAUCAUUUUUCAAACUUUCUUAAUUAAGAUUAUCAUGGGUGUCAUCACUUUUGAAUCAAACGACACUUAUGCAGUUCCCCCGCCAGGAUGUUCAAGGCCUUGGUCCUUGAAUCUGACCAACUCUUCCCCAAGAUUUUCCCUGAUGCCAUUAAGAACAUUGAUGUCGUAGAAGGCGAUGGAGGAGCUGGAAGCAUUAAGAAGAUCACUUUUGCUGAAGGUUAAUUAAUUAUUAAUAAACAUAUUUUGUUGCAUCGAUUGAAUUUUAAGUGUUGUUUAGAAUAUGCAUGUUUAUCAUUGUGUUUCUACCUAAUUUUAAAGCUUAGAAGUUAUCAUUGUAUUUCUAUUUAAUUUUAAAAGCUUAGAAGUUAAGAUAUUUAGUAAACAUCCAAACUUUCUUUGACAGAUAACAUUUACUAACCAUCCACUUACCUGACAGUAAAUAAUUUAUUCAUCUUAGCUUUCACCCGAGCACAUAAAUGGAUGCGAUUGGUGGUGGAUAAAACCAAAAAUACAAAAGAAUGCAUCAAAAUCAUAUAUAACCAAUAAUAGUAUACAUGUGGUUCAAGAUUUAAAGCUACGGAAAGCUAAAAUCAGCGGAGAAUGCAAGUCCUUCGAUUAUAAGUGUUGUACCAAAAUUAUAAUAAUCCCCAACAAAAAAAAAGAAGUCUAUAUGAGUAUAGGCCCAAUAAGUAGUAACCUAAGUCCAUUUUAAAUAAAACGCCCAAAGGACAACUUUUCGAUAAAGCGCUAAAGGUAAAUUUAUACAAAAAGUGACCUAAAUCUAUUUUCUACAAAGAACGACCUAGGUCCACUCUUCAUGAAGAAGGACAUAGGUCCAUUCUAAAUAAAACGCCCAAAGGGCAACUCUUCGGCAAAGCGGUAAAGGUAAGUUUCUACAAAAAGUGACCUAGAUCCAUUUUCUUCAAAGAGCGACCUAGGUCCACUCUUCAUAAAGAAGGACCUAGGUCCAUUCUAAAUAAAACACCCAAAUGGAAACUCUUCGACAAAGCGCUAAAGGUAAGUUUCUACAAAAGUGACCUAGAUCUAUUUUCUACAGAGAGCGACCUAGGUCCACUAUUCAUAAAGAAGGACCUAGGUCCAUUUUAAACGCCCAAAGGACAACUCUUCAGCAAAACGCUAAACGUUUUUUCUAUAAAAAGCGACCUAGGUCUAUUCAUUAUAAAGAAUGACUUAGGUCCAUUUUCUACGGAUAAUGACCUAGAUGUUCAAUAUUUACUUGAAAGUAACAUUCUACAAAGGUUACAUACAUGCGAAAUGCCGCAAAACUAAUCCUCUUUACGAAGAACCAACGUAAGCGCUGCAGUGCUCAAGCCCAAUGAAGGUCAAGAGCUCGAAAUCAUGACAAGUGUUCAAAGAAGACUUAACAGUGAGCAAGCUUGACACGUAAUGACAAGUGUCUUCAUGCAUGAGUUUUGCGGACACUUGUCACUAAAACAAUGCCAUGUGUCACGAUAAUACCUCCACCUCAUGAAUCAAAUUGCCUACAUAAUGAUCAAAACUUCCCACACUAGAAGGAGGAAAAAAUGGUAACGAAAUGUUGUCCUUCUUUCUUUUAAUUCUCUCUCUAUAAUCAAAUUUGAAAUGCUGACUUAAGCGUCGGAGGGUCAUCGUCGGCAACCCCGGCACCGUUUGAUAUUUUAAUUUCUUUUGCAGAACCUUUGACAAUAGAAACUUUUAUAUCAUGGAGAGAUGAUUCACAAAGCUUAAUAUAGAAAGGAAUCCAAAGCAAAAAGUUAGUUAUUACUUGUCGAGUAAAAAAUUGCAACGACAGUUGGCGCCGUCUGCUGGGACGAAUAAAAAGCCAAUGUGAUCAUCUUGUGCAUGGAUGACAAUUAUAACUACUCCGAGCUUGAUGCUAAUAAUGAAAGUUCCAGGGAUGCCGAGAUUUAUUUUCGACGACAAAUAUAUGUUGUAGAUCCUGGAAGUGAAUCUACUGUCCCAAUUCAUCCACUUAACCUCCAAAAAAAUCCAAAUCAACAAUUUCAUGCAUAACAUCUACAGUCGGAUCCAAAUGUUCAGCCUCGACGCUAAAGGCGCGACAGGAUUACCUGACUUUAGAGGAAAAUAGAGCAGUUGACAACAAACUUCAAUAGAAUGUUCGAUUAAUUUCAAGCCCGAAAUGAUGAAUAAGCUAACUACAGCAGCUUUGAUAGCAAUGCAGCAAACUCCGUCUCUUCCCGAACAAUGGUUCAAUUUAUAGUGGUAGAUCAACCGAGCGCAUACAAUUCAGUCUUAGGAUGACCAACCUUAUAUGCUAUUAAGGCCGCAACUUUUGUUUAUCACUAUACUUUGAAGUUUCCUACGGAGGUUGGCAUAAGAGUAGUUCGAGGAAAUUAGAAAGAGACUCAAGAAUGUUAUGAGAUUUCCUUCAAGAAAGGAAAUGAAUCAAUUCAAAUCACAAGUCUGGACCCCAGAAUAAUAAGGAAUGAUCAACGAGCGAAUCACGUUGAAGACUUGGUCGAAAUUCCCCUUGGAGAUGAUCUCAACAAGGCAAUUAAAAUUGGGUCCCAAUUAGUCAAUCCACUUAGAGAACAACUUGUGGAUUUCCUAAAGGAAUACUCAGAUGUGUUUGCAUGGACUCACCAGGAUAUGCCGGGAAUUGAUCCGAGGAUAAUUGUUCAUCGCUUAAGUACUUCUUACUCUUAGCCGUCUCCUCAACUAUUUUCAAUUCUUUGUAUAAAACUUUAAAGAAUAAUUUUUUUUAAUCAUUUUCUUGCAUAUCAACUUCUUUUUUCAAAAAAAAAAAAAAGUUACUGAUUAACUAUUUGAGUCCACUUGAUAUAUAUAAUCAUUUUCAUAUGCGAGCGCCCUCAUUUUUUUUUUUAAUGCAGAGGAGCUGUUAAGCUAAGCGGUUUAAUAAAGUUGUAUUUUAAUACACUAUAAAGCCAUACAGUUUGAAAGUAUUAAACCGCACAGCUUAAAAGCGUGUCUGCAUGAUAUAUUUCCAAGAUACGUACAAUUGAUUCAAGUCUCAAAAGUAUGUUGUGACUCUUUUAUUUAAUAUGAAAUUUAUUUUUUAUGUUUCUACCCUUUUUGUCCUCCCUAAAUUAACAUAAAAUGAUAUGAUUUAAUAUCAAGGGCAUAAGUUCAAGUUCUGAAUAUGAUGAUGAUGAUAUCAUCAUCAUCAUUAUCGUCGUCGUCGAAAAGUAAAACUAAAACCCUAGAUCUUGAAACUUGAAACCUAUACCAUUCAUAUCACUCUUCACUUUUAUUAAAACCAAUAAAAUUAAUGGUCAUUUAUAUAUUGAACAUACACAUUUAUUGGACAAAGCAGGUACAUUCAAGCUUCAACUAAACAUAAUUAUUAGAAGAACCAAAGAUGAGCCGAAACAACAAAUCAAAGCUCACAGUGAGACAACCCUUUAUUCAAUUAGCAAACAAAUUCGAAAUCAAAGAGGCCAAUCAUGAUGCAAUUUAGGCAUAGAUAUCAGGACUAGCCAAAAGUUAGGCUUCCACAAUCUUGUACAAUGCAAUUGCUUUCUCUUCGGCGUCCUUCAUCAACUCUUCUUUGAGCUCUUGAUCACCCUUUAUAUGGCACUCAGCAGCAACCUUGCAAAUGCUUCCACCGUUGCCAGAAGCCUCGAACUUAACAUCGUACACUGCUUUCUCAAAGAUUUCAGCUGCUCCACCACCUUCAUAGACAGUAUACUUGCAUGUAAAAUUAUUCUUGUCAAGUGCAUCAAUUCUUUGCUCCGAAUGCUUGAAAUAACCACCUGUGAAUUACAUUGAAUCUUCAUUAGCUUAUCUAAGUUAUGCUCUAUGGACAACAUGCAUGAUACGCUUUAUGAACAACAUGCACGAUGUAAUGUUUAAUUAGAAAAAUGACCAAGCCUUUUUUUUCCCCCCUUCGAAAUUAAUCAUUUCAUUGCCAUGAGCCACUCCGACAUUACAAAGUUAAAUAAUUUGAUAUAUAUAUACUUUUGAAAUAGAAAUCUGACCAUUGGGGGGAAAAAAAAGAAUUGUCACGCUAAUUAUGAAGUUAAAAAGUUGACGGAUAAUGAAAUAUUAUUAAUGCCAGAUUCGAUUAAUUUGAAUCAUCGUACGAAAGGGAAUUUUGGACUUUAGAAAAUUAACAAUGCUCCAUCAAUUUGAAUCGUCGUACAAGAUUUACCAUCAGCAAAGUUCCAUAGUUUGAUAGUGCCCACACCUCCAUCUCCUUAAAGAAUAUCAAUGCCCUUGAAUGCUUGUGGCUCUAUCUACGGUAAAAGAUUGCGGGAGUCAACGAAAUUAAAGCCUUGAAAAAUCUUGAAGGAGCAACAGCAGCUGAAGCCUCUUUCUCAAAGCGAAUGACACCCAUGUUAAUUAGCUUAAAAAGAGAAAGAGAAAUGCAGAGACUACAAGAAAUUAAAAUGAUGAAAGAAUUUGCCUCAAAUGCAGAUGAUUUUUGAGUUUGUGAUGAGAAUGAAGAACAACUCAAGGGUUUGUAUCGACAUGGAAAUGAGUGAUAACUUGGUUGAAUUCAAAGCAUCCAUAUUCCAUUUAGAGAAUGGCAUAAUGCCUACCCGUACGAUUUGGUGUCUGCAUGGGGAGAAAAAGGAUUUUGAUAUUGAAUAUGAGAUUAAUGAAGAAGUGAUAAGUUCAUAGGAAUACAAUGAUAUGCAAAAUUUAAUUAGAGAGAUUUUUACAGAAGACCCAAAUUCGGGUGCAGAGAGAUUUUUUAAUUUGGUAAAAGAGGCAAAACAUCCAUUAUAUCCUGGUUGCGAGAAUUUCUCUAAUUUGUCUUUUAUUGUAAAGCUUAUGCAUAUCAAGUGUAUUAAUGUUUGGGGCGACAAGUCUUUUGAUAUGUUAUAGAAUUGUUGACUGAUGCAUUUCCUCUGUGUGAGAAGUUACCUACAUCAAACUACUGGGCAAAGAAAUUUGUGAAAGAUCUCAGUCUCCAUUAUGGAAAAAUUGAUGCGUGCAAGAAUGAUUGUGUGAUUUAUUAUAAGGAGCUAGCAAAUGCAACCCAUUGUCCCACUUGUGAGGUUUCUAGAUGGAAGGUCAACAAUGGGAGGACGAAAAAGAUUGCAUGGAAGGUUAUACGUUAUUUUCCGCUGAAGCCUAGACUUUAGAGGUUAUUUAUGUCUUGAAAGAUAGCAACAUAUAUGAGAUUGAUGCAGAGUGUUGUCGCUCGUGAGUAGGAUACCUUUCGAAGGCCAUAACUUAGGUUACAUGUGUCUGUUUUUGGUAUAUAAUAUACCAUUUCGAAGCUUACGACAAGAUGAACAAUAUCCCAAAAGCUGUUCGGCCUCAUAGUUUGGAGCUGGAAAUUCUGCUUUUCUCUUGGUCGUUUCUAGUUUUAAGAUUUUUUGUUAUUUUUCCUGAUUCUUCUAGGAUUUUUAUCUUUUUUUUAGAACUUCGAUUUGAGUGCCUUUAUUUUUCUUUUCUUAGUUUGAUUAGGAGAAUUUAAUUAUCAUAUUAUAUUUUGGGUUUGCCUAUUUUGAAAAAUUUGCAAUAUUUAAUCUCAUUAUAAAAGACUUUCAAAAAUCUAAUUUUAUUUAUUCAGACUUUCAAUAAAAUUUAUCAUUAUUCAGAAAUUUAGUUUCUUUUAUCAAGCAAACUCAAUAAUAUUUCCAUUUCGUCAGAGAUGGCAUUUUGAAAAGCAUGUAAUGAUAGCAUUUUGAAAAGCGUGUAAUGAUGGCAUCUUAAGACAUCUUGCAGAUGCUGAGGGUUGGAAAUCCUUUGAUAAUAUUCACGAGUCUCUUACCAGUGAUCCAAGAAAUGUACGAAUCGGGUUAGCAACAAAUAGGUUUAGGCCUUUUAGAAAUAUUAAUCUUAGUUAUAGUGUAUGGCCUAUGGUAUUAUUUUCGUAUAAUCUUCCACUUUGGAUUGGAUGUGUAUGAAAGGGCCUAACAUGUUUAUAUCUUUGCUUAUACUAGGACCGAAAGGUCCAAGCAAUGAUUUUGACAUAUACUUGCAACCAUUGAUUGAUGAGUUGAAAGAGUUGUGGGAAGUCGGUGCAUAUACAUAUGACAUUUCAAUAAAACAAAAUUUUCAAAUGAGAGUUAAGAGUCUUAUGGAGUGUAAAUGACUUUCCCACGUGUAGUAAUUUGUUAGGAUGGUGUACAAAAGGGAUUAGCAUUUCCUUGUUAUGCAUCUCAAAAUUGUUUAUUUAGGUUAUCACAUGGUCAAAUUUUGGCUGUAUGGAUCAUCUUUAGUUUUUAUUAAAAAAGCACAGUCGGCGCAAUCAGAACAAAGAAUGUACAUAAUAAAUCUCGACCAGAGGGGUCCAUUGCAAAAGCUUAUUUGGUAGAUGAAUGUUUCACGUUUUAUUCACGCUAUUUGACUAAGGUUGAAACUAAAUUUAAUAGAGUUGAGCAGAAUUAUGAUGGAGGUUAAUCAUCAGUUGAUAUACCUCACACUACCAAAAGAAUAGUCCUUAUUGACAUUAGAAUAAUAUCGGUAAUUACUUUCAGUGAGACUUAUUAAUUAUAUCAACAAUCUGAGAAUUAGAAAAAUAGUAAUACUUGUUUAUGGUGCACGAACAUGGUCUCAAUGAUUACUAUCACUACAGUAUCAACAAUAUAUGACACCAUAGUGUUUGUAGUUGUUGAUAUUAUAUUAGUGUCUAUGAUUAUUGUUACCAUGGUAUCACUAUUUAAUUUAUUUAAAAAAUAAAAAAUGUGACUUAACUCAUUACCUAUUGAUUUACUGAUAAAAUUAAAAAGCACCAUAAAAUAACGAAAAAAAAACUGAUUUAUAUUACAAAAUCUUUCAUUUCAUAUUCAAAUAUUAUUAAUAUAUAUUACAAUUAUACCAACUACAAAUUAAAACAAGUUAUAAAAGAAACAUACAAAUUCAUAAUAUCUCAAAUAUAGUUUGAAAUGCACAGAAGUAGAUAUUCAGAUUGAAAAAAAAAAUACAAGUAUUUAUUUUGCAACAAAAUUCUCCUCAUUGCCUCUACACCUUGAACUUCAUUGUUUUCCCACCUAUAGGUGUAACAUAUAAAAUUAAUUAGUAUGCUACACAAAUUAAGUCUUGGACAUUUACAACCAAAAAUAUAAUCAUAUAUUACAUUAGUAUUGUAUGCUACAAAUAACUUGGCAGCACAUGGCCCACUCAUAAAAAAGUUACGAAAGAUCAUCAAUAGUGUACUCAUCACAUCCAACAUCAAAUCCAAUUACAAACAAGUUAGUAUAUAUUACAAACUUCAAAACUAAAACAAUAAUUUGUAACCAAUCACUCGACAUUUUCUAGAAAUUACAAAAAGCAAUAACAUGCCAAUAAACAAUACCAAUACACUUAACAGUAAUCACCAAAGAUCCUAACAAGCUUAGAAUUGAUAUUAAUCCUUUUUAUCUUAAGUAUUCUUAGGCUAUCACUAAUGAAUUAAAUAAGUAUCCUUAAGCCACAAAAAGAAAAAGGCAUGGUACCAAACUCUUGCAUACGUUCCAAUUGCCUAUCAAAUCUUUAAUACACAAUUAUAAGAAUCUAGAGCCAAAGUACAACAUCACAAACUUCACUUCAGCAAAAAGAGAACUAAACAUAUUCAGUUAUCGAGGUAAAGCAAUAAAAAAAAAGGCUUAAGGUCAUUUAGAUAAAGAAACCAAAAGGAAAGAUCGAAUAAGCCGUUUGCUUUCAUCACUUGCUGAGCAAUCAUCUUCAAAAACGAAACAACUGAAAUUCAAAGAGGUAAUUUAAUAGUUUUGGGUAUGGGCUUUUAAUUCUUCUCUCCAGAUUUUUUUUUUCUCUGAAAUAACGUUAAAACAAUAUUUUUUUUGUAUAAUUUCAGCAAAGGGCCAGAUUGCUCAAGAGCUAAUUUCAUCUCAAGAUUGUCUUGUUCCUCUUGCCUGGCUUUCAUCAUUGGUUUCUCAUGUGAGCUAGCUUUUGACAUUACUUUACCUUGUUCUUCCUUUAUUAUGAAUUUAUUCACGCUUUUUACUAUAUAAUUUAAGGUCUUUGUUCACUUUUAUUAAAAAUUAUGGUAUAUGAAUAGUAGUGCUGGCUUGUUUGCAUAAUUGUCUUCGAUAUUGACUGUAUUACAAUAUUUUUUGUUGCAAUUUUGACAUAUUUCUUAUUGUGAUUGUUUAAUUAGCCUAGACUGUAACGAGCAUGAAGAUUUAAUGAAUGUUAAAAUUUAAGUAACAUUUAAAAUUUGUACACCAGUUGUUUGUUAUAACGCCAUGUGUUAUUUUCAAUAGAUUUUUUUUAACAUGUAGCAUCAAUUUGACAAUAUUUUUUAAUUUUUUUUCAAGAUGCAGUUUUUGAUAAAGAAUAAAACAAAUGAUUAAGAGUGUUGUGAUACAAUCUUCAAAUUAGAGCAUAUGAUAAUUUAAAAGUAAUUGAUGUCCCAAGAGUGAAAUUAUGAUACUUCAUCUCAAAGCAACUUAUAUUGUUAGCUAAUUUUUGAGUCAGUUUAACAAUUUACUAUCCAAAUAAUUUUUUUUUUAAGUAUUACAAAAAUAUAUAUGUUGUAAUUUCAUCUCAAAGCAGCAAUGCACAUAAAGUGUUAACGAAAUACAAUAAAAAAUUUGUUGAGUAUUAAAUAGUAAUAAUUCUCGUGAUGAAAUUAGAAUAGGUUAAUUGGCCUAAAUACUAUUCAAUAUCUAGCUUUAAAGGACGCGUGGCAUUAGACUUACUUGCUAAGAUAUUGGAGUAGUUUUGAUGCAAUUUUCUGUCAUGCCUGCAGAUUCAACUUGCUAAGAUUUUGGUUAUGCCUUCAGGUUCAAGCAUUGUCGCUGAUUAUGUGAGCUGCUGCGAUUAUUGAGCAUGGCUUUAGAUUCAAUUUGAGCAAAUGUAAUUGUUUCUCUUAAAAUGAUGUAAUUGGUGUAAGGAGAGGAUUGUAAUCUCGAAUGAUUUAUGGUUCCAGAAAAAAAGAAAUUUUCUUUAUAUAAACUUGCAACAAUAUGAAUGUAAAUUUUUAUGAUAUUAGGAAUAUUUAAUAACAGUAUAGUUGAAAUAAAUUAAGCACAAAAAAAAAUCAAUCAGCAUAAAAUGCCACAAGAUAAACAUCUAUCAUUAAUUUGUGACAGAAUUAUGAUGUUAUGUAAGCAUAAAAUUUAUUUGCCAUGUCAAAUGCCACGUUUGCAAAAUGAGAUGCCUCGACAUUUGCCACAUCAGAUUCCAUGAAAGUAAAGAAUUGUAACACAAUUCCUUGAGAGAGAUAUUUUGUCACUAAUUAUUGAAUUUUCUGUCGCUAUAUUCUUACAAAGACUUUUUUUUUGACAUAAUAAAAUUAUGUCAGUAACAUGAUUUGUAACAAAAUUAUUCUGUCAAAAAAAAAAACCCAAUUUUGUAGUGGUGUAGGAUGGUGGAGUUUCAUACUGUAGAACAUUGAAAGAAAUUAUUGAGUUAUUAUACAGAAGGGAACAAAGUUGUUUUGUUCAAUUGUGAGUGUAUGACAUAGCUGGAGAAGGAAUAGGUUACUAAAACGAUCCGCCCCGAAUCCCCCCAGCCGAGUCUAUCUAGUCUCAUCAAAACGGACUUGAUAAAAAUUCUAUUAGUAAAGAUUCUGUCGAAAAUUCAGCAGAGUCUCCUUUAUAUAUAUAACACUCCCAAUACAAUUCAAUAUACAACAAACUCCAGUGAUCAACAUCCUCAACCAAAAUGCUGAGUUUUAUAUCUCCAGAGUCUCAAAAGAUAAUAUUAUAACUAAUAUUAAUAUCUCAGUUUAUUCUUAUUCCCAAAAGAAUAAUAUAACAAAAUUAUACAAUCCUAACAGGACGAGAUAACCAAGAUGUCCUAACAAAAACAUUUAUAUCUUCUAACACCAUCACGUGGCCAAGACUCAAUAUAUUUACAGUGGCUGGGUCGGUCUGGUGUACCUGCAACCUCCUGGUGAGGGGGGAAAAUAUAAUAAAAACGGGGUGAAUUUAAAACUCAGUGAGAUCGGUGAGUGGAUAGUAGUUUUGAAAAUUAAUUCUUACUUUAAAAGAAAUAAUCAUAUCAUUUCCAAACACGAUUUCAUUAAACCAUAAGCGAGAAACCAGUAAUAAAUCUUUAAACAUUUAAAUCAUAUUACUAACCAUGGAAAUCAUAUCACAAUAUCAUAUAGAAUUCACAAAUCUAAAAAUCAUCACCAAACAAGUACCCAUGGAAAUAAUCUCGUCAUAUCCGGACCUCAACGGACGGGCAAUGACGUACUAUCUAGGUAAUGUCAAGCCCCGGAACUACACGGAUAGACAGGAAAAUACCAUCUCAUAUCUCAUCAUAUCUGUGCAUGCAUAAUCUAGUCCCCAAAGGACAAAAGCGCCAAAGCACAUGGCCCAAAGCCUCUGUGUGUACUCAGACGGGCCCCAAAGGCCAGUAUCUCAUCUGUAUCAUCUGUAUCUCAAUAUAUGUCUGUAUCUCAUAUCUGUAUCUCUGUAAUAAUCAUACCGCAUGCAUAUGCCCCCAAAAGGCAAAAGCGCCCAAACACACGACCCAAAACUUCUAUGUGUGUUCAGACGGGCCCCAAAGGUCUCUCAUCUCAUAUCACAUGUAUCACUGUAUCUGGAGGGAAAGGGUAAUGUCUAAUGAUUUCAAAAACAAUCAUUAUACUUAUAAUCACAUACCUUUUAAUCAUACUUUAAAUCAUACCACAUUUGAAUCCACUUUUCUUAUCUUUAAAAUAUUAUCAUGCUUAUUCAAAAUCGAUACGCAAAAUCAUUAACCAAACAUUUUAAUAAAAUACCAAUGCGUGAAUAAAAUCCAUUUCGAGAAAUCAUUAAAUCAGAACAUUUAAAAUACUUAUUUCGCAAACAUGCUUUACUAUCAUCGCUAACUAUGAAAAUAAGUUUUGUAUAUUCCACUCACAGUGACGGUGUUCACGGUCGGUUAUCGUCCACGUCCGCGGACCGGUUCUUGCUCGCGGAUCCUCCUAAAUCAAGGAAACGACAUAAUUAUUUUCCGUAAAUCAAAAUUAGGACUAAAUUUUAUGCAAUAAACUCGAAACGAACAUCUAUCCAUAAUUGACAACUCCUGUGUCCAUAAAAUUACUAAAAUGCUCUUGAGUCCGUAGAUCAUUAACAUGCUCUGAAAUCGUAAAUCACUGAAUUACCCUCAAAAUCGUAAUUAUACCCAAUCCUCAAUUCUAGGAAUUACUAAAAUAUCCACAGGCUCAGAAAUUACAAAAUUGCCCUCAUAGUGUGAAAUUACCAAAAUGCCCUUGCCGGUCAACGGUCACUGGAAUUUGGUCAACAUUGGCUAGGAAGCUCAAAUCUUAAAGUUCCAAUCACGCUGAGUUCAAUGGUACCGGCGGUGAGCUCCAAUGAGCGGCAACGACGCCGGAAUCUAGCUCAGCAGCCGUGAAUUCCAACAAUCGACCGGCGGCAAAACAGUGACUCUCGGUGCCUAUGGAUGGUCGGAAAUGGAAGAGGGAGUCGCAGGGAACAAAAUCCAACCGAUGGUGUCACCCAAACCAGUAACAUGAUUUGUAACAAAAUUAUUCUGUAAAAAAAAAACCCAAUUUUGUAGUGGUGUAGGAUGGUGGAGUUUCAUACUAUAGAACAUUGAAAGAAAUUAUUGAGUUAUUAUACAAAAGGGAACAAAGUUGUUUUGUUCAAUUGUGAUUGGUAUGACAUAGCUGGAGAAGGAAUAGUUUACAAAAGAGAUUUUCAUGGAAUAUUUAUUAGUAAUAAAAAGCGAAAAUUAAAUACUACAAAGCCAUUUGUGUUAGCAUCCCAAGCAACUCAAGCAUAUUAUUUAAGAGGAUUGAAAGAUACUAUAUGAAGUGUUAUAGUAAAAACAAAGUCUUGAAAUCUAUAUAACAUUCCAGUGGAUCAACAAGAGCCAUUCCAAGAAGAGACUCAUUUAAUUCAUGAUUAUUCGACGAAAAUGCAUGAAGAAGAUAACAUUCGUUGGAAUUUACUUAUUAAUUAUUCUUUUUUCAUUUUUUAAUUGAAUUUUAUAAUAAUUCGAUAUGGUUAUAUUAUUGCUUUCAGUGUUAGUUCAGUAAUGUUAUUAUUUGUGGUUUUUUUUUUCCUUUUUAUGUUGUUGCCUUAUUCAAAAUUGAUUCAUGUAAAUUACUUCAACUCUUGUUCUUAAAUUAUAUUGCUAUUGUUGGGUUUUUUUUUAUGUAUUAACAUGUUAUUAAUUAAUUAUAUAUUUUGAUUGAACAAUCAUGGCUAAGGAAAACAAAGAUCAGGUUAAUGCAUCAAUGGAUUCAAAAAAGACUUGUAGACCAUCAAGUGGUGAUCAAAUACGAAGAGUACCGAAGAUGAGAGAAGGGUCUGAUCAUCUAUAUAAGCAGCAGUUGAAAGGUAUGUUGAUCAAGGUUGUGGUGUUCAAGCCUUUAAUUAAUGAAAUUCAGUUUUUAGUAUAUUUUUAAUUUCAAUGUUUUAUUUUGUAUACAUAUUAAUUUAAGAAAAACAAAAGUAUUUAUAAAAAGCUCUAAAGGAAAAAUCAGUUGGUCAACUUUCUAUUUCACAAGGUAAAAUUAUAUAAUUAAACUUUAUUUGUCACAUGAUUUAUGUAAUAAUGUUGAAAAUUUGUUCCAUUAUAUUCUAAUUUUAUUUAUGCUUUAUAUUUUGUUUUUAUUUGAUUUUAAUAGAGAUGGCAAGAAAAAAUAAAACUUGUCAAAUCUUUAAUAGAAUUUGUCAAAUCUCCACUUUCUAUAACCGUAUUGAGGUUGGUGUAUCAUAUCAUGCUGUGAUUGGUGAAUUAUUGUUGAGUGUUGGAGAAUUCAUAUUUAUAAAUGAUCAAAUCGUCUCCAAGCUUCAAUAACAUUUCUAUUUUUAUGUAUUUAAGUCUUUUAAACUUUGAUUGUGUGUGUUUUGUUAUAAUUUAAGUAUUUUAUGUAUUUUAAGGGUAUUUUAGUUAUUUCACCAUUAAUGAGAAGUUGGACAAUAAAAUGGAUAUUAUGUUUUAGUUCAGAAUAGCUAAAAAACUCAGGAAGAACAUAAAGGGAAAAAUUAUAAUUUUAGAAUUUUAGUGGAGUCCAAAUAUCGUGACAUUGACUAGAUGAUGUGGCAUUGAUCGACUGACGUGGCAGUAUCUUAUGGGAUUGAACAAAUAUUGAUGUGACUUUGAAUGAUGAUGUGGCUUUGACUAAGAUAAUAUGUCAUUGACGGAUGAUAUGACAACAUAAUAUUAGUCAGUAAAUCAUCUUGGGGCAUCAAGUACCAGCAGCUGAUGAGAUAUGUUUUAAUGACCAUAAUUCAAACAGAGAAAUUAAUUUAGUUUCUAUUUCAUAACGAUUUUUUUUAUCCUAGUUAAAUUUACAAUUUGUUUUUUUUUAUUACCUGUUAACUAAAGCUAAUGUUGUUUUAUACUUUUCUACUCACAACCAUGACAAGAAACCCACUACUCAUUCUAGUUCAUCUAAAAACCGAAAUAAUUUAGCUCAACGAUGUCAGAAUACUUUACAAUUGCAAGAUGUUCCCACAGAUGAACAUGCAAGCACAAAUGGUAAUUUUUUAGCUAAUUGAAUUUACUAUUUAUUAAUUUCAAACUAGCCAUUCUUCAUUAUAUAUGCAUGUUGAUUUAUAGGUCAAGGUAUUACUGCCUCCAAAAAACAGGAAAAGGGAAAGGCAAAUGUAAAAUUGGGGAAGGUAGGCCCGUUGAAGUUUACAAAAUAUUUUAUUUACAUAAAAUAAGAAAUUCACAAUGCUGCAAGUUGAUUAAUUAUAUAAAUUAAUAGUAAAUAUCAUCUCUUUCUGUAUUUCAUCACAUGUAUGUAAUCAAAGCACUCUCUUAAUUAUGUUCAAUUUUCAAAUUGUUAUUUCAGGCUUAUUACUCCUUAUGCUAUACGUACAGUAGGUGAUCUCUUUAAUCUAUAAAUUAAUGGACCUUAGAUUACAUUUUUUGAGUACCCAUAAAUAGAACUAGAUCGCUUGUUUAACUGAUUUAAAAAUAAGUUCACAUUUGAUGGUCUUAAAGAGGAGUUGAACGCUGCAUUUUCUUCUCAAGUUAAAUAAAGAUUUAAAGAUUAUAUAUAUGAAGAGUAUUAGAGAUGAAGUCCUCAAAAUAUAUAAGACAGAUAGGGAGCAUUAUUCUAAUCGCCCAACAAAUCUUCAGAAAUCUGUAUGGCAUCAAAUGGUGGAAAAGUCGUUGAGUGAGAAAUGGAAGGUUUUAUAUAUUAAAUAUUAAUGAUUGCUAGGGGACCGCCUAAGCCAGUUUGUAAAAAUUCGUCCAGCCCCCUAUACUCUAUAUUAUUUAUAAUUUGUUUAUAAGUAUUACAAAACUUUCUGAAUUAUAAAAUUUCGUUUAACCUCUUACACUCAAUUUUAUUUUAUUGAAACCCUAGAGUACGAAUUCGCCCCCUAUAAUUUCAAAUUUCUAAAAUAACCUCCAUUUAAUUAAUAACUAUUAUUUUAUUAUAAUCAUAAAUAUAAUUAUAUUUUUAAAUAGAUUAUUAUUGUUAUUAUUAAUAACAAGAAUAAAAAGUAUUAUAAUUAAUUAAUCUAUUAACAAUAAUUAAUAAUAAUUUUUUUAUUAAAUUAAUAAUAAUAAUUAACGAUAAUUAUUAUUAAUAAUUAAUUUUUGAAAAAUAAUAACAAUAACAAUAAUUAAAAUAUAAAAUAAUAAUUAUGAUAAAAAUUAAUUAAUGAUUUUAUAGCAAUGUUACAAUUAACUCAUUCUGAUUUUUAUUCUAAGACAAAAUAAACAGAUAAAUGGUAAUACAACUCAUUCAAAUUACGAUUUCUGCAGUUCAAGUAAAUAAAUUAUUCUGAUUCUAAUUCCUCAUUUUGAUUCUAGCUAUUUUGAUUGUAAUUCAUUAAUUUGAUUAUUGUUUAGUGAAUGCACUAUAAAAUUCAUAAUACUUAUGAAUAAAUUGUACAUAAUAUAGAGUGGUCUAAUUGAAAAUUUUAUUUGCUUGAACUGCAGGAAUUGUAAUUAAAAUGAGCUUUGUUACCAUUUAUGUGUUUACUUUAUCUUAGAAUUAAAAUCAGAAUGAGUUAAAUUAUAAACAAUUGCUAUAAAAUCAUUCAUUAAUUUUUAUCAUAAUAAAUAUUUUAUAUUUUAAUUAUUUUUAUUGUUAUUAUUAUUCAAAAAUUUAAUUAUUAAUAAUAAUUAUCGUUAAUUAUUAUUAUUAUUAACAAUUUAACAAAAAAACUAUUAUUAAUUAUUGUUAUAGAUUAAUUAAUUAUAAUACUUUUUAUUCUUGUUAUUAAUAAUAACAAUAAUAAUAUAUUUAAAAAAUAUAAUUAUAUUUAUGAUUAUAAUAGAAUAAUAGUUAUAAUUAUAAUUCAUUUGAUAAUAAUUAUGUUUUUUAAUUAAAUGGAGGUUAUUUUAGAAAUUUAAAAUUAUAGAGGGUGAAUUCGUACUCUAGGGUUUCAAUAAAAUAAAAUUGAGUGUAAGAAGCCAAACGAAAUUUUAAAAUUCAAAAAAUUUUAUAAUACUUACAAAUAAAUUAUAAAUAACAUAGAGUAUAGGGAGUUCGACGAAUCUUUACAGGCUGGCCGUAAGGUUGAAAAGGAUAUCAUUCAAACUUGACCCAUUUGUUUUUAUAGUGACUAACCAUUGGACUAUUAUGUAUUUGUUUAAUCUUUUUCAUUUUGAUGGUUAAUGACUAAAAAAAAAAAUUAUUUCUAGUUCUAUUUAGGCAUUUUUAUAUUUAGCAAUUGUAUUGAUCUGUUAUUUCUUUUUUAUUUCGAAAUCUUUUAUAUUGAUUAUUAGAAUCUGAUGAUAAUUCCUUUUUUGUUGGUUAACUUUUGCUAAUAAAAUUUAAGUGCUUAUCUUUCCCAUUGAUUCUCUAUUCAUAUAUGGUAAAUUUAAUAAUUUGAUCAUAAAGAAGUGUUUUUUUCAUUCAUAGUUAUGUUAUAUAUGAAUCUAUAUGCUAAGCUUGAAAUUAAUCUGACCAUGUUGAGUAGGUUAUAUUUAGCGCAUGUGAAUGUAAUGAUUGAGUUUAUUUAAAUCUUAUGCAAUAAUUUUAAUUUCAACUUAGUUAAAUAAUUUUGGUUUACUAUAUUGGAUGUAAUGAAAUAUUUUUUUCUUUUUAUGUAGAAAUCGAGUAGAAUAAGUGCAUCGAAUUGUAACAAAUCAUCUGAAGUAGUGCUUACAACUGGAUAAGUUAAAAUGUUGAAGAAGAAAAAGGAGCCAUUAAAUGAUCAUAUUUGUCAUAAAUUUUAUUAUAUUUAUAUUUUUUCAUAGAAUUUUUUUUAAAUGAUUUACUUUGCUACUAUAAAAAAAUUAUUUUGAUUCUUAAUAUUUCAAUUUUAUUAUAGAAAUUAUUUAAUUAUGUAACAUUAUUAUUAUUAUUGUUAUUAUGUUGAUAUGCUGAGCAAAAUGGGAAUAAUCCUAGUCCAAUAGAUUUUCUUAGAUGUUCCAUGUGCGAAAGGAUGGAACUUGGCCUAGUGAUAAGCUCAGGAACUGCAUAUGUUAAUUUUUUUUUUUUAAUUUCAAAAGUGUGUAUUAUUAUCAUUAUUGGAUAUGUUAUUUAAUUAUUAUGUUCAUAUUUUGAUGAGGCACAGAUGAUAUCAAAGAGGAAUGAAUUACAUGAGUCAUUUGAUGAAGAUCCAUUAAGAAAACAAUGAGAUAUAUAUCUUGAUGUCAUAAGAGUUGUUAAGCAUGGUCACACUCUUAGAGGCCUCAAAACGAAGGAUGUAUAUGGAUCCACUUCAAGCUGACCUUGCAACAAAAAGAAAUGUAUACAACAUGAGGAGUUUUUGUUGAGUACUUUGCAAGUGGCGCAAGAGCAACUGACUAUUGUACAGAAAAAAGUGGAAGAUUUAGAAGCAAAAAAAUCUCAUUCUCAACCUAUUGUGGCUUCAUCUUCAUUCUUCAAUAAUAUAAUGUUCUUUUCAAUCUCAAUUUUUUUUUUUAAUUUAUAUAAUUCGUUGUCAAUUAAUUAUUUUAAAUACUCGAUCAUUUAAUUUUUCUUUAUAGAAUCCAAUUGAAAAAUUGAAUGCAAAUGCCGAUGGUAGUGCAAAUUCUGAAAGUAGCGGUGGUGGAAAUUCUAAUGAUGUGGUGGUACUGAUUCAGAUGACAAUGGUGGUGCUAAUUCAGAGGAUGAUGAUAAUUUAGAUGAUGAUGUUACGGUGAUUUAAAAGACGAUAGUGAUGCUAAUUCAGAUGGCUUUGAUGGUACUAGAUAUUUAUAUGAUUUAUCUCAUUUGAAAUAAUAUAAUAAUGAUUUAUUUUUUAUUAUGAAAUGUUUUUGGACAAUAUGAAUGGUGACGAUUUCGAUUGAAUUGUUUAGGAAAACUCAUUCAUUUUAUAAUAACUACCUAAAUCUUUAUCAAAAAAAAAAAAACUACCUAAAUCUAUUUUCAACAAUCAUAUGUUCUUAAAAAUUGUAUUAGACAGUUGAAAUAAUUGUUGUUCCAAUUGCUAGUGGCAAUUAAUAAAAUAAAUUUCAACCGCGUAGAUUAUUUUCAAUUAUUUAUCCCAUUAAAAGCAGAGAAUUUCCAACAAAGAUAAAUCAUCAAAAAUAAUACUUUUCUGACUAUGAAUGCAUUAUUUAUAACAGAACAAUUCAAUUACAAAUAUUACUUAUUUCGAUUCAUAUGUAGUAUUUUCGAUUACAAAAUCAAUUAGAAUAAUAUUUUUCCAACUACAACUUAGUUUUUUUUUUUGGGCAGUUUUUACCCCUCACAAUUAAUGUAUUUUCAACAUAAUUAAUUGAAAUUGCUAUUACAAAAGCUAUCGCUAAAGCCAAUUGAAAAUAGUACUUUUAAUGGCUCAAAGUGAUCAUAAAAAUUAUUCAUUAGUUGUGUGUUUAUAUUAUUUCUAAUAUGCAUUAAUAAUUUUUCCAUGGCUAAUUUUGCUCGAAAAAAGUCUAAUUUUUUAAGCUAGCAAAAGCAAGACCCUAUUAAAAGUUCAAUUUAGAAUUUAAUUAGUCACUAAAAUUAUGUUCUCACUUUUAAUUAGGCAAAGCCCAUGCACUAAAGGCCUUUAUCUUGUUUUGAACUUUACAACAAAAAUAUACUUUACAACAAAAAUGUACUUUCAGUAUUAGUUAUCUAUUUACCGACCACUUUAUUCUUUAUCAGCGAAGGUAAUUUGUCUUUGAAAAAAUUAAUGAAUUUUUUAAUGCAUAUCGGACGGCUCUUCUUAGCCUUCGUAAAAUGCACUUAUUACCGAGGGUAAAUGAAGCCCUCGGAAAUAUCUGGACGGUAAUGCUAUUGUUUGUUGUAGUGCAAUGUGCAACACAUGGACGUUGUCAUUUACAUAACUAUUUCUGCAACAUAUGCAUUUGAAUGUUGUCAUCAUUAAUAACUAAAGACAAGGUGCAAAGUCUAGAUGGUGUUGUCUUCACAUCCUCUUAAACAGUAACAGCCAGCAAGGUUGUGAUAAAGCGUUGCACAGUGAUCACUUAACAACGUGCAACACAUGGACGUUGUCAAUAACAUAUCCAUUUCUGCAACAUAGGCAGUUGAAUGUUGUUAUCAUGAAUAACAAGUUUAGAUGUUGUCUUUACAUACUCUUCAACAGCAAAGCCAGCAAGGUUGUGGUAAAGCGUUACACCGUAGUCACUUAACAACGUACAACACAUGGACUUUGUCAAUAACAUAUCUGUUUUCAACUGAUUUUGGGGUAGGAAAAUCCAAACCAAUCUAGAACAAUAAAUUUAUAUUUUUGGGGGAGAUGGGGUACCUCACUAGUAUAUUGUGUGCGGUGCGAUGUAUCUGAAAUUCGGGGGAGGAGAGAAGGAGGGAGAGAGUGGUAGCUAUGGUGGAAGGUCAUAAACAAGAGAUGUGUCCUUCCAAAAUGAGCUUCACGCCUGCAAAACAGUGAAAUGGAGGUUAGAGGUGAAGCCGGGGUACCCCGGCGUUCACACUCCGACGCUCAAGUUAGCAAACUCAAGCUUUAAUGGUAAAGAGAGCUGGCUAGCCCUCUGUAAAUUAGGGUUUAAGGUUGAAGAAAACCUAUUUUUUGGAGUGUGAGUGUUUUUGGGCGAAUGAGAGCAUCAUGGAGAAUGAAACCUAGGCAUCUUUAUAUAUGAAGUACCUCAGCUGCCACGUAGCAUACCCUUUUUGGCUAACGUCCUUUUACCUUUUUAUGAUUUUUGGGCCGUUAUGUGCAUGUUCGCGGCGUAUCUCAUCCUUUGGAAACGUGGCGCGCGCUGGAGAGUAGUCCAAGGUACCUCUGCAGUAACUGUCGGGUAGGCGGCUGAGGACCACUGUCCUUGGGACAGUGUCCUUUACUUUUGGCAGAGGUAGCAGGCGGCUGUCCCCCCCUUUUGGUACGACGUUCUUGAUUCCUUAUUCUGACAAAAUCUAAUAAUAUCUUUUAAGAAGUGGAGACGUUUCUCAUGGCGGAUAUUUUCGGAGGAUUCUCUUGCAUCUGAUCUGCCGGGGUACCUCGAGUUACGUGGGGUACCUCAUAUUACACGGGGUACCCCUAUUUGUAUGGGAUACCUCUAUUUGUAUGGGGUACCUCUAUUUGUGUGGGAUACCCCUAUUUGUGUAGGGUACCUCUAUUUAUAUGGGGUACCUCAAGUCAUGCCGGGCACCUCGGAUUGUGCAGGGUACCUCCGAUUGUGCUGAAAUCAUUCCAUUGGUUGACACGUGGCGCUCUAUUGUCUUUCCUAUUUUUCCCUCAAACAAUAUCUAUUUCUGCAACAUAGCCAGUUGAAUGUUGUUAUCAUGAAUAACUAAAGACAGCGUGCAAAGUUUAGAUGGUGUUGUCUUUACGUAAUCUUAAACAGCAACAGCCAGCAAGGUUGUGGCUCCAACUACAACUUAGGUUUUUUUUUUUUUUGGGUAGUUUUUACCCCUCACAAUUAAUAGGUAAUGAGUUAAGGUACAUUUUUUAUUUUUUAAAUAAAUUAAAUAGUGAUACCAUGGUAACAAUAAUCAUAGACACUAAUAUAAUAUCAACAACUACUAACACUAUGGUGUCAUAUAUUGUUGAUACUGUAGUGAUAGUAAUCAUUGAGACCAUGUUCGUGACACCAUAAUUAAACAAGUAUUACUAUUUUUCUAAUUCUCAGAUUGUUGAUAUAAUUAAUAAGUUUCACUGAAAGUAAUUACCGAUACUAUUCUAAUGUCAAUAAAGACUAUUCUUUUGGUAGUGUGAGGUAUAUCAACUGAUGAUUAACCUCCAUCAUAAUUCUGCUCAACUCUAUUAAAUUUAGUUUCAACCUUAGUCAAAUAGCGUGAAUAAAACGUGAAACAUUCAUCUACCAAAUAAGCUUUUGCAAUGGACCCCUCUGGUCGAGAUUUAUUAUGUACAUUCUUUGUUCUGAUUGCGCCGACUGUGCUUUUUUAAUAAAAACUAAAGAUGAUCCAUACAGCCAAAAUUUGACCAUGUGAUAACCUAAAUAAACAAUUUUGAGAUGCAUAACAAGGAAAUGCUAAUUUCCCUUUUGUACACCAUCCUAACAAAUUACUACACGUGGGAAAGUCAUUUACACUCCAUAAGACUCUAACUCUCAUUUGAAAAUUUUGUUUUAUUGAAAUGCCAUAUGUAUAUGCACCGACUUCCCACAACUCUUUCAACUCAUCAAUCAAUGGUUGCAAGUAUAUGUCAAAAUCAUUGCUUGGACCUUUCGGUCCUAGUAUAAGCAAAGAUAUAAACAUGUUAGGCUCUUUCAUACACAUCCAAUCCAAAGUGGAAGAUUAUACGAAAAUAAUACCAUAGGCCAUACACUAUAACUAAGAUUAAUAUUUCUAAAAGGCCUAAACCUAUUUGUUGCUAACCCGAUUCGUACAUUUCUUGGAUCACUGGUAAGAGACUCGUGAAUAUUAUCAAAGGAUUACCAAGCCUCAGCAUCUGCAAGAUGUCUUAAGAUGCCAUCAUUACACGCUUUUCAAAAUGCUAUCAUUACAUGCUUUUCAAAAUGCCAUCUCUGACGAAAUGGAAAUAUUAUUGAGUUUGCUUGAUAAAAGAAACUAGAUUUCUGAAUAAUGAUAAAUCUUAUUGAAAGUCUGAAUAAAUAAAAUUAGGUUUUUGAAAGCCUUUUUAUAACAAGACUAAAUAUUGUAAAUUUAUCAAAAUAGGCAAACCUAAAAUAUAAUAUGAUAAUUAAAUUCUCCUAAUCAAACUAAGAAAAGAAAAAUAAAGGCACUCAAAUCUAAGUUCUAAAAAAAAGAUAAAAAUCCUAGAAGAACCAGGAAAAAUCUUAAAACUAGAAACGACCAAGAGAGAAGCAGAAUUUCCAGCUCCAAACUAUGAGGCCGAACAACUUUUGGGAUAUUGUUCAUUUUGUCGUAAGCUUCGAAAUGAUAUAUUAUAUACUAAAAACGGACACAUGUAGCCCAAGUUAUGGCCUUCGAAAGGUAUCCUACUCACGACAGACAACGCCCUACAUCAAUCUCAUAUCUGUUGCUAUCUUUCAAGACAUAAAUAACCUCUAAAGUCUAGGCUUCAGCGGAAAAUAACGUAUAACCUUCCAUGCAAUCUUUUUCCUCUCCCCAUUGUUGACCUUCCAUCUAGAAACCUCACAAGUGGGACAAUGGGUUGCAUUUGCUAGCUCCUUAUAAUAAAUCACACAAUCAUUCUUGCACGCAUCAAUUUUUCCAUAAUGGAGACCGAGAUCUUUCACAAAUUUCUUUGCCCAGUAGUUUGAUGUAGGUAACUUCUCACACAGAGGAAAUGCAUCAGUCAACAAUUCUAUAACAUAUCAAAAGACUUGUCGCUCCAAACAUUAAUACACUUGAUAUGCAUAAGCUUUACAAUAAAGACAAAUUAGAGAAAUUCUCGCAACCAGGAUAUAAUGGAUUUUUUGCCUCUUUUACCAAAUUAAAAAAUCUCUCUGCACCCGAAUUUGGAUCUUCUGUAAAAAUCUCUCUAAUUAAAUUUUGCAUAUCAUUGUAUUCCUAUGAACUUAUCACUUCUUCAUUAAUCUCAUAUUCAAUAUCAAAAUCCUUUUUCUCCCCAUGCAGACACCAAAUCGUACGGGUAGGCAUUAUGCCAUUCUCUAAAUGGAAUAUGGAUGCUUUGAAUUCAACCAAGUUAUCACUCACUUCCAUGUCGAUACAAACCCUUGAGUUGUUCUUCAUUCUCAUCACAAACUCAAAAAUCAUCCGCAUUUGAGGCAAAUUCUUUCAUCAUUUUAAUUUCUUGUAGUGUGUGCAUUUCUCUUUCUCUUUUUAAGCUAAUUAACAUGGGUGUCAUUCGCUUUGAGAAAGAGGCCUCAGCUGCUGUUGCUCCUUCAAGAUUGUUCAAGGCUUUAAUUUCGUUGACUCUCGCAAUCUUUUACCGUAGAUAGCGCCACAAGCAUUCAAGGGCAUUGAUAUUCUUUAAGGAGAUGGAGGUGCGGGCACUAUCAAACUAUGGAACUUUGCUGAUGGUAAAUCUUGUACGACGAUUCAAAUUGAUGGAGCAUUGUUAAUUUUCUAAAGUCCAAAAUUCCCUUUCGUACGAUAAUUCAAAUUAAUCGCAUCUGGCAUUAAUAAUAUUUCAUUGUCCGUCAACUUUUUAACUUCAUAAUUAGCGUGACAAUUCUUUUUUUUUCCCCCAAUGGUCAGAUUUCUAUUUCAAAAGUAUAUAUAUAUCAAAUUAUUUAACUUUGUAAUGUCGGAGUGGCUCAUGACAAUGAGAUGAUUAAUUUCGAGGGGGGGAAAAAAAAGGCUUGGUCAUUUUUCUAAUUAAACAUUACAUCGUGCAUGUUGUUCAUAAAGCGUAUCAUGCAUGUUGUCCAUAGAGCAUAACUUAGAUGAGCUAAUGAAGAUUCAAUGUAAUUCACAGGUGGUUAUUUCAAGCAUUCGGAGCAAAGAAUUGAUGCACUUGACAAGAACAAUUUUACAUGCAAGUAUACUGUCUAUGAAGGUGGUGGAGCAGCUGAAAUCUUUGAGAAAGCAGUGUACGAUGUUAAGUUCGAGGCUUCUGGCAACGGUGGAAGCAUUUGCAAGGUUGCUGCUGAGUGCCAUAUAAAGGGUGAUCAAGAGCUCAAAGAAGAGUGGAUGAAGGACGCCGAAGAGAAAGCAAUUGCAUUGUACAAGAUUGUGGAAGGAUAAGUUUUGGCUAGUCCUGAUAUCUAUGCCUAAAUUGCAUCAUGAUUGGCCUCUUUGAUUUCGAAUUUGUUUGCUAAUUGAAUAAAGGGUUGUCUCACUGUGAGCUUUGAUUUGUUGUUUCGGCUAGGGAUGGCAACUGGAUCGCUCUAUAAUGGAUAUCCAUAAUAUCCAUCUAAUUGGAUCGGAUAAUAUCCAUCCAAAAAUUUUUGGAUCUUGAAAUGGAUAAUUUAAAAUUAUAUCCAGAUGGAUAUGGAUAAUUAUUUUUACCCAAUGGAUAUCUGUUUAACCCAACACAAGUUUAAAAAAUUUUAAUUUUAUAAAAUAAAAAAUAAAAAAUAUAAUAAACAAACAAUUGUAAAAAUAUUAUAUUACCUAGUGAAAAAUUUAAAUUCCUCUUAUAUUAAAAACUAAAGUUUUCAAAAUUAUCCUUUAAUUUUUUAACUUAUUUAAUACUAUUAAUAAUUAUUAUUUUAUUUUAUUAAUUUAAUAUUAUAAAUGGACCUCCACCGGAAAGUCACCGGACCUCGCUGGACCACCAUCGGACAUCACCGGAAUGUCGCCAGAAGGUCGCCGGACCACCACCGGACCUCGCCGGACCGCCGUUGGACAUCGCCAAAUGUCACCGGAAUUACCGCCGGACCUCGCCGGAAGGUCGCCGGACCACCGUUGGCUUCCCCGAAAGGUCGCCGGACCUCCGCCGGAAAGUUGCCAGACCGCCAUUUUAUUAUAUAUAUAUUAUUACUAAUAUAAAUAGUUUAAUAGCUAAAUUUAAUAUUGGAAUUUUAACUAUUUUAUAUUAUUAUUUUUAUAUAAUAAAAAUAAAAUAUUCAUGGAUCUCCAUAGCUAUAUGGAUAAAAUCCAUAUCCAUGUCCAAUAUUAAAGACUUGUGUUGUGAGUUCAGAGCCAAGGGGAGGAUAGUGUAAUACUGGAUAUGGAUAUGGAUAUAUCCAUUAUGGAUAAUUAUGGAUUUGUAUUUGGAUGGAUAUUAUCCAUUUAUAAUUGGAUAUUUGCCAUCCCUAGUUUCGGCUCAUCUUUGGUUCUUCUAAUAAUUAUGUUUAGUUGAAGCUUCAAUGUACCUGCUUUGUCCAAUAAAUGUGUAUGUUCAAUAUAUAAAUGACCAUUAAUUUUAUUGGUUUUAAUAAAAGUGAAGAGUGAUAUGAAUGGUACAGGUUUCAACUUUCAAGAUCUAGGGUUUUAGUUUUACUUUUUGACGACGACGAUAAUGAUGAUGAUGAUAAUCAUCAUCAUAAUAUUCAGAACUUGAACUUAUGCCCUUGAUAUUAAAUCAUAUCAUUUUAUGUUAAUUUAGGGAGGACAAAAAGGGUAGAAACAUAAAAACUAAAUUUCAUAUUAAAUAAAAGAGUCACAACAUACUUUUGAGACUUGAAUCAAUUGUACGUAUCUUGGAAAUAUAUCAUUCUACGGUGGUUUAGUGGGGUAAAAAAAAGAAAUGAAUAUAUAUGAAUAAACGGCUUAAAAACAAAUCUCAAUUAAAAAAAAAAAUGUUUGGGAUGCAAAAUUGACUUGAAUUGGACCAAACUAUUAGUAUAAUUAUUCGCACAAAGAGCGGGACUAUUAACACCCCUAUAAUUUCCUUUUAAAAUUAAUUUUCUAUUGAGAACGAUUUUAGUUCCAAAAAUAUCCUUUUUUAGUUUUUUAGUUUCUUCCUUUCAACUCCAAAUCUUCAAAUAAGAUUUUCUUGUACUAAAUUUUGAAUGAUUAAAUCAUAUAUAUUUAACUUAAAAAAGAUGCAUCAGUACUUUGUUAAAGUGAUAAUGGCAUUAAAAAAUAAAAAAACACAUAUUUCAAUACAUUAACAAACAAAAAACAUAGUGUUUAAUAUAUAGAAAUCUAUAUUUUUUUUUUGUAUUUUAGUGAUGUCCUUAUUUUAUCAAGUGAGGAUAUCCUCACUAGAGAAAGACUGCAUAUCUCUAUUGUGGGUGCCUUCAUUUUUUUUUUUCAUACAGACACACUUUUAAGCUAUGCGGUUUAAUAGAGUCAGGUUUUAAUACUUUCAAACUGUAUGGCUUUAUAGUGUAUUAAAAUACAACUUUAUUAAACCGCUCAGCUUAACAGCUCCUCUGCAUUAAAAAAAAAAUGAGGGCGCUCGCAUAUAAAAUGAUUAUAUAAAUCAAGUGGACUCAAAUAGUUAAUCAGUAACUUUUUUUUUUUUUUUUUUUUUUUGAAAAAAGAAGUUGAUAUGCAAGAAAAUGAUUAAAAAAAAUUAUUCUUUAAAGUUUUAUACAAAGAAUUGAAAAUAGUUGAGGAGACGGCUAAGAGUAAGAAUAUAUUAAUAGAAUCACAUUGAUUAGAAUGCCAAGUGUUUGUGAGAGAAAAUAUAGAAAAUUAAUUAGAUUUAUUUUUUUCCUUUAGGACUCAUUUGAUAUGCCGGAUUGAUUGGAUUGAACUGAAUAAGAUAGGAUUGGAUCAGAUAACACUGAAUUAUAUAUAAUAUUGUGUUGUGCUUGGUGCAAUAUUUGAUUGGACUAUAAAUAAUCAUGUCUUGUGUUUGAUAUGCUAUGGGAUUGGCUAGUAACUAAUCAUGUCUUGUAUAUUAAUUUAUCAAAAUUAUCUUAAAUUUAUUCUAAAAUGGAAAUUAUUGAUUUAAGCUAGAUUAUAUUUUUUUUUGUAUUUUACAUGUUAUAGUUUUUAAACUUAUAUUUUACAAAAUAAUAUCAUCAAAAACAUAACAAGGAUAUCAUCAUCAAAUAUAAUAAGAAUAUCAGUCCACAACUUUAAAAAAAAAAAAAUGGGAUUUUUUUUCUUAUCCUGUGAAUUGUGAUAGGUUAAAUUUAGCUUACCUAUUAUUAUCUCACACCCCCUUUUAUAAUAAAAUUUUGAUACUGUGUUGGAUUAAAUGGUGAGCUCCACUAAUUUUAUCCUACAAUUAUUUUUGUAUACCAAACACUGCAUUAAGAUAAUUUUAGGAUAAAAUUAUCCAAUCCCAUCAUUUUAUACCCCAGUGAAACCAGCCCUUAAAGAACAAUAUGUCAAUAUUAGGGAUGGCAAUGGGCACCGCCCGCAGCGGGUUUGCCAUUACCAAACCCAAACCCGCAUAAAAUUUAAAUUACCAAACCCACCCGCAACCCGCAGCGGGUUUUAAUUUUUUUUAAAAAACCCACCCGCAGCGGGUUUUAACAAUUACCAAACCCGCAAUGGUAUCCGGCGGAUUUUUUGCGGGUUUCCGUAUUUAAAAUCACAAAUGUUUAAUAUAUAAAUUUAUAAUAAUAACCUCAAAUUUCAUAUAACAUAUUCAAUUUUAUAUUUAAACAAUGUAAAUGAAAAAUUAAAAUUUCCACAUCAAUUCAACACAAAUUCUCAAAUUUAAGUAUAAAUUACACAAAUUUAUUUAAAAAACACAAACUAAUAUCUAAAAAUAAUAAUUAUAUUUCAUAUUAUCAUUUAAAACAAGAUUCAAGAGAAUAUAUUCAUUUCAUUCACCGCCAUAAGCACCCAUCCAACACAAUGCCUAUAAUAAUAAUUAAGAUUAAUAUUUUCAAAUACUAAUUUGAAGGGAAAUGCCUUUAGUUUCCUUUAGGUUAUGACUUUAGAAUAGGAAAUGAGUCAUAUACACACAUACACAACUUUGAACCUUUGGCUAUUUGGUAAUUUGAUUAAUUACAUUAUUUUCUUUAUAUAUUUUUAUAUUUAAAUUAAAUUAAAAAUAUUUGAAAAAAAUUAUUGCGGGUUUGGUGGAUAUCCAUGCGGGUAUCCACCGGGUAUAAGGCUAAUACCAAACCCACCCGCAUCCAUGUGCGGGUUUUAAUCUAUAAUACUAAACCCGCCCGCAAUGGAUAAAAUUACCCGCAACGGGCGGGUUUUGGCGGGUGGGUUUGGGCGGGUUUAUGGGUUUGCGGGUACAAUUAUCAUCCCUAGUCAAUAUUUGCAUUGCAAUGAAAGUAAAAUCAUGAAAGUUGACCUAUAUGCAAAUGAGCAUAAAUAUUGGACUUCGAGGUUUAAAGUUUUAGCCCAAGAAUCCAAAAAGAGAAAGAACCCAAACUUUGUGGCCCGAGUUUAAAAUAAUUUCAGAGUCCAGCGUCUAAAAGAUAAAAUCUGAAAUUGAUAAUCUAGAAGCAGAACAUAUUCAUUGCAAAAAUUAAUGCGUAUGCUGCGGUACUUUUAAUUUUUUUUUUUCAAAUUCUUUCAUUUUAAUAAAAUAAGUAUGAAGUAUCAAGCCAAAAGACGAUAAUGCAAGCAAUACGGUCUAAUGCAAGCCGCGAAAUGGACCAAAGGAAUGGGGAGUUAUUUUACUUGAAAAAAAAAAUCACCUAAAUGUUAUGCAGCCCAACAACAGAGGCCGAAAUCACAGACCCUAAGCCAUUCUUUCAUUUUAGGUCAGAGUUGUUAUGUUCAAGCCCAACUCUAAAAACGCAGCAAUGGGGACAGUUGCGACGAAAGAAGGGUCUAUAAUGACCCACAAAAUAAAGAGUAAUGAUAUUUGAACCCGCUGCUUGUAUCAUUGGCUCCCUUUUCUCAUUAAUUCCUUUUAUUUUCCAAAUUACCUUAAUGCACAAACCCAAUCAUCUCAGAUAAUAAAAUGUGGCAAUGGAUUAACUCAUGAUAACUUCAAUUUUGAGCAUCUUCGAAAUAGCAAAAUAGCCUUUGAUCAAGAACCUACUGACCAUGAGAAAUCUUAAGGGAGAAGGAGGAUCGAUAAGCCAGCACUGCAAUGGAUUGCUUCUAUUUCCAGAUGCAGAUGAUCUCUUAAAUUUGUAUAGUCCAGGAUUACUUAAAUGUCAAAAGCAUGCAGAUGGAAGUUACUGCCCGCGGGAACACACAAAAAGUGACCGAAGGGCAGUAACACACUUAAAGAAAGACACUGAGAGAUUUCGUAUCCGUAAUAGUGCGAAAGGAAGGCCCGACUCCAACUCCAAGUUGUUCAAGAAUAGUGGCGUUGAGUUUCUCGACCCUUCUUUAAGAUGCUUUCGCAUCAAAAUCUAUCAUUGGAAGAAGCAAAUGCGAUUUCACGGGUUGUCCCUAGGAGCAAACAUCCAAUCAAUCAAUAUGCCGUGCAUAUAAGGAUACUCAAGUCCACUCUCACCCCGUAUAGACUUCCUAACUUGCCCGAGAAUACCUAGGGGCGCGAGACAACUCUCUCUAAGGAACUCGGCAAAAUAGAUUUUGACUAUUUUGAUUAUCCAAUUGAUCUAACUUGGCAAAAUAACUAUUUUCUAUUGUUUCUCGAUAUUCCAUCUCUCAAUCAAUAUGAUUUUCAAUUUCUGAAAAUUGAGCAAAAAAAAUGAAUUGCAAUUUAUUUAAUUGAAAUUUACCAGUGAGAAGAAGCCCACGGCUCCUACACACAGGAAAUCCAAGCAAUCCAAUAUCUUCUCAUAUCCUCUCUAGUCUCUACAUUAUGAUUGUCAACUUAAUUAAUUAUUCCUAUUACUUUCUUUUACAAAUUUUAUGAUCUUGGAGACACUGACAGCUCUGCUAGGGAAGAGCGGUUCAUGCCCAUAUGAAUGUCAAUUGGUCGGGUCAGGGCCAAGCCCGAGCCCGAUCCGAUUACUAAAAUUGAGGGCCUGAUUCGAAAAAAAACUUGAUUAUUUAUAUCUCAGGUUGGGUUGGGCCCGAUCCAAUUCGGGUUAGGGUUGGGUCGGAUUUUUUUAAAGUCCGCACAAUGCUUCACCUUAAAUAUUUUGUUUUUUUUUUGUCCGAUUUUACUUUGCUUUGUUUGUCCAUGAUGUAAAACAAAAUUGCUUUAUUCUAAAAUCAUUGUGUGUCCAUAAUUUUCAUAAAAAAAAAUAUAUCUUAUACAAAUAGAAACACAAUAAAUUUUCUUAUUUGCAUUGCACCUAAAAUUAUUCUUUUAUAUUUCCGUGCAUGUAUAUAUAUCCUCCAUAAAAUUAAAAAUUCAUAAUUUUUUAUAUUUUUUUUAAUUUAGGGUCGGAUUGGCUAAGGCCCGACCCUGACCUAAAUUUUGAUCGAACCUUAAUUUUUGGGCCUGAGCCUGACCUAAAACUUGAAAAUUCGAGUCAAAACCCAAAAAAUAUUAGUCGGGUCAAUCGGAUCAAAAUUCGAACUGGCUCAAAUUAACAUCCUAUUAAAAAGUGAGGGUUAGUGAGAUAAAUAGAGAGGUUCAAAUAUCAUUACUCUAAAAUAAAUAUAAUUUAUUUUGUCAUUUAUCCGUUGAAAGUCACUGGAAAAAUUGAAAAAGUUAUUCCUGAAUGUUGGAUAUAUGAUAUAUCCGGAUCGAAAAGGCACGUAACAAAGCUUGUGUCCUUGAAAUUGGUACCUACACCUAAAAAAAGAAAAGAAAUAAAAUAUUAUAUAAAGUGUAAUAGUUGGAGGCCAACUAUUGGCCUAUUAAGAUUAAAGAAUCCUCAUGUUAGAUUUUUUUGAAUUAUUUUAUUUAGGUCGGUGAUGCCAAAUUCGCUAUUGGCUGUCUUGGAUUUCCCUCACCUCCAGUUCUUCUAUAUAAACCCUUGACUAGUUCUUCAUCUUCAUCACAAACUCAAAAACUCAUAUUGAGCAUCUCUCUUUUCUUUAAUUAAGCAAUAGAUAUUCAACAUGGGUGUCAUUCGCGUUGAGAAAGAGGUGCCAUCGGCUGUUGCACCAUCAAGAUUGUUCAAGGCUUUAAAUGACACUCACAAUUUUUUGCCAAAGAUCGCGCCUGAAACAAUUAAGAGCAUCGAUAUUCUUCAAGGAGAUGGAGGUGCUGGCACUAUCAAGCUGUUGAACUUUGCUGAUGGUAAGUAGAUAGUAUACAUAGCUUUAUUAAUUGCUACAUGCAUCAUACAUGUUUUAUUUAAUUUUCAAAUCCAAAAUAUCACAAAAUUAAUUAUAAAUGUAACUAAGAAAAGGCAAUUAAAAAAGAUUGAACUAAUAUUGCGAUUAACAGGUGGUAAUUACAAGCAGACGAAGCAAAGAAUUGAUGCACUUGACGAGGACAAUUUUACAAUGAAGUACACUACGUAUGAAGGAGAUGGGAUUUUGAAAAUGACGGACAAAAGCGUGUACGAUGUUAAGAUCAUGGAUUCUGGCAAUGGAGGAAGCAUCUGCAAGUUUGUUGCGGAGGUCCAUGCAAAUGACGAUAAACUGGUCAACGAAGGGCACGCAAAGGAAUCCGAAGAAAAAGGAUCGGAAUUGUUCAAGCUCGUGGAAGCCUAUCUCUUGGGUAACCCUAAUCUCUAUGCUUAAAUUAAUCAUCCAUAUGCAUUGGCUUUGCCAAUUACGAAAUUUCCAGCUAGCUAACUAAAUAAGGCUGGUGCCAUUGUACGUAAUUAAGCUUUUGAAGCUGAAUGUAAAUACACGCGUAUGUACUUAGUGUGUUCGUUAAAUAAAUGUCCAAUCUGCUGGACAUAUGUGAGAUAAAUAUAGAUCAUGUGUGGUCAGUUAUGCAUACAUGUUUGCAGUUUCAAUUUCUAAACUUUACUGUUUCUACCUAUUUAUUGAAGCAUAUAUAUAUACUAUAUCUACUGGGGAUCUGUGAGGUUGGUUAUAGUAAGGCCUGGCCGGAAAGUGUUCUUGCCUCUAUCAUUAGCACGGUAGUCCCCCAAUAUGCCCGUUCGCUUCAAUAAGCUUAAUAAGUCUAAAUCCAUACAAUUAAUAAUAUAUUAUAGCACAGCGUGGGGGUGGGGCUGUACCAAGUAUAAAUAAAUCGGUAAUAUGUUCCAACAAGGAUUUAAUGAUUUGAAGAUGUUCAUUCACGCACGCUUGUUGCAUCUUUCUUCGCCAAGGUGACGCCAGCUCUCUCUCUUUAUUUUGAAAAGAAAGUAAAUCUUUCAUUAUCAAGGCGCAAAACAGUCACUAAUACAGUGUCAUAAGAAGGGGAGAUAUAAUGUCAGAACAGGCUCAAAAUAUAAUACUUAUGAGGACCUAAAAUUUGACCAUGCUCAUUGUAAAUUGUUCCUUUAUACUCCAAAGGAAAAGCAGUUUACCACAUAAAGUCUCAUAAGGUAUUGGAGAAACUUUUAGGGGUUUGGCUAUCCAACUUAGAUUCAUAAAGUGAACCGCAAUCAAAACGGACCUUAAAAAAAGAAGCACAACAACAGAACGUUACAACCCACAAAGUUAUUGGAUUUGAGCUGCACCAAAAGACAUUAUUAUAACAACAAAAAACUUAAAAAGAAAAAAAAAAAAACAAGACCGACGUUUAUUAUGAAGACAAGGUACACUGCAUGCAAUGAGCUAAGAUAGACUUGGAAGCAUUGAUAUAUACCGUAGGAUUAUCAAUUUAGUCAACUUAGCUGCUUUGUUCACCAUAAUUUGAGCUUCAAUAUAAGACUCGUUGUAUUUUAUAAAGCGUACUUUUUUAAUAUUUUAAUAUUAAAAUUUCUCAUAUUGUUGAGUAACACUCGAUUUGUAAAUAAACAAGAAGGUUAUAUAUAUGGUUUGAUAAAAUUAAGAAAAAAAAACCACUUGCACAUCUCUCAGAAGCCCUAGCCGUUUCAACGAACGAAGCCAAACACCAAAAAAAUAUCAUCACACCAUCUUCAUCUUCUUCCAACUACACCAAUAAGAAGGAACAACAUCCCCUAGUCAUUUUAGCUCUCAUCUCAAAUCAGGAAUUCUCAGUAUCUUCCAUCUGACAAGUUAAUUAUCAAAGGGAAUAAAUAUUGAUUUGGGACAGCCACCAAAGGGAAUCAAUACUAAUGAGAAUCUUAUAUGAUUUAGGAUGGUUGUUUGGAAUGAAUAGGUACAUUCCGGAUGUCAUAACUUAGACAACAAGUAUCUGUUUAGGGUGUAUAAUAUAUUGUUUCGAAGCUUGCGAUGAGAUGAACCAAUUUCAAAAUUGCUUGCACUGUUCUGCCCCAUAGUCCAACUGGAAAUUCUAUUUUUUUCCUAGUCAUUUUUUACUUCUAAGUUAUUUUCCUAUUUUUCUUGGUUCUUUUAAAAAUUUUAUCUUUUUUUUUCUAGAUAUCAAAUUCUGGUGCCGUUUGUUUUGCUUUUAUUAGUUCAAUUAGGAGAAUUUUAUUACGAAAUAAAAUUUCAAAUUUGCUAAUUUUGGUAAAUGUUAUUAUAAAAGAGGCCUAAAAUCCUACUUUUUUCAUUCAGAUUUACUAUCAAUCAACCUUUUAAUGUUUUGGCAUCGUCAUUAUAUCAUUUCCACUCAUGUAGGAUUAACAAGGAAGACGAUGGGGUUCCCUUUGGUGCAUGGCUGUCCCGAACAGAAGCCACAAAAACAAUGAUCAAUGUUGUUUUCUUGUGAUAUAAAAGUCAUGAAGCCAUAUAAAGUAGUUUCUAGGUUAUGUUACCCACCGCCAUGUGCAAUCUUUAUUUUUCUUUAUUAUUUGUGAUCGGAUAAAGAAGCAUGUAGCUAGAAAAUAUUAAAAGACAACAAUAUGACCAAUGUGUAACCUUUAUCACAACCUUGUUGGCUGUUGCGGUUUAAGAGUAUGUAAAGACAACAACAUUUACACUUUGCACGUUGUCUUUUUGUUUCCUCACCGCCAUGUGCGAUCUUUAUUUUUCUUAAUUAUUUGCGAUCUGAUGAAGAAGCAAGUAGCUAGAAAAUAUUAACAGCCAACAAGUGACCACUGUGUAACGCUUUACCACAACCUUGCUGGCUGUUGCUGUUUAAGAUUACGUAAAGACAACACCAUCUAAACUUUGCACGCUGUCUUUAGUUAUUCAUGAUAACAACAUUCCACUGCCUAUGUUGCAGAAAUAGAUAUGUUAUUGACAAAGUCCAUGUGUUGCACGUUGUUAAGUGACUACUGUGUAACACUUUACCACAACCUUGCUGGCUUUGCUGUUGAAGAGUAUGUAAAGACAACAUCUAAAAUUGUUACUGACAAAGUCCAUGUGUUGCACGUUGUUAAGUGACUACUGUGUAACACUUUACCACAACCUUGCUGGCUUUGCUGUUGAAGAGUAUGUAAAGACAACAUCUAAACUUGUUAUUCAUGAUAACAACAUUCAACUGCCUAUGUUGCUGAAGUAGAUAUGUUACUGACAAAGUCCAUGUGUUGCACGUUGUUAAGUGACUACUGUGUAACGCUUUACCACAACCUUGCUGGCUUUGCUGUUGAAGAGUAUGUAAAGACAACAUCUAAACUUGUUAUUCAUGAUAACAACAUUCAACUGCCUAUGUUGCUGAAGUAGAUAUGUUACUGACAAAGUCCAUGUGUUGCACGUUGUUAAGUGACUACUGUGUAACGCUUUACCACAACCUUGCUGGCUUUGCUGUUGAAGAGUAUGUAAAGACAACAUCUAAACUUGUUAUUCAUGAUAACAACAUUCCACUGCCUAUGUUGCAGAAAUAGAUAUGUUAGUGACAAAGUCCAUGUGUUGCACGUUGUUAAGUGACUACUGUGUAACGCUUUACCACAACCUUGCUGGCUUUGCUGUUGAAGAGUAUGUAAAGACAACAUCUAAACUUGUUAUUCAUGAUAACAACAUUCAACUGCCUAUGUUGCUGAAGUAGAUAUGUUACUGACAAAGUCCAUGUGUUGCACGUUGUUAAGUGACUACUGUGUAACGCUUUACCACAACCUUGCUGGCUUUGCUGUUGAAGAGUAUGUAAAGACAACAUCUAAACUUGUUAUUCAUGAUAACAACAUUCAACUGCCUAUGUUGCAGAAGUAGAUAUGUUACUGACAACGUCCAUGUGUUGCACGUUGUUAAGUGAUCACUGUGCAACGCUUUAUCACAACCUUGCUGGCUGUUACUGUUUAAGAGGAUGUGAAGACAACACCAUCUAGACUUUGCACCUUGUCUUUAGUUAUUAAUGAUGACAACAUUCAAAUGCAUAUGUUGCAGAAAUAGUUAUGUAAAUGACAACGUCCAUGUGUUGCACAUUGCACUACAACAAACAAUAGCAUUAUCGUCCAGAUAUUUCCGAGGGCUUCAUUUACCCUCGGUAAUAAGUGCAUUUUACGAAGGCUAAGAAGAGCCGUCCGAUAUGCAUUAAAAAAUUCAUUAAUUUUUUCAAAGACAAAUUACCUUCGCUGAUAAAGAAUAAAGUGGUCGGUAAAUAGAUAACUAAUACUGAAAGUACAUUUUUGUUGUAAAGUAUAUUUUUGUUGUAAAGUUCAAAACAAGAUAAAGGCCUUUAGUGCAUGGGCUUUGCCUAAUUAAAAGUGAGAACAUAAUUUUAGUGACUAAUUAAAUUCUAAAUUGAACUUUUAAUAGGGUCUUGCUUUUGCUAGCUUAAAAAAUUAGAUAAAAACACAUAUAUUUCCACCAAUUAAAAAUAACUCAUUUAUGUCGAAGCUCGAUCUCUCUAGGAUGAACCAUUUCGGAAACAUUGAUGAAAAGGAAAAAAAAAUAUUAAUUUACUAUAUUCUAAGAUAAUCUUUUUUCAUAUCUUAUAUUUUCUUUUCGUUUUUCCUUCUUUCAAAAGUAAUUCCUUUAAAUUAAAGCCAUAUUUUAGCUAAAAGAUACAGAUAUUCAUUCCAAAAUUUUAAAAGCACAAUAAACUGACAAGCAAGAAUCUAGUCUAACCACGUCAUUGAUGGAUAAAUUCUACUUAAUUUAGACCUUAAGAGUGUGGGACAUGCCGAAUUUUAAACUUCAGCCGUAGAUCAGCUAUCUGUACCAAGCGCUAGUAUUGGCCGCCUCACACUCAUGCGCCCACUUGAUCUAUAUAUAUCAAACCAGAAAUAAGAACUCGCUCAAGCUUGCUCGAGCUCAACUACUCACUUUUGAUUACAGUUCUCCAGAAGCAAGCAGAGAUCGUUUCUGAUUUGACGAAUAUGGAAACUCCUUGCACAGGUUUAUUUUUCGGCCACGUUAAGUUGAAUAUCAUUUAUAAUUCUUAUUUUAUAAUACAUCCAUUUGUGAAUAAUUUUUCUGUUAUGAAAUUUUCAGGUAAGAAUGAAUGGUCGGAGUGUUUAGUACUUUUUAUAAUAUUUAGUAUUGCUGAUGACGAGAAAAUGAACGACAAUAAUCUUGAUCUUCUUGUUGUUCCUCAAUACGGGAGAUAUCCCGACUAUGCUGGUUAAGUGUUGUAGUGUUACACUUUCGUGUUAUGUGUAAUUAAAUAAAAGCAUGGAUAAUGUUAUUUAUUAUCUGUCAAUAAUGGGAACAUCAGUUUGCACCCUUGUACUUCGUUGUCCUUAAUUAAUAAAUAAAACUAUUGUAUUUCUAUGAGUUGAUUAAGUUAUUCCGUCUAUAGAUAUAAUAUUUUAUAUACAUACAUACAUACAUACAUACAUACAUAUAUAUAUAUAUAUAUAUAUGUAUAUGUAUAUUUGAUUAAUUAUGCUCUCUUCCUUCUUGAAUGUUUUUGUUAAUCAAACUCUACAAUAUUAGUUAGCUAAUUCUCGCAGCUCCUAAGGGAACCAAGAUCAUUAUAAUUAGUUAAGAAUAUUAUUUGUGUUUGCUAAUUAAAUGGCGUAUAUCAUCAUGAUAAUAAAAUUAAGGGUUCCAUUACUUUAAUAUGAUAAGAAACAAGUUAAAAGACAAGUAAAACACAUAUUUUAUGCACUUAUUAUCAUGCUACGAGGAAUUUUAAAUUGAAUAAAUAAAUAUCUGCAAAAUAUGAUUCAACUCAUUAACAUUAAUUUAAUUUUGCCGCCACUGUCACUAAAUCUAACAUCAAGCCCUCACCCAUUGCCAUAGCAUGCAAAAUCAGUGGCUAAAAAUUGAUUAUGAAUUUUUUUUUAAAAAAAAACAUUUUCAAAAUCCGAAAACCUACGACCUAAUGACUACGGAGAUGAAGAAUAAUAGAAUAGUAGAAUGCAUAUGAUGCAAAAAUACUUACGGUAGACAUACUUUUUUUUUUCCUCCAACCAACCACCAUAAAUAUACUUUUUUCGAGCAAAAUUAGUCAUGGAAAAAUUAUUAAUGCAUAUUAGAAAUAAUAUAGACACACAACUAAUGAAUAAUUUUUAUGAUCACUUUGAGCCAUUAAAAGUACUAUUUUCAAUUGGCUUUAGCGAUAGCUUUUGUAAUAGCAAUUUCAAUUAAAUAUGUUGAAAAUACAUUAAUUGUGAGGGGUAAAAACUGCCCCAAAAAAAAAAAACCUAAGUUGUAGUUGGAACAUAUAUUAUUCUAAUUGAUUUUGUAAUCGAAAAUACUACAUAUUAGUUGAAAUAAGUAAUAUUUGUAAUUGAAUUGUUCUGUUAUAAAUAAUGCAUUCAUAGUCAGAAAAGUAUUAUUUUUGAUGAUUUAUCUUUGUUGGAAAUUCUCUGCUUUUAAUGGGAUAAAUAAUUGAAAAUAAUCUACGCGGUUGCAAUUUAUUUUAUUAAUUACCACUGGCAAUUGGAACAACAAUUAUUUCAACUGUCUAAUACAAUUUUUAAGAACAUAUGAUUGUUGAAAAUAGAUUUAGGUAGUUUUUUUUUAUAAAGAUUUAGGUAGUUAUUAUAAAAUGAAUGAGUUUUCCUAAACAAUUCAAUCGAAAUUGUCACCAUUCAUAUUGUCCAAAAACAUUUCAUAAUAAAAAAUAAAUCAUUAUUAUAUUAUUUCAAAUGAGAUAAAUAAUAUAAAUAUCAAGCAUCAUCAAAGCCAUCUGAAUUAGCAUCACUAUCGUCUUUUAAAUCACCGUAACAUCAUCAUGUAAAUUAUCAUCAUCCUAUGAAUUAGCGCCACCAUUGUCAUCUGAAUCAAUACCACCACAUCAUUAGAAUUUCCACCACCGCUACUUUCAGAACUUGCACUACCAUCGGCAUUUGCAUUCAAUUUUUCAAUUGGAUUCUAUAAAGAAAAAUUAAAUGAUCGAGUAUUUAAAAUAAUUAAUUGACAACGAAUUAUAUAAAUUAAAAAAAUUGAGAUUGAAAAGAACAUUAUAUUAUUGAAGAAUGAAGAUGAAGCCACAAUAGGUUGAGAAUGAGAUUUUUUUGCUUCUAAAUCUUCCACUUUUUUCUGUACAAUAGUCAGUUGCUCUUGCGCCACUUGCAAAGUACUCAACAAAAACUCCUCAUGUUAUAUACAUUUCUUUUUGUUGCAAGGUCAGCUUGAAGUGGAUCCAUAUACAUCCUUCAUUUUGAGGCCUCUAAGAGUGUGACCAUGCUUAACACCUCUUGUGGCAUCAAGAUAUAUAUCUCGUUGUUUUCUUAAUGGAUCUUCAUCAAAUGACUCAUGUAAUUCAUUCCUCUUUGAUAUCAUAUGUGCCUCAUCAAAAUAUGAACAUAAUAAUUAAAUAACAUAUCCAAUAAUGAUAUUAAUACACACUUUUGAAAUAAAAAAAAAAAAUUAACAUAUGCAGUUCCUUAGCUUAUCACUAGGCCAAGUUCCAUCCUUUCGCACAGGGAACUUCUCAGAAAAUCUACUGGACUAGGAUUAUUCCCAUUUUGCUCAGCAUAUCAACAUAAUAACACUAAUAAUAAUAAUGUUACAUAAUUAAAUAAUUUCUAUAAUAAAAUUGAAAUAUUAAGAAUCAAAAUAAUUUUUUUAUAGUAGCAAAGUAAAUCAUUUAAAAAAAAUUCUAUGAAAAAAUACAAAUAUAAUAAAACUAGAAAAUAGAACCGCGCUUCACGCGGCUUUGAAAAAAAAACUAUUAUUAUCAUUUUUCUUACUUUACACUUGAUGAAACUGAUAAAAAAUAUGAAUUGAUUUUUUUUAAAGAUGAGGCAGCCUUAUAAAAAAACAAAAAAAGCUAUUAGCUAGCAAUACAAAUAAAGAAGCAACGCAAGAUAAAGAAUAAAAUGAGAGAAUAUAUUAUAGAGUGAUUUUAUUCAUUCCAAUUGUGUGUGUACAAAACAAAAAGAUGAGCUCUCCUUUUAUAGUUACAUAAUCACUCCAUGAAAUUAAUGAAAAAUUAUGGAUCAUAAUUCCUUGUGAGAUAGUGGGAGUUAUAGGGAAGCUAAAGGUUGCUAAUGGGAGAUAGUGGGGAGACUAAGAGAUAUAUGUUAUGAACAUCUACAUUUAUUUUAAUAAAUUCAUAACACUCCCCCUUGGAUGUUCAUUACUAAGAAUAUGCCUCAUUAAAACCUUUACAUGAUUGUUAUUGUAUAAUAACAAUCAAAUUAAUUAUGAGAAGAUGAAAAGUCAAAUCUAAAAAAAAAAAUUUCUCUAUGUAUUAGAUAAUAGAGAAUAUACAAAGAUGAGAAAUGGUGAUGCCACAUCACUUCCUCAAGUCCCAGCUUUAUAUAUAUACUAGAAAAUAGAACCGCGCUUCACGCGGCUUUGAAAAAAAAAAUUAGUAAUAUCAUUUUUUCUUACUUUACACUUGAUGAAACUGAUAUGAAUAUGAAUUGAUUUUUUUUUAAGAUGAGGCAGCCUUAUAAAAAAUAAAAAAAGCUAUUAGCCAGCAAUACAAAUAAAGAAGUAACGCAAGAUAAAGAAUAAAAUGAGAGAAUAUAUUAUAGAGUGAUUUUAUUCAUUCCAAUUGUGUGGGUACAAAACAAAAAGAUGAGCUCUCCUCUUAUAGUUACAUAAUAACUCCAUGAAAUUAAUGAAAAAUUAUGGAUCAUAAUUCCUUGUGAGAUAGUGGGAGUUAUAAGGAAACUAAAGGUUGUUAAUGGGAGAUAGUGGGGAGACUAAGAUAUAUAUGUUAUGAACAUCUACAUUUAUUUUAAUAAAUUCAUAACACUCCCCCUUGGAUGUUCAUUACAAAGAAUAUGCCUUAUUAAAAUCUUUACAUAAUUGUUAUUGUGUAAUAACAAUCAAAUUAAUUAUGAGAAGAUGAAAAGCCAAAUCUAAAAGAAAAUUUCUCUAUUUAUUAGAUAAUAAAGAAUAUAAAAAGAUUAGAAAUGGUGAUGUCACAUCACCUUCUCAAGUCCCAACUUUAUAUAUAUACUAGAAAAUAGAACCGCGUUUCACGCGGCUUUGAAAAAAGAAUUUAGUAUUAUCUUUUUUUUUUUACUUUACACUUGAUAAAACUGAUAAAAAAUAUGAAUUGAUUUUUUUUAAGAUGAGGCAGCCUUAUAAAAAAUAAAAAAAGCUAUUAGCCAGCAAUACAAAUAAAGAAGCAACGCAAGAUAAAUAAUAAAAUGAGAGAAUAUAUUACAGAGUGAUUUUAUUCAUUCCAAUUUUGGUGUACAAAACAAAAAGAUGAGCUCUCAUUUUAUAGUUACAUAAUCACUCCAUGAAAUUAAUGAAAAAUUAUGGAUCAUAAUUCAUUGUGAGAUAGUGGGAAUUAUAGGGAAGCUAAAGGUUGCUAAUGGGAGAUAGUGGGGAGACUAAGAGAUAUAUGUUAUGAACAUCUACAUUUAUUUUAAUAAAUUCAUAACACUCCCCCUUGGAUGUUCAUUACAAAGAAUAUGCCUCAUUAAAAUCUUUACAUAAUUGUUAUUGUGUAAUAACAAUCAAAUUAAUUAUGAGAAGAUGAAAAAUCAAAUCUAAAAGAAAAUUUCUUUAUUUAUUAGACAUUAGAGAAUAUACAAAGAUAAGAAAUGGUGAUGCCACAUCACCUCCUCAAGUCCCAGCUUUAUAUAUAUAUAGAUAUAAAUAUAGAUUUAUGACAAAUAUGAUCAUUUAAUAGCUCCUUUUUCUUCUUCAAUAUUUUAACUUAUCCAGUUGUAAGCACUACUUCAGAUGAUUUGUUACAAUUGGAUGCACUUAUUCUACUCGAUAUCUACAUAAAAAGAAAAAAAAAAUAAUUCAUUACAUCCAAUAUAGUAAACCAAAAUUAUUUAACUAAGUUGAAAUUAAAAUUAUUGCAUAAGAUUUAAAUAAACUCAAUCAUUACAUUCACAUGCGCUAAAUAUAACCUACUCAACAUGGUCAGAUUAAUUUCAAGCUUAGCAUAUAGAUUCAUAUAUAACAUAACUAUGAAUGAAAAAAAUACUUCUUUAUGAUCAAAUUAUUAAAUUUACCAUAUAUAAAUAGAGAAUCAAUGGGAAAGAUAAGCACUUAAAUUUUAUUAGCAAAAGUUAACCAACAGAAAAGGAAUUAUUAUCAGAUUCUAAUAAUCAAUAUAAAAGAUUUCCAAAUAAAAAAGAAAUAACAGAUCAAUACAAUUGCUAAAUAUAAAAAUGCCUAAAUAGAACUAGAAAUAAUUUUUUUUUUGAGUCAUUAAGCAUCAAAAUGAAAAAGAUUAAACAAAUACAAAAUAGUCCAAUGAUUAGUCACUAUAAAAACAAAUGGGUCAGGUUUGAAUGAUAUCCUUUUCAACCUUACGGCCAGCCUGUAAAAAUUCACCCAGCCCCCUAUACUCUAUGUUAUUUAUAAUUUAUUUGUAAGUAUUAUAAAACUUUCUGAAUUUUAAAAUUUCGUUUGGCUUCUUACACUCAAUUUUAUUUUAUUGAAAACUUAGAGUACGAAUUCGCCCCCUAUAAUUUUAAAUUUCCAAAAUAACCUCCAUUUAAUUAAAAACAUAAUUAUUAUCAAAUGAAUUAUAAUUAUAACUAUUAUUCUAUUAUAAUCAUAAAUAUAAUUAUAUUUUUUAAAUAUAUUAUUAUUGUUAUUAUUAAUAACAAGAAUAAUAAUAAUAAUUAUUAUUAUUAACAAUUAAAUUUUUGAAUAAUAAUAAUAACAAUAACAAUAAAAAUAAUUAAAAUAUAAAAUAAUUAUUAUGAUAAAAAUUAAUGAAUGAUUUUAUAGCAAUUGGUUAUAAUUUAACUCAUUCUGAUUUUGAUUCUAAGAUAAAGUAAACACAUAAAUGGUAAUAAAGCCCAUUUUAAUUACAAUUCCUGCAGUUCAAGCAAAUAAAUUAUUCAAUUAAACCACUCUAUAUUAUGUACAAUUUAUUCAUAAGUAUUAUGAAUUUUAUAGUGCAUUCAUUAAACAAUAAUCAAAUUUAGGUGGAAACAUAAUGAAUUACAAUCAAAAUAGCUAGAAUCAAAAUGAGGAAUUAGAAUCAGAAUAAUUUAUUUACUUGAACUGCAGAAAUCGUAAUUAGAAUGAGCUGUAUUACCAUUUAUCUGUUUAUUUUGUCUUAGAAUCAAAAUCAGAAUGAGUUAAAUUGUAACAUUGCUAUAAAAUCAUUAAUUAAUUUUUAUCAUAAUUAUUAUUUUAUAUUUUAAUUAUUGUUAUUGUUAUUAUUAUUCAAAAAUUAAUUAUUAAUAAUAAUUAUCGUUAAUUAUUAUUAUUAAUUUAAUAAAAAAAUUAUUAUUAAUUAUUGUUAAUCGAUUAAUUAAUUAUAAUACUUUUUAUUCUUGUUAUUAAUAAUAACAAUAAUAAUCUAUUUAAAAAAUAUAAUUAUAUUUAUGAUUAUAAUAAAAUAAUAGUUAUUAAUUAAAUGGAGGUUAUUUUAAAAAUUUGAAAUUAUAGGGGGCGAAUUCGUACUCUAGGGUUUUAAUAAAAUAAAAUUGAGUGUAAUAGAUUAAACGAAAUUUUAUAAUUCAAAAAUUUCUAUAAUACUUAUAAAUAAAUUAUAAAUAAUAUAGAGUAUAGGAGGCUAGAUGAAGUUUUACAAGCUAGCCGUAAGUUACAUUAAAUGUAACUUAGGCAGGCCCCUAGCAAUCAUUAAUAUAUAAAACCUGCCAUUUCUCACUCAACCACUUUUCCACCAUUUGAUGCCAUACAGAUUUCUGAAGAUUUGUUGGGCGAUUAGAAUAAUGCUCCCUAUCUGUCUUAUAUCUUUUGAGGACUUCAUCUCUAAUACUCUUCAUAUAUAUAAUCUUUAAAUCUUUAUUUAACUUGAGAAGAAAAAUGCAGCGUUCAACUCCUCUUUAAGACCAUCAAAUGUGAACUUAUUUUUAAAUCAGUUAAACAAGCGAUCUAGUUCUAUUUAUGGGUACUCAAAAAAUGUAAUCUAAGGUCCAUUAAUUUAUAGAUUAAAGAGAUCACCUACUGUACGUAUAGCAUAAGGAGUAAUAAGCCUGAAAUAACAAUUUGAAAAUUGAACAUAAUUAAGAGAGUGCUUUGAUUACAUACAUGUGAUGAAAUACAGAAAGAGAUGAUAUUUACUAUUAAUUUAUAUAAUUAAUCAACUUGCAGCAUUGUGAAUUUCUUAUUUUAUGUAAAUAAAAUAUUUUGUAAACUUCAACGGGCCUACCUUCCCCAAUUUUACAUUUGCCUUUCCCUUUUCCUGUUUUUUGGAGGCAGUAAUACCUUGACCUAUAAAUCAACAUGCAUAUAUAAUGAAGAAUGGCUAGUUUGAAAUUAAUAAAUAGUAAAUUCAAUUAGCUAAAAAAUUACCAUUUGUGCUUGCAUGUUCAUCUGUGGGAACAUCUUGCAAUUGUAAAGUAUUCUGACAUCGUUGAGCUAAAUUAUUUCGGUUUUUAGAUGAACUAGAAUGAGUAGUGGGUUUCUUGUCAUGGUUGUGAGUAGAAAAGUAUAAAACAACAUUAGCUUUAGUUAACAGGUAAUAAAAAAAAACAAAUUGUAAAUUUAACUAGGAUUAAAAAAAUCGUUAUGAAAUAGAAACUAAAUUAAUUUCUCUGUUUGAAUUAUGGUCAUUAAAACAUAUCUCGUCAGCUGCUGGUACUUGAUGCCCCAAGAUGAUUUACUGACUAAUAUUAUGUUGUCAUAUCAUCAGUCAAUGACAUAUUAUCUUAGUCAAAGUCACAUCAUCAUUCAAAGUCACAUCAAUAUUUGUUCAAUCCCAUAAGAUACUGCCACGUCAGUCGAUCAGUGCCACAUCAUCUAGUCAAUGCCACGAUAUUUGGACCCCACUAAAAUUCUAAAAUUAUAAUUUUUCCCUUUAUGUUCUUCCUGAGUUUUUUAGCUAUUCUGAACUAAAACAUAAUAUCCAUUUUAUUGUCCAACUUCUCAUUAAUGGUGAAAUAACUAAAAUACCCUUAAAAUACAUAAAAUACUUAAAUUAUAACAAAACACACACAAUCAAAGUUUAAAAGACUUAAAUACAUAAAAAUAGAAAUGUUAUUGAAGCUUGGAGACGAUUUGAUCAUUUAUAAAUAUGCAUUCUCCAACACUCAACAAUAAUUCACCAAUCACAGCAUGAUAUGAUACACCAACCUCAAUACGGUUAUAGAAAGUGGAGAUUUGACAAGUUCUAUUAAAGAUUUGACGAGUUUUAUUUUUUCUUGCCAUCUCUAUUAAAAUCAAAUAAAAACAAAAUAUAAAGCAUAAAUAAAAUUAGAAUAUAAUGGAACAAAUUUUCAACAUUAUUACAUAAAUCAUGUGACAAAUAAAGUUUAAUUAUAUAAUUUUACCUUGUGAAAUAGAAAGUUGACCAACUGAUUUUUCCUUUAGAGCUUUUUAUAAAUACUUUUGUUUUUCUUAAAUUAAUAUGUAUACAAAAUAAAACAUUGAAAUUAAAAAUAUACUAAAAACUGAAUUUCAUUAAUUAAAGGCUUGAACACCACAACCUUGAUCAACAUACCUUUCAACUGCUGCUUAUAUAGAUGAUCAAACCCUUCUAUCUAUUAAACUUGCAUGGAACUGCUUUGUAUUGCUAUAAAGUGUUACAAUAUAUACAUGUUACAGCUAGCGUAAAUAAUGAAAGAGAUAAAUAAGUAAUACACUUCUUAACAUAAUGAACUACUGCACUUCUAAACAUAAUGACAUACUGCCAACUAAGAACGUGAAGAUCACGUUAAGCUAUUACGCCCCCGCAAGAGAGGUGUACCGUCGAGAACACCGAGUUUGGACCGUGCACGCUCAAGGGGAAGCCGGGGAAGCGGCUUGGUUAAGAUAUCAGCGAGCUAAUGCUCAGAAGGAACAUGAGCAACAGACAGCAAACCUUACGCAAUCUUAUCACGAACAAAAUAAAAGUCAACUUCCACAUGCUUCAUACGAGAGUGAUACAUAGGAUUUGUGCAAACAUGAGUGGCACCAAGAUUGUCACAGAGUAGCUUGGGCAUAUGAGUCUGAAUACCAAGUUCUGAGAACAAGUGUCGAAGCCAACAAAGCUCAGAAAUGGUAGCAGCAAUGGCAGGAAACUCGGCUUCAGUAGAGGAACGUGCCACAGACUUUUGCUUCUUCGAAGACCAGGAAAUGAGAUUGCCACCAAGGAAGAUAGCGUAAGCACUCGUAGAGCUGCGAUCAUCAAGAUUGCCCCCCCAGUCAGAAUCACUAUAAGCAGCAAGUGUAGAAGAUGAGGACUGACGAAGAAAAAGGCCAUGAAAAAUUGUAGCUUUCAAGUAACAGAGAAUGCGCUUGGCAGCCUGCCAAUGCAACUGAGAGGGACAUUGCAUGAACUGAGAUAGUUUGUUGACCGCAAAGCAGAUGUCAGGACAAGUGAGAGUGAGAUAUUGCAAGGCACCAAGAAGCUGACGAUAAGACGUACCAUCAGCAGAGACAGAACCAUCAGUUUGUUGAAGACCAACAGUGACAGACAGAGGAGUGGCAAUAGGUUUAGCAUCAGUCAUGCCAAACCGGUCCAAGAGAGAACGAACAUAGUGAUGCUGAGAGAUAAAUACACCAGACAGAGUGCGAAGCAACUCAAGCCCGAGAAAAUGAUGCAGAGAGCCAAGGUCCUUGAGAGCAAAAGUAGAAGCAAGACUAUGAAUGAAGUGUUGAAUAACCCGGCCAUGAGAACCAGUAAUAAUUAAGUCAUCCACAUAGACAAGAAAAUAAAUACGAUGACCAUCACGGUGAUAAAGAAAAAGAGAAGCAUCAAUCUUGCUUUGGCGGAAUCCAUAGGACAUCAAAAAUUUGUACAGAGUAGUAAACCAUGCACGAGGCGCCUGCUUAAGGCCAUAAAGAGAUUUGCAUAACCUGCAGACAAAAGAAGGCCGGUUAGAAUCAAUAAAACCAGGCGGCUGCAUCAUGUAAACCUCCUCGUCAAGAGAACCAUUUAGGAAGGCGUUAUUGAUAUCCAACUGACGAAUCGACCAACCAAAUUGCAAGGCUAAGCAAAGAAUAACACAAAUGGUAGAGGUCUUGACAACAGAGCUGAAAGUAUCAUGGUAGUCGAGACUAGGACGCUGAGUAAAGCCCUUAGCAACCAGCCGCGCUUUAUACCUGUCAACAGAACCAUCGGGGUGGCGUUUGACACGAAACACCCACUUAGAACCAACCAAAUUUUGAGAAGGUACAAGAGGAACAAGAUCCCAAGUAUGAUUAGAAAUAAGAGCAUUAUAUUCAGUACGCAUGGCCUGAAGCCAUUGCGGGUCGGCAAAGGCAGCCUUAAUACUAGUUGGUUCAACAGUGGAGGGCAGCGGAUGUUUGGAAAUAAUAGGAGCGAGGGUAGUGUGGUCAAGCCGUUUUGGUUUAUAAAUGUUAUUGCGUGACCGAGUUAUCAUUGGAUGGGUUCGGGUCGGCAGUGAAGGUGGAGGUGGAGGUGUUGGUGGUGACAGUGAUGGGGUUGUUGGUGACGACGGGGAAGUAGACGGGGCCGGUGAUGAAAGAUUGGAGAUGAGAGAAUAGGGAGUUAGUACUGGUGCAUGGACAUGGGGAGGUAAAGAGUCAUAAGUAUGAGGGUUAUGAAUAAUACCCAAAGUAGAGGCGGAAGAGGCCGGUGAAGAAUCGGAGCUACUAGGAAGCGAAUCCGAAGUUGCAAGACGGGAACCACUAGGAGAAGAGGAGUGAGCCGACAGAACCGGGACCUAAAAAAUGGAUGGAAACUAGGAGGUGAGUGAAACAGAGGACGGAGAGGCAGUAGAUGCGAGGGACUGAUAGGGGAACUGAGACUCAAUAAAUUGAACAUCACGGGAAACAUAAAUCUUACCAGACUGAACAUCUAAACACUUGUAUGCACUUUGUUGUGGGCAAUAACCGAGAAACACACAAGGCUUGGACCUAGGCUCUAGUUUGUUGCGUGUAUAUGGGCGUAACCACGGGAAACAGAGACACCCAAAUACACGUAGAUUGGCAUAAUUAGGAUGGGCAUCAAAUAAGAGCUGGAAAGGACAGGUUAUGGAUGUAGUUUUGGAUGGUAGACGAUUAAUUAAGUAGGUGGCGGUUUGAAACGCAAACGUCCAAAAGCUAGGAGGUAGCGAGGCUUGAUGAAGUAACGCCAACCCCGUCUCAACAAUAUGUCGAUGACGAUGUUCAGCGACUCCAUUAUGUUGUGGUGUGUAGGGUGGUGUAAGCAGGUGAUUAAUGCCCGUCUGUUGAAAAAAUGAGGUGAGUUUAAGGAACUCACCACCACCGUCGGUGUAAAUAUUACGAAUAGUAGUACGAAAAUAAUUUUCAACAAGUAUUUUAAAACGAACAAAUGUAGAGAAAACAUCAAAUUUUAGCCGUAAUGGAAAAAACCAGACAUACUUAGUAAAAUGAUCAACGAAAAUCACGUAGUACUCAUAAUUAUCAAAGGAAGUAACAGGAACAUCAAUCAAAGUAAUUUCAUCAGAAAUAGAACGUAAGUUAUUUAAAUAUUCGGCAAUAGGUUGUCCAUCACAACGAGGUCGUGCAAGUCGUUCUCUAAGAGAGAUAACACGACUACGGCUAUGAUUGGAGUAUAGCCGUGCAAGCUUAUCCCACGCUUGCUUGGAUGUUGUGGAACUAGCUAUAAGUGGGGUAACUCUUUCGGUGCAGGAGGCUAGGAUGGAGUGAAAGAUCAACUGAUCUUGGCGUUUCCAUAAGGUAUAGGCUGUGUUGAUGGUAAGCGGAUCAUUACUGCUGCCAGUUUGAUACUGAGAAGGGCACUCAGAUGUGCCAUCAAUGUAACUUGUCAGAUUGUAGCCAAAAGCUAAAGAGAGGAAUUGCGCUCUCCAUGUAAAAUAAUUUUCGGGUGUAAGCCGUAUAGGCAAUUGGGCAGCGGCGUUGAUUGAAACACAAUCAUUGGCUUGGUUAUUUGAUGAGUGGGGACUUUGGCUGGCUGGUGAGAUAGAGGAGAUGGCUGAAGGUUCAGUGGCCAUGGUGAGAGAAAAGCAAAAGGAUCGAUUUACUCUUGUUAGAGAGAGAGAGAGAGAGCUUUGAUACCAUAUUAAACUUGCAUGGAACUGCUUUGUAUUGCUAUAGAGUGUUACAAUAUCUACACGUUACAGCUAGCGUAAAUAAUGAAAGAGAAAAUAAGUAAUACACUUCUUAACAUAAUGAACUACUGCACUUCUAAACAUAAUGAAAUACUGCCAACUAAGAACGUGAAGAUCACGUUAAGCUAUUACUCUCAUCUUUGGUACUCUUCGUAUUUGAUCACCACUUGAUGGUCUACAAGUCUUUUUUGAAUCGAUUGAUGCAUUAACCUGAUCUUUGUUUUUCUUAGCCAUGAUUGUUCAAUCAAAAUAUAUAAUUAAUUAAUAACAUGUUAGUACAUAAGAAAACCCAACAAUAGCAAUAUAAUUUACGACCACGAGUUGAAGUAAUUUACAUGAAUCAAUUUUGAAUAAGGCAACAACCUAAAAAGGAAAAAAAAAACCACAAAUAAUAACAUGACUGAACUAACACUGAAAGCAAUAAUAUAACCAUAUGGAAUUAUUAUAAAAUUCAAUUAAAAAAUGAAAAAGAAUAAUUAAUAAGUAAAUUCCAACGAAUGUUAUCUUCUUCAUGCAUUUUCGUUGAAUAAUCAUGAAUUAAAUGAGUCUCUUCCUGGAAUGGCUCUUGUUGAUCCACUGGAAUGUUAUAUAGAUUUCAAGACUUUGUUUUUACUAUAACACUUCAUAUAGUAUCUUUCAAUCCUCUUAUAUAAUAUGCUUGAGUUGCUUGGGAUGCUAACACAAAUGGCUUUGUAGUAUUUAAUUUUCGCUUUUUAUUACUAAUAAAUAUUCCAUGAAAAUCUCUUUUGUAACCUAUUCCUUUUCCAGCUAUGUCGUACCAAUCACAAUUGAACAAAACAACUUUGUUCCCUUCUGUAUAAUAACUCAAUAAUUUCUUUCAAUGUUCUAUAGUAUGAAACUCCACCAUCCUACACCACUACAAAAUUGGGUUUUUUUUUUUGACAGAAUAAUUUUGUUACAAAUCAUGAUACUGACAUAAUUUUAUUAUGUCAAAAAAAAGUCUUUGUAAGAAUAUAGUGACAGAAAAUUCAAUAAUUAGUGAUAAAAUAUCUCUCUCAAGGAAUUGUGUUACAAUUCUUUACUUUCAUGGAAUCUGAUGUGGCAAAUGUCGAGGCAUCUCAUUUUGCAAACAUGGCAUUUGACAUGGCAAAUAAAUUUUAUGCUUAUAUAACAUCAUAAUUCUGUCACAAAUUAAUGAUAGAUGUUUAUCUUGUGGCAUUUUAUGCUGAUUGAUUUUUUUGUGCUUAAUUUAUUUCAACUAUACUGUUAUUAAAUGUUGCUAAUACAUAAAAAAUUACAUUCAUAUUGUUGCAAGUUUACAUAAAGAAAAUUUCUUUUUUCCGGAACCAUAAAUCAUUCGAGAUUACAAUCCUCUCCUUACACCAAUUACAUCAUUUUAAGAGGAACAGUUACAUUUGCUCAAAUUGAAUCUAAAGCCGUGCUCAAUAAUCUCAGCAGCUCACAUAAUCAGCGACAAUGCUUGAACCUGAAGGCAUAACCAAAAUCUUAGCAAGUUGAAUCUGCAGGCAUGACAGAAAAUUGCAUCAAAACUACUCCAAUAUCUUAGCAAGUAAGUCUAAUGCCACACGUCCUUUAAAGCUAGAUAUUGAAUAGUAUUUAGGCCAAUUAACCUAUUCUAAUUUCAUCACGAGAAUUAUUACUAUUUAAUACUCAACAAAUUUUUUAUUGUAUUUCGUUAACACUUUAUGUGCAUUGCUGCUUUGAGAUGAAAUUACAACAUAUAUAUUUUUGUAAUACUUAAAAACAUUUUUAUUUGGGUAGUAAAUUGUUAAACUGACUCAAAAAUUAGCUAACAAUAUAAGUUGCUUUGAGAUGAAGUAUCAUAAUUUCACUCUUCGGACAUCAAUUACUUUUAAAUUAUCAUAUGCUCUAAUUUGAAGAUUGUAUCAGAACACUCUUAAUCAUUUGUUUUAUUCUUUAUCAAAAACUGCAUCUUGAAACAAAAUUAAAAAAUAUUGUCAAAUUGAUGCUACAUGUUAAAAAAAAUCUAUUGAAAAUAACACAUGGCGUUAUAACAAACGACUGGGGUACAAAUUUUAAAUGUUACUUAAAUUUUAACAAUUCUUAAAUCUUCAUGCUCGUUACAGUCUAGGCUAAUUAAACAAUCACAAUAAGAAAUAUGUCAAAAAUUGCAACAAAAAUAUUGUAAUACAGUCAAUAUCGAAGACAAUUAUGCAAACAAGCCAGUACUAUAAGAAAACAGGUAAUAGAUGACGGGAAAUAACUGUCAUAAAAGAGGGUACAUGACAGACAAUUCAUCCGUCAUCUAUGUUACUGUCAUUAAUUUAUGACAGAAUAUUUUCCGUCAUAAAUUCAUAAUAGUAUUUUACCAUCAUAUAUCUGUCACACAAUAUUUUAAUGUGAAAAAAUAAUUAAAUUUGAAUUUAUUAUUAGUGGGAAAUUAAAUUUAUUAUUGGCGGAAAUUUUACCGCCAUUUUUUAAUUUUUAACGGGAAAUUAAAUUGUCAUUUGUAAAUUUAUUAUUAAAUUUUGGUAGAAAAUGUUUUAUGACAAAUGUUAUGAUGGGUAUUUCCCGUCAUAAAGUUGAUUUUUUAAAAAAAAAUUAUAUGAUUAUAAUUUAUUUGUGAAUUCUUGAUUACAAAUUUAAUUAAUUAAUAAAAAUGAAUAUCGUCAAAAAAAACUAAAAGCAAUUAAUAUUAAUUAACCUCCAUUCAAUCCAACAAAUUAAUUUUGAAAACAAAUACAUCUAGUAUUCAAUGUCAUCACCGCCAAUACAUAAUAAAACAUCACAAAUAAAAAAGAAAAAAUUCCAAAAUAUAAACAAUACUUAAAUCCCAAUUAAACCCCAAGAAAAGCAAUUCAAAUUCUAGCCACCGAGCCAAGUUACCCAACAAAACUUCCAAAAAUUAAUGAAAAUAUUCCAACAGCAAGACUUCUAGCAAGACUCCAGCAAAACUUCCAGCACCAAUACCAUCUUCCAAUAGCAAUCUAAUUCCAGCAUCAAACAAGGUAAAAGUCACAGAUGAAACUUGUAUCAGCAAAAUCGUCCACAUUAAUAAAGAGUAGCUGCUGUAAAAGAGCCGCAUUACGGUCUGUCAACUUAGCAAUAAUGGUAGAAGUAAUUCCAGCAUGUAUUUUCUAUCCAGCAGGGCCAAAUCCUCAUCCUUAAGGGCUAAGAUAUCGAAUGAGAUAAUAAAUAAGUAAAAGGUAAAUACGAGGGAUGCUAAAACAAAAGUAAACCUAAAACUGCAGGGAGAAAUAACCUCUUUUCCCACUACUAAGAGUAGUAUAAGAUGUAACUGCAAUUGAUGCUGCAGGCAUUAUUUGUCUUUUAGAUUACACAUGUGAUGAUCAUGCUUCAUCCCUUUCCUUUUUAGUCUAGUAAUUACACGACAAGCAACAUCAUGUUGAGGACAAAUCAAUAUGCUAAGGUCAGUGAGCUGCUCAAGUAAUGAUUUAAUUACAAUUUGUACUAUGGUCAAAGAGAAGAAGACAUAAAAUGUAAAUGUGUAUUUCUUUAGAGGAAGAAAAAACGAAAUUUGCUAAGGCUCAAUGCGUAUUUUCUGGAUAAAUACAUUUUAUAGAGAUAACAACAAACCUGUAAACUAAUUAUCUAUAAAAUCAAAUUAUUUAGCAGCAACCUCAUAUUUCCAUUAACUUCAGCUAGCACAAUACAGUAUGUAUACAUACUGGAUAUUCACUGACUCACCUAAAGCAACAUGAGAAAGUUGGACACGAGGAUCAUCCGCAAGUGAUUUGUUAAGGUCCAAUAUUGCUUGCCUGCUGCUGCCUCUAAAAUGGUCCGGAACCCGCUCUUCAGGCAUUGCAACUGUUCCCCCCCAGAGUGUGUUGUCAUAGACAGCUAUACCGCCCACUUUCAACAACUUCAUCAACCUCUCAUGGUAGUUACAGUAGUUGUCCUUGUCGUCAUCCACAAAAGCAUAGUCAAAACUGACUUCAUUUUCACUCUGCAGCAGAUUCCAUAAAGGAUAUUUGUUCAAAAACAAAAGUCAAUUGAAUGGAAGAGUAACAGAGGGAACAAAUGUACGUAUUUUAGAGUAUUAAAUCUUUAUAUCUUUUAGUAGCUAAUCAAGAACUGAUAGUGCCUCGGACUCAAUGAAGUUUAUCUUGUGAUCAACUCCAGCCUUUUUAAUGAUAGGUAAUCAUAUUUCAUAUGUCUCACGAUUCACAUCAAUUGCUGUAAUCUGCAGUAUUUUGUUUCCAGUCAUAAAUAGCUUAGUAGGCAAGUGCAUGAUAUGAUAAUAAGAUGUUAACAAAAUUUAACCAAAGCAAUAACAUAUUGCAGGAACACUGCAUUAAUAAAUUCAAUUCUACAGCAUCACAUAUGACAAUGGACUAUUUACCUGACCAUCCUCUGGAAUUGUGAGUGCAGUGAGAAGAAGAGAAUAUCCAGUGAAAACUCCAAUUUCAAUAGUUUUCUUUAAUUUCAACCUCAGAUUUUCAUUAAUUUUUUAUCCUUUUAUUUUCUUUUUUAGAAUGAAACACAAAAUUAAAAAUAGAGAUGAAUAUAUAGCUACACUAAUGAAAUCAAAACUAUUGAUUCAAAACUCAAACAUAAUAAAAAGGAAAUAAAAAAGUGAAGAAAUGUUACCUAGGCUCAAAACUGUAGCUCCUGUUCCAGCCACCACACAAUAGCCACUGCCGCCACUGCUUUUAAUCUUUUAUGUCGAUCUCCACCACCAUCAGAACCAUAAAGACCCGCCCAUCAAAUCACAGCCGUAAAUACCACCGAUUUGCUGCAAGAAUCAGCAAACACGACUACCAAACAGCAGCGAAACCUCCACCAUCGUUCACUAUCUUCCAGCGCGAUUCACCAGCCACCACCAACAACACAUUACUCAUCAUUAGCUGUAUCUAUCUGGUUACCUCCAUCUUCCAGCCCCUUCCCCUUUCUCUGGAAUUGAAGCCAAAAAUCAACACCGCCUCUUUCAUAAUUUUCGAUCAAAUGCUCGCGAAUCGAAGAGAACCUCUAGCAGGAUGUCGACUUGUGGCCUAUGGGUGGGAUUCGAAGGUCGACUCUUUUACUUGGGUUAAUUGGUUGUGAAUGUAUAUAGACUGCUAAGCAGCAAUUAUUAAUCAAGGUUUUCAAUUAUAAUCACAUACAAAGAAAUGGUCGUCAACGCAUAAAUAUAAACAAAAUGAAAGGGAAGAAGCAUACGAACAACUGGGAUAAACAGAAAAGCAUGCAAAUAAUGUAGCAUCAGUAACUUCUGGGCUAAAAAAAAAAUAUUGAAAUGACCUACAUGUAAUUAAUCAUGGUUCAUACUGUCAUACACAAUCCAAUCCAACAAUUUCCAGUACACUAUAAAUUUCAGAUAUGGCAUCACAAACACAAACACCAACCAACCUGAUGUAUCUUCCUCUGACCAUUGGCAUAUGCCCAAUUAACUUUGAUAGGCUGCCCAAUUAACACACUCAGUUGUUAAAAGUGGCAAGGUAAGAAAAUAGACAUCACAAAAAAAAAAAAGGUACUAGUAGUUUCUACAACUCAAUGCAAUCAGCAUUUUUAAAUGCUUUUCAUCAGAUUUAAAAGGUAAAAAAAAAAAAAAAAACACACACACACACACACACAAAUCAAUGGAAACAAGGAUAAGGGUGAUAGUUGCAUAAGCAAGCAAGAAACAGCAAAACAAAAAAUGAAAAAAAAAAAGAAGGAAAAAAACAAGAGAAACAAAAAUAAGAAGAAAAAUGUCUAGGAAAACACUUACACACUGCAGCAAGUAUUUGGAUCAAAACCAGGAGGUAGAUUUCCACUUGGGAUUGGUUCAAUUUGCAAAAUAAAAAAGUGAAAACGAAAAGAAAAUAAAAGGAAAAAGAAAAGACUAAAUAAAGAAGAAUCUUUCCUAAAAUUUCAAUAUCUAGAGUACUCCAAUUCUUAAAGACCAAAAAAAAAAAAAGUAUCAGAAGGUACUUAUAACUCAACCUAGUAUAUACAAACAAGAAGACAAUACUUAGGAAUAUUGAACUGCUUCAGAAUUCUAGGGAUAUUGACCAACAUGGUAAGAAACAAGCCGCUGAUGGACACAAUUCUAGGAAUAUUGAACUGUCAAAUUAGGAAUAUUAAUAAGACAUAUUAGUUUGUAGCAUUAAAUUAGGAAAACGUUUAUAGCAGGCUGCUGAAAAUUCAGAUUAUUGAUUAAUUGAUGGCAAUCUAGAAGUUAAACAUGAAAUGUUUAUAUCAAUUUUUCAAAUUCUAAAAAAAAUAUUGGAGUUGCAAGAACCUUUUUCACUUGCAAAAACUGUAAAGUUUAGCAUUUCCCACUAAAGGAGUGACAUAACCAGAUAUCGUUCAUGAAGUCAUACAUAUCGAGCAUUAAGCUUUAACACCAUUCUGCAAGAGAGAACCAAUAUGCAUCACUGCCAUCAUAUCUGUCAAGGGGCAAAUUUCCUGUAAAAAGAAGCAUAUAAGAAUGUUUCAUAUAAAAAUGCAGCAAGAAUUUAUUACUUAACAAAUGGUAAACAAACUAAUAGAAUACAGGAAAAUUGUUUAACUCUUGUAAUUGUUUCAACAUACCUCAUUCACGUAAUUAGCUCCUAGCAAAUUUAUAAUUCAUUAUCAAAAACAAAUUUCACUUUAAUCUUUUAGUGUUUCAAAUUAAAAAAAAAAAUAUAAACUACACUUGUUCAUUCCAAUCAAACUAUUCAUACCAUUCCUAAAUCUCUAAAAGAUUUAAUUCAACAGAAAAUUAAUCAUUGUAAAAAACCCAUUUAACCUAAUCUAAUAAAAUCCCAAAAAUAAGAUAACACAAUUUCAAAAUUUAAUUAGUUAAUUCACAUGAAUUGCAAACAGAGAAAACUCACCUCUAAUAGAAGAUCAAAGUUAUGCAAAAGAAAAAUAGAGAUAAAUUAAUAUGUAUUAAUCAACCAAUUAAUCUACGUUUUGGUCUCUAAGAACACAACAAGAAAAAAAUUAAAGCUAGGGUUAGGGUUAAUCACCUGUUUUAGAAUUACUCAAUGGUUGUUGUUUCAAAAGGAAGUUAGGGUUUCCCCAGCACGACGACAAAUGAUUAAUUUCUCGGCCAUAGUUUCUCCGACGAGGUGACACGAUGGGUUUUGAGGAGCUAAAUGAUUGAUUUUCGAAAUCAAAGAAUCACAAUGAAAGUCACCAGUGACCAUGGCACUAAGCGGCGGAGAUGGGUGAGCAUGACGGCUAGGGUUUUCGUUGAGCAGCAGCAAAAAGGGAUUUCGUUGGAUGCAGUAAGGGUUUUCUUCCACAAGUUUGAGAGGUUGAGAGUAUCGGUUGGGGGGUUUUAACACUUAGAAAAAUUUGUUGCUUUUUUUUUCGAGUUAGUGUUUUAUAAAAGUGGUAAAACAGUAAGUUUUGCUUUUGGUUUUAAAUAAAAUAAUACAUUAAAUUUGGGUCAAACACGGUCAAAAUAAUUUUUCUAUCACAAUAUCUUGAUAGAUCAAAUUUCUAUCACGAUUCUAUCAUAAAUUCGUGAUAAAUAAUAAUUUUAUCACAAAACCAUCAUAAAUCCGUGAUAGAAAAUAAUUUUAUCACAAAGUCAUCAUUAAUUCAUGAUAGAUUAAAAAUUAUGUCAUAAGUCUAUUAUAAUUUUAUGAUAUACUCAGAAUCUGUUAUAAGUUGUUUGUCAUCUAUUAGCAGUUUUCUUAUAGUGACUAUUCAUAUACCAUAAUUUUUAAUAAAAGUGAACAAAGACCUUAAAUUAUAUAGUAAAAAGUGUGAAUAAAUUCAUAAUAAAGGAAGAACAAGGUAAAGUAAUGUCAAAAGCUAGCUCACAUGAGAAACCAAUGAUGAAAGCCAGGCAAGAGGAACAAGACAAUCUUGAGAUGAAAUUAGCUCUUGAGCAAUCUGGCCCUUUGCUGAAAUUAUACAAAAAAAAAAUAUUGUUUUAACGUUAUUUCAGAGACAAAAAAAAAAAAAAACUGGAGAGAAGAAUUAAAAGCCCAUACCCAAAACUAUUAAAUUACCUCUUUGAAUUUCAGUUGUUUCGUUUUUGAAGAUGAUUGCUCAGCAAGUGAUGAAAGCAAACGGCUUAUUCGAUCUUUCCUUUUGGUUUCUUUAUCUAAAUGACCUUAAGCCUUUUUUUUUAAUUGCUUUACCUCGAUAACUGAAUAUGUUUAGUUCUCUUUUUGCUGAAGUGAAGUUUGUGAUGUUGUACUUUGGCUCUAGAUUCUUAUAAUUGUGUAUUAAAGAUUUGAUAGGAAAUUGGAACGUAUGCAAGAGUUUGGUACCAUGCCUUUUUCUUUUUGUGUCUUAAGGAUACUUAUUUAAUUCAUUAGUGAUAGCCUAAGAAUACUUAAGAGAAAAAGGAUUAAUAUCAAUUCUAAGCUUUUUAGGAUCUUUGGUGAUUACUGUUAAGUGUGUUGGUACUGUUUAUUGGCAUGUUAUUGCUUUUUGUAAUUUCUAGACAAUGUUGAGUGAUUGGUUACAAAUUAUUGUUUUAGUUUUGAAGUUUGUAAUAUAUACUAACUUGUUUGUAAUUAGAUUUGAUGUUGGAUGUGAUGAGUACACUAUUGAUGAUCUUUUGUAACUUUUUGAUGAGUGGGCCAUAUGCUGCCAAGUUAUUUGUAGCAUGCAAUAAUAAUGUAAUAUAUGAUUAUAUUUUUGCUUGUAAACGUCCAAGACUUAAUUUGUGUAGCAUACUAAUUAAUUCUAUAUGUUACACCUAUAGGUGGGAAAACAAUGAAGUUCAAGGUGUAGAGGCAAUGACGAGAAUUUUGUUGCAAAAUAAAUACUUGCAUUUUUUUUUUUCAAUCUGAAUAUCUACAUCUGUGCAUUUCAAACUAUAUUUGAGAUAUUAUGAAUUUGUAUGUUUCUUUUAUAACUUGUUUUAAUUUGUAUUUGGUAUAAUUGUAAUAUAUAUUAAUAAUAUUUGAAUAUGAAAUGAAAUAUUCUGUAAUAUAAAUCGUUUUUUUUCGUUAUUUUAUGGUGCUUUUUAAUUUUACCAGUAAAUCAAUAAGUAAUGAGCCAAGUCACAUUUUUAUUUUUUAAAUAAAUUAAAUAGUGAUACCAUGGUAACAAUAAUCAUAGACACUAAUAUAAUAUCAAUAACUACUAACACUAUGGUGUCAUAUAUUGUUAAUACUGUAGUGAUAGUAAUCAUUGAGACCAUGUUCGUGACACUAUAAACAAGUAUCACUAUUUUUCUAAUUCUCAUAUUGUUGAUAUAAUUAAUAAGUCUCAGUGAAAAUAAUUACCGAUACUAUUCUAAUGUCAAUAAAGACUAUUCUUUUGGUAGUGUGAGGUAUAUCAACUGAUGAUUAACCUCCAUCAUAAUUCUGCUCAACUCUAUUAAAUUUAGUUUCAACCUUAGUCAAACAGCCUGAACAAAAGGUGAAACAUUCAUCUACCAAAUAAGCCUUUGCAAUGGACCCCUCUGGUCGAGAUUUAUUAUGUACAUAUUUUUUUAACUUGUACAAAUUUCUAUAAAAAAAGGAAUUGCAUAAUUAUUAAAUUGCAAUAUAAGGUUAUCUAUUAACAUGUAGCUAAAUAAAAAACAAUAAAUUUACCUUUCAGAUAUAUCCAGCUGUAUUGCGCUGGACCAGUCACUUUAGCUUCCCACGCCAAGUGAAUUGGAAGGUGCACCAUUUAGCAAUAUCCCUAAUGCUUAGCCACACCUCACUUAGGGAAAAUUUUUUUGCAAGUUCAUCAAAAUUAUCCCCUCACGUACCAUCUGAUUAAUGUUUUCCAAAUUAUCACUUAUAUACAUGUCCCCGGAUGCCAUUUCUGCAGUUAUAACCACAGCCCGCAGACGUUUGCAAAGCACACUAGCAGUAAUAGCACUAAAUAGCCACGAACCAUCUUCAUUUUAUUGAGGUGUUAUUAUUUUUUUUUCGCUUGAUUUGAUUUUAACUAAGCCCAAAAAUUUGUAUUUUGCCUUUUUGAUGAGGAGAUCAUAUUAUUACCAUCGUCAAUAAUAGAUUUAUGACUAUUUUUGGGGCAAAUUGGAGGAAAUGGAAUUCGGGGAUAUAAAUGACCUUUUCACAGACAAGAAGGAAAUGAGUAAUGUAUUAACAAAACUUGCUCCUGAAGUAAUAUUUUGUCAAACGUCAGGGACAUCGCCAAAAUCUUCCCUUAGUGAGUUCCAAGUCUAUACUAUAUAUCUAUAUAUAUGCAUAUAUAAAUAUACACUCCCUCAAGUUGUUCUCUUCUCCAUCAUCUCCACAUACACAAAACUAUCUUUAUAUUAUUAAUUCAAUCAAAUUCAUAUAUUACUCCUUUCAAAAUUAAGUAUUCAGUUAAUCACAUCAUCAUCACAUUAUUCACGUCCAAGCUCUUAAUCAAUAAUUAGGUCGUGCUUUUUUCGUUCACAACUGUAUAUGUUAAUUGAUUAACUCUAAUGACAAACUUAAUGCAUGUGAUGGAUUGAAACUUGAAAGGGAAUAAGCACACGUACGCAAAGCAAAGAAUCGAUGUACUUGACAAAGAGAAGUUUUAUUGUAAGUACACUGUUUUUGAAGAGGACAAUAUGUUGAAUAUACUUGAAUCCAUUGUGUAUGAAAUUAAGUUUGAGGCUUCCGGCGAUGGCGGAUCGAAUUGCAAAACUGCUACUGAAUUCCAUAUAAAGGGCGAUGGAGAGAGUAAAUUGGAAGAGGAACUCAAGGGCUCCGUAGAGAUAGGAACGGCAUUGUUCAAGGCUGUGGAAGCACAUCUCUUGGCAAAUCCCGAUCUCUAUGCUUGAAUCAUUUUCCAAUUCCAAGUGGGCUUCUAAUAAAUAAGAAUUAAAUAAUCUGAACUUUGUUUGCUUAUCUAUGGUUUUAAACCUUGAUUAAUGUACUAGAUAUAAUAACAUCAAUAAAUUAUGAAGCGUGUGUGAAAGUCCACAAACUCGCCCAUUGAAUAUUACAGUUUAAUUACUUUAAUGCACAUCAAAUUCAGGAAUGUCUGUCAUUAGUCUAAUUUCAAAUUAAUUAUAUACAUCACAUGAUCACAAUUUUCUUUUUUUUUCCCCCCCAAUCUUAGAAAACAAUGUCGAAAGAAUCUGUUUAAAACAAGGGAGUGUGAUCUUUGAUUUGCACUUGGUGAAAAAAGAGCAAAAUUAUUAAGCCUCAAUUUCCUAGUGUGACUUCCCUUAUGAAAUAGAAAUUUUAAUGGUGAAAUUUAGUAAAAACGACUUCUGAAAUAAUAAAGUUAAUUAAUAUAGUUUAAUCAUCACAUAACUCUCAAAGACCUAGAGGUGAGCCGCUUGUGCCAGACUAUAAUACUAGAUAAAGUCUCACAGGCGUCCAGGAGACGAACAAUAAUUAAUACAACAAAAUGGAUCAUCAAAGUAAGGAGCUGUUUGGAAGUGCUACAUUGUGUGACACCCAAGCAACUGCGUAGCCGCAGAAGAAGAAAUUCUACCAUAUUUCUUUUUGCGGCAGUUGCUACAGUGCAUCACUCCUAAACGAAGCCCGAGAUCCGGCUCCAAAAAUAUAAGUUGAAGGAUCACGUGGACGAAUCAGAUUUUCUCAUGAAUUAUACGACUUUGUUCUCAAAUUUUAUUCUCUAUAGCUUCUUUCGCUAAGAAAAAUUAAAGGAAAAUUUGGAAAGUGGUAUAGUCAACAAGGGAAGGCUUUAAUUUGAAUGUAACGAUGAGAAAAUAUUUUAAAUGACAAGAUAGACACUUACCACAAGAUUGUUGGUGUACUUUCGGAUAUGGAGGCAAAUAACAACAACAUAAUUUGAUAGGAUUUGAGACGUGUAUGCACACUUUCCUUUAAGGUUUUAUUUGCCCUCACCACUCUUGGUUUGCUAUAGAGUUUAAUGGCAAAUUACCCCCAAAAUAUAACAAAUCCUGAAUACAAUCUCUAGCAAAUAAGAUUGUAUUCCAGAACAAAAAAGAAAUAUGUAAAAAUAUGAUAUUAAACUAAUGUGUGUGUCUAUUUUAAUGAAGAAGAUGUUUAUUUGAAACAAUACAACCAUUAGAAAUGGUACUUCUUCAAAGACACUCUUUUGGUUUGAAAUUUGCAUCUAUUCACAAUUAAAAUUUUCAAGCCUGCUAACUGUUUUUCCAGUUGAUGUGAAAUCACGCCCUCUGGAAGAAAACGGUUAGCCAUUUUCUCAAUAACGGUGAACCGUUUUAUUCUAGAAUGUAAAAAUAAGUUGCUCUCUGGAAAUAAACGGUUAGCCGUUUUCUCCAAACGGUUAGCCUUUUUUUUUAGAACAGAAAAUAUGCUCUCUGGAAUUAAACGGUUAGCCGUUUUCACCAAAACGGCAAAUUGUUUUCUGUAAAACAUAAAACAUACUCUUUGGAAUUAAACAGUUAGUUGUUUUAUCCAAAAACAGUAAGCCGUUUUAUUCCAGAAUAUCAAACCAAAAUUGAAAAAUGUUACAAUCCCCCACUAGAUUGUAAUAUUUUUCAGAUUUAUUAAUGAUAAACUUAUACAUACAAAAAGGUAUCUUUCGAUUUUAACCUUUAAUUAGUGAGUGUAUUUCAAAGUAUUUACAAGACAAUAGUGUGCUAAGCAUUAAACUUUGUCUCUUAAGUAAAUACCGGAGAUACAUCACAUAUAAGCUAUCCCAUAUUUCAAAGUUAUGUUCCAAUAUUUAGCACUAUUUUGGCCUUGUGCUCUAUCUUGGAUUCAUGAACAUUUACAAGAUUAAACCAUGAUCUUGUUAGAAAUGACACCAUUUCUUAUGUUCACUUAGGUAAAGUUUCAAAUCAUGUCUUUAGCUACUAUAAGACUUGAACUUCAUUAAAAGUAGAUACCCAACCUCAACCUCGUAGCUAUUUGCACCGAAUAUCUCGAAUGAGAUUAUUUAUUGUUCGGUGCCAAACCAAACACAUAACAACAACUUGUUAUUACCCAUUUAACUAUGGAAUAGUGGUAUAACUAUUACAUAGUUGAGUUACCGUCGUCGGUGACUUUAUUAAUGAAAAGUUUCAAUCCCAUUCUAAAAUAUGUAUCCUUAACUAAGUCUCUUGAAAGAUCUUUUGUUAAAGGAUCCGCUAGAUUCUUAUUAGUCCUAACAUAAAAAAUAUUAAUAACACUAUCUACUAUUAAUUGUUUCACAUAUUCAUGUCUCAAGCUAAUAUGUCUAGACUUUCCAUUAUAUACUUUAUUACAAGCUCUAGACAAUGUAGCUUCACUAUCGUAGUACAAAGAAAUAGAUGGCAUCGGUUGUGGCCACAACAUUAUAUCAAACAACAAAUUUCUUAGCCAUUCAGCUUCCUUACCUGCAGUUGCAAGUGCUAUAAACUCAGCUGCAAAUUUCCUAGUGUGACUUCCCUUAUGAAAUAGAAAUUUUAAUGGUGAAAUUUAGUAAAAAUGACUUCUAAAAUAAUAAAGUCAAUUAAUAUAGUUUAAUCAUCACAUAACUCUCAAAGACCUAGAGGUGAGCCACUUGUGCCAGACUAUAAUACUAAAUAAAGUCUCACAGGCAUCCAGGAGACAAACAAUAAUUAAUACAACAAAAUGGAUCAUCAAAGCAAGGAACUGUUUGGAAGUGCUACAUUGUGUGACAGCCAAGCAACUGCGCAGCUGCAGAAUAAGAAAUUCUACCAUAUUUCUUUUAGCGGCAGUUGCUACAGUGCAUCACUCCUAAACGAAGCCCGAGAUCCGGCUCCAAAAAUAUAAGUUGUAGGAUCACGUGGACGAAUCAGAUUUUCUCAUGAAUUAUACGACUUUGUUCUCAAAUUUUAUCCUCUACAGCUUCUUUCGCUAAGAAAAAUUAAAGGAAAAUUUGGAAAGUGGUACAGUCAACAAGGGAAGGCUUUAAUUUAAAUGUAACGAUGAGAAAAUAUUUUAAAUGACAAGAUAGACCCUUACCACAAGAUAACCUCCAUAAAAUCUUUAAUGAUCAGUUACCCUUGAUUAUAAUUUAACCCCAAUUGGUUGUUAUUAUUUAAAACAUAAUGCCCCAAGAUUAAAAUAAUGGUCCGACGAUAGCUUCACGCAAUAGACAAGUAUUUUGAAUUAAAUACUGGUUUGGAUCUUAUAUCCGAACGAGUAAUAUGAAAGCAUGCAGACACUUGGAUGUGGUGGUGUUGAGCUGCAUUUGGCAAAAUGAUACUAUAUGUUUGGUAGAGCAAUUUAAUCAGACCCAUGCAUGAUUCCCUUAUUCAUUGCACAAAUUGAGGCUCCCUCCACAAAGGCUCAAACAAUAAGAGAAAUUUUAUCAAAAGCUCUCGCUUUUUUUCUUUUGGGCAUUCAUUUGUGUGUACAACUAUAUUUAUCUUGCGGGUGCCGCCCGGAACAUGAAGUCAUGCACUCAAAGACAAUUAUCGGUUUUAGUUGUCUAAAAAAUUGAAGUUUUCUGCUAAUAUUGUAAUGAUUUGAGCCACGUGUAUAAUUUUCCAUUUACUGACCCUAACUCAUAUGCUGAUAGCAUUUGCUUGGUUAACAAAAAAUCUGAAUGGAUCUGAAUGUUACAGAAAUCUAAAUCCAUAUGUUUGAAUGAUAUAUUUGUCUUUCAUUCUUUUAUUUAUGAGUAUAAGUGGUAAGUUAUUUGUUUUUAUAAAUUCAAAACAUUUUAAAUAUAGUUUUUUAACACUUAUGUCCUCAAAAGUGUUAUAUAUAUCUAGAAGUUUAAAUAGGUAUACAUUCAUGAUGUUAUCUAGUAUAAUACUAUUUAUAUGUUAUAAAAAUAUAGAAGGUAAUCAUUUGAUAUAUAAUUUGUAGAAAAUAAUUUUGAUAACAUUAUUUUUUAUUUUUAUCUGAUAAUAAAAGAAUAUACCUAAAUUCAAAUUGAAUUUGUAUGUUUGGUACUUUAUACUAAGUAAAAAUUGAGAUCAAGAGAAAUUCUAAUACGACAUCUAACUUACAAUAUUACAAUUAAUUAAAAAAAAUCUUUUUGAUUAGAGAAAAAAUAAAGGAUUAUUAGAUUUUACAUAAUAGGUAUGAAAUGAAUAUAUUUAAAUGACGAUGUUUGUAAAAAAAUUAAUUUUUCAUUCAAACAUUUUAUCAUUUAAAUAAACAUUAAAAUUUUUAAUUUUUUCAUUUAGAUGAAAAUAUCUUACAAUAAGAAUUCAGAUACAAAACAAACAAGGCAAAAUUUAAAAGUAUCUUAAAUUAAUGUAAAUUAAAACUUCAGACAUAAAAACAAACAAGUGCGUAAUUUGGAUUUUGCUAUGUUUAUAAAAAAAAAAUUCUUUUUCUAUUUGCAUUUUAUUAUUUCACAUGUUCACGCUCUUCAAAAGAAUUUAAGGCCUCAAGCAAAUUUUCAAAAUUAGGCUUUUUUUAAUUUAAAUUAAGAUAUUGAUGAUAAACAUUUUAUUUUAGAUUAAUUCCUUUUAGAUAGAAAAUCAUUAAUAAAUUUGGUACAUCAAUUCGUGUGCCAAAAUUUUUUGAAGUGUAUAUAUAUAAAUGUUCCAAUUUACUUUAGAAUAAUGGAUUUUACCAAAAUCUAGAAACGUUAUUAAACAACGUGGUUUAAUAAUGUAAUGAUUGUAGUUUAACAUCUUUCUUAGAUUUUAAUAAAUUCAAGAUCCUAAACCAUUUCUCUCUCUCUCUCUAUAUAUAUAUAACAUUGAACAUGAAUUCAUUUGGUGGGAAAGAAUAAGAAAUCAUUUUAAACAACUUUAGUGAAAAAUAGAAGCCAUUACCGAAAUGAAUAUAGAAAUUCAAAAUAUAAAUAUAGAGAGAUUAAUAUUAAUUAAUUUGCUAAUAACAUUUUCCAUGUCGUCCUAUAUUAAUUUUUAAAUUAAUACAAUUGAAAAAGAUAGUGAAGCAAAGAAUAUAUUAGAUGAAAUAGGUUAAAUGUAAUCUCUAUAACAAAAUUAUGUAGUUCAGAAUUAUCACACAAACACUAUUAUGUUCAUAGUAGAAAAUCAUUCUUUUCCUCAAUAAACAUUUUAAAUUCAAAAUUUUCAGUUUCUUCCUCGUUUUGUACUCGUCUUCUAGGCCCAGUCGCCUUGCUGCCCGUCAUCAACAUGGACAAAAUUUUUCAUGAUAAAUUUCUGGAAUAUCAGUCUUUUACUUAUUUAUUAAACCACAUAUACUUGAAAUAACUAUAGUUAAAAGAGGACACAACAAGCUUAAUUUCAGGAAAAUGGUAAGAAAAUUUUAAAUGUAGUUCAGACCUGACACCCUUAACCAGAUCAUUUGAUUAAUUCCUAAACAAGUUUAAUUCUACUCAGAUAGCGAAGACAAGUAGGCCAAAAUGAUUACAACUGCUGGUAUCUAGAGACUUUGGCCACCAAGCUUCCGUUUAAUUAGUCUCUAUAUUUUGGGUUUAAUUAUCUGUUUAAUCAAUUCAUAAAUUUUGAAAAAAAGAUGAGACUAUUUGAAUCUAUUAAUUUCCUCUCUAUACCUCCUUUUUAGUUAAGAAUUUUAUUAUCUAAAUAAUUUUUUUAAAGAUUACUUAAUUAACGUUUCUCUCUCGCUUCUCAAUUUCAUAUAUUCUCAUAAGUUCAUUCAAGUAUAUUAUUUUAGCUGCAAAUAACUAGUAUUACUAACUAAGAGGAACGAAACCCACUAUUGAAAGAUAGAUAUCAACAAAUUCUUAUCGGACAUUAAAUUAAGCGAAUGAAUAUCAAUAAAUUAAUUUUUACCAACUACAAAAGUAAAAAUAAAAAUAAAAAAAAUUUCUCCUAUAAAGAAAGCAUGAAAUAGGAAUCAUGAUAUAAUAAGAAAGGCCAAAAAAAUGAAUUUAAAUUAGAGUGAAAUUGAGUGUUUAAUUUACAAAAUGUGAGAGUAGUGAGAUCAUAUGCAAUUGUAAGAGAGAAGAAGAUUAGUGAAAAAUGAUUUUGAGAUUUUUAAAUUUUUAAUUACUUAAUAAUGAAGUUAUUUUUUAAAAUAGGUAUAGAGAGAAAUUUGAUGGGUCCAAAUAGUCCAACGAGAAAUACUUUAAAAUACUUAUGCUGUUAAUUGUGUACACAACUGUUAUUAAUUUUUCUUUAUUUUUACAAUAAUAAUAUCCUGACGAUGAUUUGGAAAAGUAAAAAAAAAAUUAAUUUACUAUAAUCUAAGAUAAUCUUUAUUCUUAUCUUAUCAUUUCUUUUCGUUUUUCUUCUUUUAAAAGUAAAUUCCUUCAGAUUAAACCAAGUUAAAAAAAUAUUUUAGCUAAAAGAUACAGAUGCUCAUUCCAAACUUUUAAACGCACGAUAAAAAUUGAUAAGCGAGAGUCCAGAGCAAGUGUCCAACCACGUCUUUGAUGGAUAAAUUCUACUUGAUUUAGUCCUUAAUAGUGUGGGACAUGCCAAAUUUUAAACUUCAGCCGUAGAUUUGUUAUAUCUUUACCAAGCACUAAUAUUGGCAGCCUCACAUCCAUGCACCCACUGGAUCUUUAUAUAUCACAUGAAACCAGAAAUAAGGACUCACUCAAGCUCACCUACUCACUUUUGAUUGCGGUUCUCCAGAAGCUAAUAGAGAUCGUUUCUGCUUUGAAGAUUAUGGAAACUCCUUACACAGGUUAAUUUUUAGACCAUGUUCAAUUGAAUGUCAUUUAUAAUUCUAAUUUUAAUAUAUGUGUUUGUGAAUAAGUUUUUUACUAUCAAAUUUUCAGGUAAGAAAGAAUGGUCAGAGGGUGCACUGAUUAUUCUAUUAGUUAGUAUGUUUGAUGAUGAGAAAGUAAAUGACAAUGAUCUUGAUCUUCUUACUGUCCCUCAAUACGGG